AGACCGUCAUGGAGAGGUCUCCGUCAAAUUCACAUGGCAGCAAGAUCCUUUUUAUCUUAUUUGCAGCUGUCUUCAUCAUUCUGUUGAUCUUCAUCUUGUACCUCUGGUGGGUCAGGCGGGCUGCCCCAGGGCGACACGAAUCUCUACCGUUAAUGCCAAUUCAAAAGCAGGCCAGAUCAUCUCCCGGGAGUGGCCGCCGACAAUCCUCUGGGCGGUUGAAGGAGCGUCGGACAUCUGGAUAGUGAAGCACUUAUUCUUGAAAGAAACCUUAAUCGUCAACAGAUUCAGACUUGCUGUUGUCUUCCUGUUAGUGCAGCAGUACAUAACUGUUUUGUCUCCAAGGCUUGUUUAGGGAUCGUACUGGUACUUUGUUAACGUGCUGCAAGUGACUGGUUGCAUCAUUACAUACAGAGCCAAAAUGUUUUCUCAGAAAUUUUUCCUACUGUUAAGUCCAUUGCAUUGUACUAUUGUUAUUGGCAUCAAGUUUGGUUAAAACUUCUAAGUGUCAAAUGUAUAGUGUACUUUGGAAAUGUCGUCGUCUCUUGCUAAUUGUUUUAUCGCCAUGUCACUGGACAGUUACAGUUUUAGUUGAAGUCGUGCUUGCACAAUGCAUGCAUAAUUUUCUCGUUUAGAAAGCAAAAAGACAUAGUAAAGAAGUUACUCCUUCAGAUACCUUUUUUCUGGAAACAUUUUUCGGUUGAAACAAUAUUUGUGCAUGUGCAUAUCUUCGCUGAGUAGUUCCUUGGUCUCACCUAAAAAAAAAGUAGUUCCUUGGUCCUUCUUCCUCUUCCUACGUGAUCUCUUUGUUUCAGUGAGUUCAUCUUAAUGAACGUACUCUCUCCGUUUUGAAUUUUUUUUAAGCCAAACAUGUCUGUUUUGUAUUAAGUUUGUAUAAAAAAUUAUAAAUAUCCACAAUAUAUUUAAUUAAUGUCAUAGAUUUAUCAUGAAGUAUGAUUUUGUAUUUUAAUUAUUUACUAUGUAUUUUAGAUAUUGAUGGUUGAUUGCAUAAACUUGUCAAACACAGACAUGUUCGACUUUUGAAGUGUGGAGGAAGUAUGUAGCACUGGUCCAGAGCACGAAUGCAUGAUGGCAGAUAAAACAGUGCCGUCACAAGGUUGAACUAGACCGUUGAUGGCGCGCGUUGCUGCGCCCGUCUAUUUCGGAUGUUGCAAGGGAGUGUUAGAAAUUGAAUUAUUUACAUAGAGUUUGUGUUAUUUUAUAUAUACAAAUAAUAUAGUAAUAAAGUGGCAAUGUCUCCCAUGAAGCUGAUAAUAGCUGGUCUACAGGCACCAGGCGCAUCGGCGUGUGGAGGACUUAUCUAUCACUACGUUUUUUUAUUCCAGUUUUUGGUACAACAUACAGUUGUAUAUUAAUGAUGAAAUAAUUUUGCACAUCAGUUGUAGUACUGUCUUGUGUCUGGGAAAAAUUUGUUUGCACAUUAAGCUACAACUUCACAUAGGCUUUUUUUUUGGUCAAUUUGGAAGAAACAAAACUUCCUAUGGAGGAUCAACCGGCGAGAAAAUUGUUUGGUUAUCAAUGUUCUAUUUGCUUAAAUCAACUUUGUUUGUUUAAAUCAAUUUUUCCUAAUGAAACAUGUUUUUUCUCAUGUAAGAUUACACUGGAGAAAUCAGAUUCAAGGUUCCCGACUCGUUAUAAUGAGAGUAGAAAUGAAACGAGUAUUUCAUUUGGGUGCAUGUUCAAAGUCAAAUACUUAUGAGUACAUCACUUAAGGACAGUGGCAAAUCUAGCACAAAAAUUAAGGGCAGGCUCAAAACAUCAAGUUUGUAAGCCUUAUUAGCAAAUGCAUCGAAAUUUACAUGUAAAACAUCUCAGUAUAAUUGCCAAGUAGCAUGUUUAGCUGAAAUAGGAUUUUUUGGAGGGUAGGCUUAAGCCUAUUAAAGCCCAAGCAGUAUAAUUGUUCAAAGUCAAUUUUUUGGAGGAUACAAAUUACAAAGGUGACCAAUAAACCAGGACAGAGGUAGUAGAAGGGAACCAAGUAUUAAACCGUAUGUUGUUGGGAUAAGAUGGUUGUUAGUAUCUAGGGUUUUGUAUAUCCUCUGUAACGACUCUUGAUGUAUAUCCGGCACCGCCGCAGCCCUAGUUGGCUGAGUAUAUAAUGAGCUCAAGGCCGCCGUUCCAGGUGAGCCAAUCUAAUCUACAUCUCCUAGUUUCACAUGGUAUCAGGCCCUCUCGCAUAACUACUCGAUGGGUUCUCCUUCCGCUGGCGCCAUGGCUUCCUCGGCCAUGACCUCCCUUGCUCUGCCGGCUUCCCUCUCGGCGCCAUCCACCUCUUCUGUUCCACCUCUCUCUCCCGGCCUCAUCACGGCCAAACUCACCACCUCCAACUACCUCUUGUGGAAAGCACAAAUUCUUCCUCCUCUCCGCAUCGCCAAUGUCACCGGCUACAUUGAUGUCACUUCUCCCACUCCCCCUCGGCUCCUUCCACCCGAUGACAAGGGGGAACGUGCGCUCAAUCCCGAGUAUGCCGUCUGGUACCGUCAGGACCAGAUUGUUCUUAGCUACCUGCUCUCCUCCCUCAUGGAUGAUGUCCUCCAGCAGGUUAUUCGCUUUGACACCUCUCGCGCCAUCUGAGCGCACCUUGAGGAGAUGUACUCUGCCCACUGCCGUGCUAGUGUUGUGCAGAUCAAGCUCGAUAUGGCCAACUUCUGCAAGGCCAAUCUCUCCAUGGUGGAUUAUUUCGCCAAGAUCCGCUCCUACGCCGACCAGCUGGCGGCUGCUGGGCGUCCCAUGCGGGAUGACGACGUCAUCACCGCCUUCAUCACCGAUCUUGACAGCGACUAUGAGCCUCUCAUUACCGCUGUCACCACCCGGAUUGACGAGAUGACUCUGGGGGAGCUCUACUCCCACGCCCUCUCCUUCGAGCGUCGCCGCGAGUACCAUGCUGCUUGCCUUCAUCUUCACGCCGGAGGCUCUUCUGUCAACUAUGUCGCCCGCAACAAGAACGACAACAACAACAAUCGCGGUGGCAACCGUGGCAAUUAUCGUGGUAGGGCCGCGGUAAUCAAGGUGACUGCGAUGACUACGACAACAACAACCGCGGUGGCAAUCGCGGUGACCGCGACGACAAUCACGGUGACCGCGGCAGCAAUCGCCAGCAGGGUGACUACGGUGGUAACCGCGGUGGUGGUGACCGUGGUGACUACGGGGGUGGUGCUGACACCCGCGUCCAAUGCCAACUCUGUCGUGGCCCCGGGCACUUGUUAGGAAACGUAGUAAUUUCAAAAAAAUUCCUACGCACACGCAUGAUCAUGGUGAUGCAUAUCAACGAGAGGGGAGAGUGUUGUCCACGUACCCUUGUAGACCGUAAGUGGAAGCGUUAUGACAACGCGGUUGAGGUAGUCGUACGUCUUCACCAUAGACCGAUCCUAGUACCGAAAGUACGGCACCUCCGCGAUCUGCACACGUUCAGCUCGGUGAUGUCCCACGAACUCACGAUCCAGCAGAGUGUCGAGGGAGAGUUUUGUCAGCACGACGGCGUGAUGACGGUGAUGAUGAAGCUACCGGCGCAGGGCUUCGCCUAAGCACUGCAACGAUAUGACCGAGGUGGAAUAUGGUGGAGGGGGGCACCGCACACGGCUCGGAACAAUCAACUUGUGUGUCCUAGGGUGCCCCCCUGCCCCUGUAUAUAAAGGAGCAAGGGGGAGGCCGGCCGGCCUUGGGGCGCGCCAAGGAGAGGGGGGAGUCCUCCUCCUAGUGGGAGUAGGACUCCCCUUUCCUAGUCCAACUAGGAAGGAGGAAGGGGGAAGGAAGGAGAGGGAGAGGGAGGAAAGAGGGGGCGCUGCCCCCCUCCUUGUCGAAUUCGGACUCCCAGGUGGGGGGGGGGGGGCGGCCAGCCCUAGGCCCUCUCCUCUCUCUCCCACAAGGCCCAUGUUGGCCCAUUAGACCCCCCGGGGGUUCCGAUAACCCCCCGGCACUCCGAUAAAUACCCGGUGACCCCCGGAACUCAUCCGGUGUCCGAAUAUAGUCAUCCAAUAUAUCAAUCUUUACGUCUCAACCAUUUCGAGAUUCCUCGUCAUGUCCGUGAUCACAUCUGGGACUCUGAACUAUCUUCGGUACAUCAAAACACAUAAACUCAUAAUACCAAUCGUCACCGAACGUUAAACGUGCGGACCCUACGGGUUCGAGAACUAUGUAGACAUGACCGAGAAUGUCUCUGGUCAAUAACCAAUAGCGGAACCUGGAUGCUCAUAUUGGCUCCUACAUAUUCUACGAAGAUCUUUAUCGGUCAAACCACAUAACAACAUACGUUGUUCCCUUUGUCAUCGGUAUGUUACUUGCCCGAGAUUCGAUCGUCAGUAUCUCAAUACCUAGUUCAAUCUCGUUACCGGUAAGUCUCUUUACUCGUUCCGUAAUGCAUCAUCCCACAACUAACUCAUUAGUACAUUGCUUGCAAGGCUUAUAGUGAUGUGCAUUACCGAGAGGGCCCAGAGAUACCUCUCCGACAAUUGGAGUGACAAAUCCUAAUCUCGAUCUAUGCCAACCCAACAAGUACCAUCGGAGACACCCAUAGAGCACCUUUAUAAUCACCUAGUUACGUUGUGACGUUUGGUAGCACACAAAGUGUUCCUCCGGUAUUCGGGAGUUGCAUAAUCUCAUAGUCAUAGGAACAUGUAUAAGUCAUGAGGAAAGCAAUAGCAAUAUACUAAACAAUCAAAUGCUAAGCUAACGGAAUGGGUCAAGUCAAUCACAUCAUUCUCUAAUGAUGUGAUCCCGUUAAUCAAAUGACAACUCAUGUCUAUGGUUAGGAAACAUAACCAUCUUUGAUUCAACGAGCUAGUCAAGUAGAGGCAUACUAGUGACACUCUGUUUGUCUAUGUAUUCACACAUGUACUAAGUUUCCGGUUAAUACAAUUCUAGCAUGAAUAAUAAACAUUUAUCAUGAUAUAACGAAAUAUAAAUAACAACUUUAUUAUUGCCUCUAGGGCAUAUUUCCCUCAGCCUCCCACUUGCACUAGAGUCAAUAAUCUAGAUUACACAGUAAUGAUUCUAACACCCAUGGAGUCUUGGUGCUGAUAAUGUUUUGCUCGUGAGAGAGGCUUAGUCAACGGGUCUGCAACAUUCAGAUCCAUAUGUAUGUUGCAAAUCUCUAUGUCUCCCUCCUUGACUUGAUCGCGGAUGGAAUUGAAGCGUCUCUUGAUGUGCUUGGUUCUCUUGUGAAAUAUGGAUUCCUUUGCCAAGGCAAUUGGACCAGUAUUGUCACAAAAGAUUUUCAUUGGACCCGAUGCACUAGGUAUGACACCUAGAUCAGAUAUGAACUCAUUCAUCCAGACUCCUUCAUUUGCUGCUUUUGAAGCAGCUAUGUACUCCGCUUCACACGUAGAUCCCGCCAUGACGCUUUGCUUAGAACUGCACCAACUGACAACUCCACCGUUGAAUAUAAACACGUAUCCGGUUUGUGACUUAGAGUCAUCCGGAUCAGUGUCAAAGCUUGCAUCAACGUAACCAUUUACGACGAGCUCUUUGUCACCUCCAUAAAUGAGAAACAUAUCCUUAGUCCUUUUCAGGUAUUUUAGGAUGUUCUUGACCGUUGUCCAGUGAUCCCCUCCUGGAUUACUUUGGUACCACCCUGCUAAACUAAUAGCAAGGCACACAUCAGGUCUGGUACACAACAUUGCAUACAUGAUAGAGCCUAUGGCUGAAGCAUAGGGAACACCUUUCAUUUUCUCUCUAUCUUCUGCAGUGGUCGGGCAUUGAGUUUGACUCAACUUCACACCUUGUAACAUAGGCAAGAAAAAUUUCUUUGCUUGAUCCAUUUUGAACUUUUUCAAAACUUUAUCAAGGUGUGUGCUUUUUGAAAGUCCAAUUAAGCGUCUUGAUCUAUCUCUAUAGAUCUUGAUGCCCAAUAUAUAAACAGCUUCACCGAGGUCUUUCAUUGAAAAACUCUUAUUCAAGUAUCCUUUUAUGCUAUCCAGAAAUUCUAUAUCAUUUCCAAUCAACAAUAUGUCAUCCACAUAUAAUAUUAGAAAUGCUACAGAGCUCCCACUCACUUUCUUGUAAAUAUAGGCUUCUCCAAAAGUCUGUAUAAAACCAUAUGCUUUGAUCACACUAUCAAAACGUUUAUUCCAACUCCGAGAUGCUUGCACCAGUCCAUAAAUGGAUAGCUGGAGCUUGCAUACUUUGUUAGCAUCCUUUGGAUCGAUAAAACCUUCAGGUUGCAUCAUAUACAACUCUUCUUCCAGGAAUCCAUUCAGGAAUGCAGUCUUUACAUCCAUUUGCCAAAUUUCAUAAUCAUAAAAUGCAGCAAUUGCUAACAUGAUUCAGACAGACUUAAGCAUCGCUACGGGUGAGAAGGUCUCAUCAUAGUCAACUCCUUGAACUUGUCGAAAACCUUUCACAACAAGUCGAGCUUUGUAGACAGUAAUAUUACCGUCAGCAUCAGUCUUCUUCUUGAAGAUCCAUUAUUUAUUCUCGAUGGCUUGCCGAUCAUCGAGCAAGUCAACCAAAGUCCACACUUUGUUCUCAUACAUGGAUCCCAUCUCAGAUUUCAUGGCCUCAAGCCAUUUCGUGGAACCUGGGCUCAUCAUCGCUUCCUCAUAGUUCGUAGGUUCGUCAUGGUCAAUGUCGGGGGAAACGACACCUAUGGGAUCACUUGGGCCCCCUUUUUCUACGGUUGGCGGGCGCGAAGUUGUGGAAAGAGCGGGUCUAGAAGCCAGCACGAGGAUCAUUUACCCAGGUUCGGGCCGCUUUGAUGUAUAUUUGAGUGUUCUUGAGUUCUUGAACUAGCUACGAUGCGUGUGUCGUCCAAAAGAUCCGAAUCCUCCUUUAGUACGCCUCGGGCCUCCUUUUAUAGUCAAAAGGGGCUGCCACAGUGGCACACAGGAGGUGGAAAUGUAUAUAGUGUACAAGCUUAUUGCCUGUCAUUACAGGACAAAGUGCAUUAAAUGCGCUACUUAGGUGUCCACUUGCUUUAUCAGGGGCGAUAACGAGGCCCGUCCCGUCCGUCGCCGCUUCGCCUUGCUCCGACACGCGUCCAGGCCAACGAGGCAUGCAUCGCCACGUAGGCUGGCAGGCUGCUGAGUUGGCGUGGUGGUAGGGUCUUCAUGAAGAUCCGUAUGCCACCAUGCAGGUGUUUGGCUAGUUGGAUUAGUAUCCACGUACUGCCACAUGGGUACUUGCUUCGGUUGGUGGGUUGGCCGCUGAGCUGGGGCGGCGAUGGGGCGGCAAGGUCUUACCGCGGUCUCGCAUAUAUCCCCGGCAAGGGUCUUGCCAGGGCCUUGUGAGUGCCCUUGGCAAGAGUCUUGCCGGGGCCUUGCGAGUGUCUUCGGCAAGGAGUCUUGCCGGGGCCUCGUGGGCAUCCUCGGCAAGGAGCCUUGCGAUUGUCUUGUCUUCUGGUCCUCAUCUAGGAUUUGUAGGCUCUCUGUCUUCACAAAGAUCUGCAUGCCACCAUGCAAGAACUUCCCGAGCCUUGGUUCCAAUGCUGUCUAGGGUGCCGGAACUCUCAGGCUCAAGGGUGGCUGCGAUGUUGGCGCUGGGCGAGCUGCCCUGGCAAGGGUCUUGCCGGGGUUGUGUAGGCCGCCCCGACAAGGGUCUUGCCGGGAGGAAGGCUGUCUGAUUGCUCCGUCUUCUGUGCCCUUGGUUGGAGCGCUGCCCUGGUAGCCUUGCACUUCUGCUUCCCUCAUCUGCCCUGCUAAGUGUGGUCGCGGGUACGGCUCUGACUGCCCGUGCACAUGUAAAGGGGCACAAAAGAGAGCCCCUACUUUUGUGCACCGUCAGGAGCCCCCGGUCCUGGGCCACACAUAAGCGCGACACGUUGUUGGGCUAGGCCCAAAACGGUGCGCGGGCACGUGGGGCGGAGUUUUACUGCGGUAACUUCUCCGUUGGUUGCGCUUUCCCAUGACCCGCGUUGAAUGCGCGAUGUGGGGGUCGUGCGUGGGGUGGUUGCUGCCCUCAUGCGUCACAUCAUGGUAAAUGGUAAAGAGGCGGUCCGCGCCUUCCCCAUAAAAAGGGGAAACUGCAGGCGUGCUGCUCAUUUACCCUCCGCGUCUCUCCAAUUUCGGAACCGCCGUCCCCCUUUCUUCCUCAAGCGAAAAAGCCAAAACUCCCGCCUUCAUCCGCCGCCGCCGCGCCCCCAUUGCCCUCAAUCUCCCAUUGCUCCAAAUUCCUCACCUCUUUCCUAGCCGCCAUGGCACCCAAAACCAGUAAGGGCAAGGGAGUGGCCAAGGACGCCCGGGAGAAGGAGGUGCCGGAGAGCGAGUUGGCGGUGCUUCGGAGGCAGCAUGCCCUCUUCCCCUCGACGGUCGAUGCGGUCCACCUCAAGGACUACUUCAGGCCUCUGUGGGGGGCGAAGACGAUGAGGCAUCCGGCCACGAACAUCAUCCCCGCCGAUUUUGCUGAGGCCGACCCGAAUCGGUGUCCUUUCUUCGUUGACUACUUCUCCCACGGGCUCUGCCCCCCUUUCUCUGAUUUUUUCAAUGAUGUCAUGCACACCUACGGCUUCCAUCUUCUUGAUUUCACGCCGAAUGUCGUGGCGUGCAUGGCCUUCUUUGCCCACCUCUGUGAGGGCUUCGCCGGAAUGCUUCCCAGCACGACGCUCUUCCGCCACUACUUCUAUCCCCGUAUCCAGGCGGGGGGUGUCAUCUCCGGCUGCGUCACCUGGAUCCCACGGACCUAGGAGAAGGGCACAUAUCCGGAGGGCGCCCGGAAGGAGAGGUGGGAGGAGUGGCAGGGCCGGUGGCUAUGGAUCGAGGAGGAGGAUCCGCAGGAGUUCUGCCGAGUUCGUCAGAGCCCGCCAGUCCGUUGCAAGGACUGGAGCGACCCCGAUGCCGACGACAAGAAGCUUGCGAUCUCUACUACCAGAAUCCAUCGCCUCACCAUGGCUGGGCUCACCCUUGAGAUGAUUGGGGCUGAUUUCAUCCGUCGCCGAAUCGCCCCACUGCAUAACAAGGGGAGGCCGGCUUGGCUCUUCAGGAACGCGGCCGACAUCAUGAGGCUUCGCCCUGGCUUGAAGCACAACUUCACGGUGAUGGGGCACGCCCAUUUUUGUCAGAGGCUUUUUCAGCUCAAUGUGGGUGACACCGGCAGGGCCGCGAAGGCCGGCAAGGCCGUCAAGGGGCCUCUGUUCGGGUUGCCGGCGGGAGUGGUCCCGCUGAGCAACAACUCUCGCCAAAUCGACAUCAUCGCCAUGAUGCCAGACUUCAACGCGCACGACCUUGACCCAAAUUGGGCUGAGCCGGAGGCGGAGUAGGUGCAGGAGUUCUUCGACAACCUGUCGGAGAGGUACGUCCGCGAUGAGCCACUGCUUAUCCAGGACACCACCAAGGAGGAGCUAGACUACAUCGCCGCCAGGGCGGCGGAGGCGGCGCUUGCCAGGGAGGCUGGCAGCGCCGGCCACGUGGAGGACGAGGCCGAGGCGGCCGUGGAGGAGAAGGAGCUUGCCGGAUGGGCGGAGUCUCGGCACCGGGGCCCCUCUCAUCGAAGAUGUGGUCGAGGAGUCGACCGAGGAAGAGGCCGAGGCUGACGACCCUCCGGCCACGGGGAAAAGGCGUGUCCUGCGGCGGGCCAACUCUGGCGAGCCAGUCCGGCCCGGCAGGACCGAGCAGCGGCAAGAGGUCCAGGGGGAGUCCGUGCGCCUGACGAGGGCCGCGACAGCGAAGAAGGCGGUGAAGGCCGCGGUGGCGAAGAGGAAAGCGACCGCCUCUUCUUCGUCCAAGCGUUGCAGGACUCCAUCCCCUUCCCCUCCUCCCGCAGAUGUCGACAUGGAGGUCGUCUUUGAUCUUGGGUCUCUCAGCCCAAGGAGGAAGAGGAAGGCAGCGGAAGAGGAGGUGGAGGAUGAGUAAGCAUCUUGCCCUUCAUCACCCCCGUCCCUUCAGACCGCACCGGUUUCUUGACUUGUUUUCAUAUUUGCAGGGAUGUGGAGACACUGGCCCAGAGGGCAGCCAAGAAGGCCAAGGCCUCGACGGGCGACAAGCCCCCGGCGGGUACUUCGCGUACGCCGUUGUUGGUGGAGAGUAGCCCGGACAGCAGCCCCCGCUCCAGCCCCCAGCGUAAGCUCACCACUCACUCCUCCACUGACGAACAUUGGGGUGUGAAUCCUCGGUGCUGACCUCGCCGGGUUCGUAGGAGAAGAACGGCGGCAGGAGGAGCCGCUGAGGGCCACCCCCAACAUGUUGGGGAACGUAGUAAUUUCAAAAAAUUUCCUACGCACAUAUAGGAUCAUGGUGAUGCAUAGCAACGAGAGGGGAGAGUGUGUCCACGUACCCUCGUAAACCGAAAGCAAAAGCUUUAGCACAACACGGUUGAUGUAGUCGUACGUCUUCACGAUCCGACCGAUCCAGGUACCGAACGCACGGCACCUCCGAGUUCAGCACACAUUCAGCUUGGACGUCCCGCGAACUCCGAUCCAGCAGAGCUUCACGGGUGAGUUUCAUCAGCACGACGGCGUGAUGACGGUGAUGAUGUUGCUACCGACGUAGGGCUUCGCCUAAGCACCGCUACGAUAUGAUCGAGGUGGAAUAUGAUGGAGGGGGCCACCGCACACGGCUAAGAGAUCAAGAGAUCAAUUGUUGUGUCUAUGGGGUGCCCCUGGCCACGUAUAUAAAGGAUGGAGGGAGGAGGAGGCCGGCCCUCAUAGGGCGCACCGAAGUGUGGAGUCCUACUAGGACUCCCUAGUCCUAGUAGGAUUCCACCUCCCACAUGUAAUAGGAAAAAGGGAAGGGAGAAGGAGAAGGAAUGAAGGGGGCGGCCCCCUCCCUAGUCCAAUUCGGACCAGUCCAUGGGGACGGGUGCGGCCACCCUUUGGGGCCUUUCUCUCCUUUCCCGUAUGGCCCAUUAAGGCCCAAUACGAAUUCCCGUAACUCUCCGGUACUCCGAAAAAUACCCGAAUCAUUCGGAACCUUUCCGAUGUCCGAAUAUAGUCGUCCAAUAUAUCGAUCUUUAUGUCUCGACCAUUUCGAGACUCCUCGUCAUGUCCCCGAUCUCAUCCGAGACUCCGAACUACCUUCGAUACAUCAAAACACAUAAACUCAUAAUACAAAUCGUCACCAAACGUUAAGCGUGCGGACCCUACGGGUUCGAGAACUAUGUAGACAUGACUGAGACACGUCUCCGGUCAAUAACCAAUAGCGGAACCUGGAUGCUCAUAUUGGCUCCUACAUAUUCUACGAAGAUCUUUAUCGGUCAAACAGCAUAACAACAUACGUUGUUCCCUUUGUCAUCGGUAUGUUACUUGCCCGAGAUUCGAUUGUCGGUAUCUUAAUACCUAGUUCAAUCUCGUUACCGGCAAGUCUCUUUACUCGUUCCGUAAUACGACAUCCCGCAACUAACUCAUUAGUUACAAUGCUUGCAAGGCUUAUAGUGAUGUGCAUUACCGAGUGGGACCAGAGAUACCUCUCCGACAAUUGGAGUGACAAAUCCUAAUCUCGAAAUACGCCAACCCAACAAGUACCUUCGGAGACACCUGUAGAGCACCUUUAUAAUCACCCAGUUACGUUGUGACGUUUGGUAGCACACAAAGUGUUCCUCUGGUAAACGGGAGUUGCAUAAUCUCAUAGUCAUAGGAACAUGUAUAAGUCAUGAAGAAAGCAAUAGCAACAUACUAAACGAUCAAGUGCUAAGUUAACAGAAUGGGUCAAGUCAAUCACAUCAUUCUCGUAAUGAUGUGAUCCUGUUAAUCAAAUGACAACUCAUGUCCAUGGCUAGGAAACUCAACCAUCUUUGAUCAACGAGCUAGUCAAGUAGAGGCAUACUAGUGACACUACGUUUGUCUAUGUAUUCACACCUGUAUUAUGUUUCCGGUUAAUACAAUUCUAGCAUGAAUAAUAAACAUUUAUCAUGAUAUAAGGAAAUAAAUAAUAACUUUAUUAUUGCCUCUAGGGCAUAUUUCCUUCAGUCUCCCACUUGCACUAGAGUCAAUAAUCUAGAUCACAUCGCCAUGUGAUUUAACAUCAAUAGUUCACAUCACCAUGUGAUUAACACCCAUAGUUCACAUCGUCAUGUGACCAACACCCAAAGGGUUUACUAGAGUCAGCAAUCUAGUUCACAUCGCCAUGUGAUUAACACCCAAAGAGUACAAAGCUGUGAUCAUGUUUUUCUUGUGAGAGAAGUUUAGUCAACGGGUCUGCCAAAAUCAGAUCCGUAUGUAUUUUGCAAAUUUCUAUGUCAACAAUGCUCUGCACGGAGCUACUCUAGCUAAUUGCUCCCACUUUCAAUAUGUACCCAGAUCGAGAUUUAGAGUCAUCCGGAUCAGUGCCAAAACUUGCAUCGACGUAACCCUUUACGAUGAACUUUUUGUCACCUCCAUAACCGAGAAACAUAUCCUUAUUACACUACGGAUAAUUUUGACCAAUGUCCAGUGAUCUACUCCUAGAUCACUAUUGUACUCCCUUGUCAAACUCAGGGCAGGGUAUACAAUAGGUCUUACUCAACUUCACACCUUGCAACACAGGCAAGAACUCUUUCUUUGACUGUUCCAUUUUGAACUACUUCAAAAACUUGUCAAGGUAUGUACUCAUUGAAAAAAAUUAUCAAGCGUCUUGAUCUAUCUCUAUAGAUCUUGAUGCUCAAUAUGUAAGCAGCUUCACCGAGGUCUUUUUUUGAAAAACUCCUUUCAAACACUCCUUUAUGCUUUAUAGAAAAUUCUACAUCAUUUCCGAUCGACAAUAUGUCAUUCACAUAUACUUAUCAGAAAGGCUGUAGUUGUUGGGUAACGUAGCAGAAAUUCAAAAUUUUCUACGCAUCACCAAGAUCAAUCUAUGGAGUAAUCUAGCAACGAGGGGAAGGGGAGUGAAUCUACAUACCCUUGUAGAUCGCGAUGCGGAAGCGUUGCAAGAACGCGGAUGAGGGAGUCGUACUCGUAGCGAUUCAGAUCGCGGUUGAUUCCGAUCUAAGCACCGAAAGUACGGUGCCUCCGCGUUCAACACACGUGCAGCCCGGUGACGUCUCCCACGCCUUGAUCCAGCAAGGAGAGAGGGAGAGGUUGGGAAGACUCCAUCCAGCAGCAACACGACGGCAUGGUGGUGGUGGAUGAGCGUGGCAAUCCCGCAGGGCUUCGCCAAGCACCGCGGGAGAGGAGGAGGAGGGAGAGGGGUAGGGCUGCACCAAAAGGAGACGUUCUCUUGUGUCUUGGGCAGCCCAAACCUCAACUAUAUAUAGGGUGGAAGGGGGCUGCGCCCCCUUUAGGGUUUCCCACCCCAAGAGGAGGCGGCCAGCCCUAGAUCCCAUCAAGGGGGGGCGGCCAAGGGGAGGAGAGGGGGGCGCCCCACUAGAUGGGCCUUAGGGCCCAUCUGGACCUAGGGUUUGCCCCCUCCCACUCUCCCAUGUGCCUUGGGCCUUGGUGGGGGGGCGCACCAGCCCACCUGGGGCUGGUCCCCUCCCACACUUGGCCCACGCAGCCUUCUGGGGCUGGUGGCCCCACUUGGUGGACCCCCGGGACCCUCCCGGUGGUCCCGGUACAUUACCGAUUUCACCCGAAACUUUUCCGGUGACCAAAACAGGACUUCCCAUAUAUAAAUCUUUACCUCCGGACCAUUCCGGAACUCCUCGUGACGUCCGGGAUCUCAUCCGGGACUCCGAACAACAUUCGGUAACCACGUACAUACUUUCCCUAUAACCCUAGCGUCAUCGAACCUUAAGCGUGUAGACCCUACGGGUUCGGGAACCAUGCAGACAUGACCGAGACGUUCUCCGGUCAAUAACCAACAGCGGGAUCUGGAUACCCAUGUUGGCUCCCACAUGUUCCAUGAUGAUCUCAUCGGAUGAACCACGAUGUCGGGGAUUCAAUCAAUCCCGUAUGCAAUUCCCUUUGUCCAUCGGUAUGUUACUUGCCCGAGAUUCGAUCGUCGGUAUCCCUAUACCUUGUUCAAUCUCGUUACCGGCAAGUCUCUUUACUCGUUCCAUAACUCACAUCAUCCCGUGAUCAACUCCUUGGUCACAUUGUGCACAUUAUGAUGAUGUCCUACCGAGUGGGCCCAGAGAUACCUCUCCGUUUACACGGAGUGACAAAUCCCAGUCUCGAUUCGUGCCAACCCAACAGACACUUUCGGAGAUACCCGUAGUGCACCUUUAUAGCCACCCAGUUACGUUGUGACGUUUGGCACACCCAAAGCAUUCCUACGGUAUCCGGGAGUUGCACAAUCUCAUGGUCUAAGGAAGUGAUACUUGACAUUAGAAAAGCUCUGAGCAAACGAACUACACGAUCUUGUGCUAGGCUUAGGAUUGGGUCUUGUCCAUCACAUCAUUCUCCUAAUGAUGUGAUCCCGUUAUCAACGACAUCCAAUGUCCAUGGUUAGGAAACCGUAACCAUCUAUUGAUCAACGAGCUAGUCUCCUAGAGGCUUACUAGGGACAUGGUGUUGUCUAUGUAUCCACACAUGUAUCUGAGUUUCCUAUCAAUACAAUUCUAGCAUGGAUAAUAAAUGAUUAUCAUGAACAAGGAAAUAUAAUAAUAACCUAUUUAUUAUUGCCUCUAGGGCAUAUUUCCAACAGUCUCCCACUUGCACUAGAGUCAAUAAUCUAGUUCACAUCACCAUGUGAUUAACACUGACAGGUCACAUCACCAUGUGACCAACACCCAAGAGUUUACUAGAGUCAACAAUCUAGUUCACAUCUCUAUGUGAUUAACACUCAAUGAGUUCUGGUUUGAUCAUGUUAUGCUUGUGAGAGAGGUUAUUAGUCAACGGGUCUGAACCUUUCAGAUCCGUGUGUGCUUUACGAAUAUCUAUGUCAUCUUUGUGGAUGCUACCACGCGCUAUUUGGAGCCAUUUCAAAUAAUUGCUCUACUAUACGAAUCCGGUUUACUACUCAGAGUCAUCCGGAUUAGUGUCAAAGUUCGCAUCGACGUAACCCUUUACGACGAACUCCUUUCCACCUCCAUAAUCGAGAAAAUUCCUUAAUCCACUAGGUACUAAGGAUAAGUUCGACCGCUGUCAUGUGAUCCUUUCCCGGAUCACUAUUGUACCCCUUGACCAACUCAUGGCAAGGCACACUUCAUGUGCGGUACACAGCAUAGCAUACUGUAGAGCCUACGUCUAAAGCAUAGGGGACGACCUUCGUCCUUUCUCUCUCUUCUGCUGUGGUCAGGUCUUGAGUCUUACUCAAUACUCACACCUUGUAACACAGCCAAGAACUCCUUCUUUGCUGAUCCAUUUUUGAACUCUUUCAAAAUCAUGUCAAGGUGUGCGUUCUUUGAAAGUAUCAUCAGGCGUCUUGAUCUAUCUCUAUAGAUCUUGAUGCCCAAUAUGUAAGCAGCUUUAUCCAGGUUUUCCUUUGAAAAACUCCUUUCAAACAACCCUUUAUGCUUUCUAGAAAUUUUAUAUCAUUUCGGAUCAACAAUAUGUCAUUCACAUAUACUUAUCAGAAAUGUUGUAGCGCUCCCACUCACUUUAUUGUAAAUACAAGUUUCUAACAAACUUUGUAUAAACCCAAAAACUUUGAUCACUCCAUCAAAGUGUAUAUUCUGACUCCGAGAUGCUUGCUCUAAUCCAUGGAAGGAUCGCUGGAGCUAGCAUACCUUUUAGCAUCCUUAGGAUCGACAAAAACUUUCUGAUUGUAUCACAUACAACCUUUCCUUACGAAAACUGGUAAGGAAACUUGUUUUGACAUCCAUCUGCUAGAUUUCACAAAUGCAGAUAAUGCUAACAUGAUUCCGACGGACUUAAGCACCGCUACGGAUGAGAAAAUCUCAUCGUAGUCAACUCCUUGAACUUGUGGAAAUACUCUUUGCCACAAGUCGAGCUUCAUAGACGGCAACAUUACCGUCCAUGUCCGUAUUCUUCUUAAAGAUCCAUUUACCUCAACAGCCUUACGACCAUCAAGUAGUGCUCUCAAAGUCUAUACUUUGUUUUCAUACAUGGAUCCUCUCGGAUUUUAUGGCUUCUAACCAUUUGUCGGAAUAUGGGCCCACCAUCGCUUCUCCAUAGCUCGUAGGUUCAGUAUUGUCCAACAACAUGAUAUCUCAGACAGGAUCACGUACCACUCUGAAGUAGCACGCAUCCUCGUCGUCCUACGAGGUUUGGUGGUGGCUUGAUCCGAAGUUUCAUGAUCACUAUCAUAAGCUUCCACUUCAACUGGUGUAGGUGCCACAGGAACAACUUCCUGUGCCCUGCUACACACUAGUUGAAGUGACGGUUCAAUAACCUUAUCAAGUCUCCACCAUCCUCCCACUCAAUUCUUUCGAGAGAAACUUUUCCUCGAGAAAGGACUCGUUUCUAGAAGCAAUUACUUUUGCUUCCAGAUCUGAAAUAGGAGGUAUACCCAACUGUUUUGGGUUUUCUAUGAAGAUGCAUUUAUCCGCUUUGGGUUCGAGCUUAUCAGCCUGAAACUUUUUCUCAUAAGCAUCGCAGCCCCAAACUUUUAAGAAACGACAACUUAGGUGUCUCUAAACGGUGUCGUCUCAACGGAAUUGCGUGGUGCCCAUUUUAAAGUGAAUGCGGGUGUCUCUAAUGCCUAACCCAUAAACGAUAGUGGUAAUUUGAUAAGAAACAUCACGGUAUGCACCAUAUCCAAUAGGGUGCAGUCAUGAUGUUCGGACACACCAUCACACUAUGGUGUUCCAGGCGGUAUUAAUUGUGAAACACUUUCCACAAUGUCUUAAUUGUGUGCCAAACUCGUAACUCAGAUAUCUCUAUGAUCAUAUCAUAGACAUUUUAUCCUCUUGUCACGACAAUCUUCGACUUCACUCUGAAAUUACUUGAACCUUUCAAUAAUUCAGACUUGUGUUUCAUCAAGUAAAUAUUCUCAGCAUCUACUCAAAUCAUCUGUGAAGUAAGAACAUAAUGAUAUCCACUGCAUGCCUCAGAACUCAUUGGACUGCAUACAUCAAAAUGUAUUACUUCCAAUAAGUUGCUCUCUUGUUCCAUCUUACUGAAAACGAGGACUUUCAGUCAUCUCGCCCAUGUGGUAUGAUUUGCAUGUCUCAAGUGAUUCGAAAUCAAGUGAGUCCAAGCGAUCCAUCUGCAUGGAGUUUCUUCAUGCAUAUAUACCAAUAGACAUGGUUCGCAUGUCUCAAAAAACGAUUGAGUCCAAAGAUCCAUCUACAUGGAGCUUCUUCAUGCGUUCUAUACCAAUAUGACUCAAAUUGCAGUGCCACAAGUAUCUGGAACUAUCAUUACUAUUUUACAUCUUUUGGCACGAACAUGUGUAUCACUACAAUCGAGAUUCAUUUUAGGUGCAAGACCAUUGAAAGUAUUAUUCAAAUAAGCAGAGUAACCAUUAUUCUCCUUAAAUGAAUAACUGUAUUGCGAUAAACAUAAUCCAAUCAUGCUCAACGCAAACACCAAAUCUCGAUGGUAGAGGGAGCAUGCGAUGCUUGAUCACAUCAACCUUGGAAACAUUUCCAACACAUAUCGUCAUCUCACCUUUAGCUAGUCUCCAUUUAUUCCACAACUUUUAUUUCGAGUUACUAACACUUAGCAACCGAACCAGUAUCUAAUACCCUGGUGCUGCUAGGAGUACUAGUAAAGUACACAUUCAUAUAACGUAUAUCCAAUAUACUUCUGUCGACCUUGCCUGCCUUCUCAUCUACCAAGUAUCUAGGGUAGUACUGCUUCAGUGACCGUUCCUCUUAUUACAGAAGCACUUAGUCUCGGGUUUGGGUUCAACCUUGGGAUUCUUCACUAGAGCAGCAAACGACUUGUUGUUUCAUGAAGUAUCCCUUUUUCCCUUGCCCUUCUUAAACUAGUGGUUUUAUUAACCAUCAACAAUUGAUGCUCCUUCUUGAUUUCUACUUUCGCGGUGUCAAACAUCGCGAGUUGCUCAAGGAUCAUCAUCUAUCCUUGAUAUGUUAUAGUUCAUCACGAAGCUCUAAUAGCUUGGUGGCAGUGACUAUGGAGAACCAUCACUAUCUCAUCUGGAAGAUAAACUCCCACUCGAUUCAAGCGAUUGUGGCACUCAGACAAUCUGAGCACAUGCUCAACGAUUGAGCUUUUCUCCCUUAGUCUUCAGGCUUAAGAAACUUGUCAGAGGUCUCAUACCUCUUGACGUGGGCACUAGUCUGAAAUCCCAAUUUCAGUCUUCGGAACAUCUCAUAUGUUCUGCGACGUUUCAAAAACGUCUUUGGUGCCACAAUUCUAAACCGUUAGCAUUACGCACUGAACUAUCACGUAGUUAUCAAAACGUGUAUGUCAGAUGUUCCGCAACAUCUACAGACGACGCUGAGGUUCAGCACACCGAGCGGUGCAUUAAGGACAUAAGCCUUCUGUGCAGCAAUGAGGACAAUCCUCAGUUUACGGAUCCAGUCCGCAUAAUUGCUACUACCAACUUUCAACUAAAUUUUUCUCUAGGAACAUAUCUAAACCAGUAGAACUUAAAGCGCAAGAUAUGACAUAAUUUGCAAAUACCUUUUUGACUAUGUUCAUGAUAAUGAAGUUCAUCUGAUUAUGAACUCCCACUCAGAUAGACAUCCCUCUAGUCAUCUAAGUGAAACAUGAUCCGAGUUCAACUAGGCCGUGUCCGAUCAUCACGUGAGACGGACUAGUCAAGAUCGGUGAACAUCUCCAUGUUGAUCGUAUCUUCUAUACGACUCAUGCUCGACCUUUCGGUCCUCCGUGUUCCGAGGCCAUGUCUGUACAUGCUAGGCUCGUCAAGUCAACCUAAGUGUAUUGCGUGUGUGCCGAGGCCAUGUCUGUACAUGCUAGGCUCGUCAACACCCGUUGUAUUCGAACGUAAGAAUCUAUCACACCCGAUCAUCACGUGGUGCUUCGAAACGACGAACCUUCGCAACGGUGCACAGUUAGGGUGAACACUUUCUUGAAAUUAUUAUAAGGGAUCAUCCUACUUGCUACCGUCGUUCUAAGCAAAUAAGAUGCAAAAACAUGAUAAACAUCACAUGCAAUCAAAUAGUGACAUGAUAUGGCCAAUAUCAUUAUGCUCCUUUGAUCUCCAUCUUCGGGGCACCAUGAUUAUCUUUGUCACCGGCAUGACACCAUGAUCUCCAUCAUCAUGAUCUCCAUCAUUGUGUCUUCUUGAAGUUGUCAUGCCAAUGGUUACUUCUACUUCUAUGGCUAACGCGCUUAGCAAUAAAGUAAAGUAACUUACAUGGCGUUAUUCAAUGACACGCAGGUCAUACAAAAUAAUAAAGACAACUCCUAUGGCUCCUGCCGGUUGUCAUUCUCAUCGACAUGCAAGUCGUGAUUCUUAUUACAAGAAUAUGAUCAAUCUCAUACAUCACAUAUAUCAUUCAUCACAUCUUCUGGCCAUAUCACAUCACAAGGCACAUGCUGCAAAAACAAGUUAGACGUCCUCUAAUUGUUGUUGCAAGUUUUUACGUGGUUUGUAGGUUUCUAGCAAGAACGUUUCUUACCUACGUAUGACCACAACGUGAUUUGCCAAUUUCCAUUUACCCUUCAUAAGGACCCUUUUCAUCGAAUCCGUUCCGACUAAAGUGGGAGAGACAGACACCCGCUAGCCACCUUAUGCAACUAGUGCAUGUCAGUCGGUGGAACCUGUCUCACGUAAGCGUACGUGUAAGGUCGGUCCGGGCCGCUUCAUCCCACAAUGCCGCCGAAACAAGAUAAGACUAGUAGCGGCAAGAAGAAUUGACAACAUCGACGCCCACAACUACUUUGUGUUCUAUUCGUGCAUAGAAACUACGCAUAGACCUAGCUCUGAUACCACUGUUGGGUAACGUAGCAGAAAUUCAAAAUUUUCUACGCAUCACCAAGAUCAAUCUAUGGAGUAAUCUAGCAACGAGGGGAAGGGGAGUGAAUCUACAUACCCUUGUAGAUCGCGAUGCGGAAGCGUUGCAAGAACGCGGAUGAGGGAGUCGUACUCGUAGCGAUUCAGAUCGCGGUUGAUUCUGAUCUAAGCACCGAAAGUACGGUGCCUCCGCGUUCAACACACGUGCAGCCCGGUGACGUCUCCCACGCCUUGAUCCAGCAAGGAGAGAGGGAGAGGUUGGGAAGACUCCAUCCAGCAGCAACACGACGGCAUGGUGGUGGUGGAUGAGCGUGGCAAUCCCGCAGGGCUUCGCCAAGCACCGCGGGAGAGGAGGAGGAGGGAGAGGGGUAGGGCUGCACCAAAAGGAGACGUUCUCUUGUGUCUUGGGCAGCCCAAACCUCAACUAUAUAUAGGGUGGAAGGGGGCUGCGCCCCCUUUAGGGUUUCCCACCCCAAGAGGAGGCGGCCAGCCCUAGAUCCCAUCAAGGGGGGGCGGCCAAGGGGAGGAGAGGGGGGCGCCCCACUAGAUGGGCCUUAGGGCCCAUCUGGACCUAGGGUUUGCCCCCUCCCACUCUCCCAUGUGCCUUGGGCCUUGGUGGGGGGGCGCACCAGCCCACCUGGGGCUGGUCCCCUCCCACACUUGGCCCACGCAGCCUUCUGGGGCUGGUGGCCCCACUUGGUGGACCCCCGGGACCCUCCCGGUGGUCCCGGUACAUUACCGAUUUCACCCGAAACUUUUCCGGUGACCAAAACAGGACUUCCCAUAUAUAAAUCUUUACCUCCGGACCAUUCCGGAACUCCUCGUGACGUCCGGGAUCUCAUCCGGGACUCCGAACAACAUUCGGUAACCACGUACAUACUUUCCCUAUAACCCUAGCGUCAUCGAACCUUAAGCGUGUAGACCCUACGGGUUCGGGAACCAUGCAGACAUGACCGAGACGUUCUCCGGUCAAUAACCAACAGCGGGAUCUGGAUACCCAUGUUGGCUCCCACAUGUUCCACGAUGAUCUCAUCGGAUGAACCACGAUGUCGGGGAUUCAAUCAAUCCCGUAUUCAAUUCCCUUUGUCUAACGGUAUGUUACUUGCCCGAGAUUCGAUCGUCAGUAUCACUAUACCUUGUUCAAUCUCGUUACCGGCAAGUCUCUUUACUCGUUCCGUAACUCACAUCAUCCCGUGAUCAACUCCUUGGUCACAUUGUGCACAUAAUGAUGAUGUCCUACCGAGUGGGCCCAGAGAUACCUCUCCGUUUACACGGAGUGACAAAUCCCAGUCUCGAUUCGUGCCAACCCAACAGACACUUUCGGAGAUACCCGUAGUGCACCUUUAUAGCCACCCAGUUACGUUGUGACGUUUGGCACACCCAAAGCAUUCCUACGGUAUCCGGGAGUUGCACAAUCUCAUGGUCUAAGGAAGUGAUACUUGACAUUAGAAAAGCUCUGAGCAAACGAACUACACGAUCUUGUGCUAGGCUUAGGAUUGGGUCUUGUCCAUCACAUCAUUCUCCUAAUGAUGUGAUCCCGUUAUCAACGACAUCCAAUGUCCAUGGUCAGGAAACCGUAACCAUCUAUUGAUCAACGAGCUAGUCUCCUAGAGGCUUACUAGGGACAUGGUGUUGUCUAUGUAUCCACACAUGUAUCUGAGUUUCCUAUCAAUACAAUUCUAGCAUGGAUAAUAAACGAUUAUCAUGAACAAGGAAAUAUAAUAAUAACCUAUUUAUUAUUGCCUCUAGGGCAUAUUUCCAACAGUAGUGCUCCCACUCACUUUCUUGUAAAUACAGGCUUCACCACAAGUUUGUAUAAAACUAUAUGCUUUGAUCAACUCAUCAAAGCGUAUAUUCCAACUCCGAGAUGCUUGCACCAGUCCAUAGAUGGAUCGCUAGAGCUUGCACAUUUUGUUAGCACCUUUAGGAUCGACAAAACCUUCUGGUUGCAUCAUAUACAACUCUUCUUUAAGAAAUCCAUUAAGGAAUGUAGUUUUGACAUCCAUUUGCCAGAUUUCAUAAAAUGUGGCAAUUUGCUAACAUGAUUCGGACAGACUUAAGCAUCGCUACGAGUGAGAAAAUCUCAUCGUAGUCAACACCUUGAACUUUGUCAAAAACCUUUUUCGACAAGUCUAGCUUUGUAGAUAGUAACGCUACUAUCAGCGUCCGUCUUCCUCUUGAAGAUCCAUUUAUUUUCUAUGGCUUGCCGAUCAUCGGGCAAGUCAAUCAAAGUCCACACUUUGUUCUCAUACCUAGAUCCCAUCUCAGAUUUCAUGGCCUCAAGACAUUUCGCGGAAUCUGGGCUCAUUAUCGCUUCCUCAUAGUUUGUAGGUUCGUCAUGGUCAAGUAACAUGACCUCCAGAACAGGAUUACCGUACCACUCUGGUGCGGAUCUCACUCUGAUUUACCUACGAGGUUCGGUAGUAACUUGAUCUGAAGUUACAUGACCAUCAUCAUUAGCUUCCUCACUAAUUGGUGUAGGAGUCACAGGAAAAAAUUUCUGUGAUGAACUACUUUCCAAUAAGGGAGCAGGUAUAGUUACCUCAUCAAGUUCUACUUUCCUCCCACUCACUUCUUUCGAGAGAAACUCCUUCUCAAGAAAGGAUCCAUUCUUAGCAACAAAUAUCUUACCUUUGGAUCUGUGAUAGAAGGUGUACCCAACAUUUUCUUUUGGGUAUCCUAUGAAGACGCACUUCUCCGAUUUGGGUUCGAGCUUAUCAGGUUGAAACUUUUUCACAUAAGCAUCGUAUCCCCAAACUUUAAGAAACGACAGCUUAGGUUUCUUGCUAAACCAUAGCUCAUACGGUGUCGUCUCAACGGAUUAGACGGUGCCCUAUUUAAUGUGAAUGCAGCUGUCUCUAAUGCAUAACCCCAGAACGAUAGUGAUAAAUCGGUAAGAUACAUCAUAGAUUGCACUAUCCAAUAAAGUACGGUUAUGACGUUCGAACACACCAUUAUGCUGUGGUGUUCCAGGUGGCAUGAGUUUGUGAAACUAUUCCACAUUGUUUUAAUUGAAGGCCAAGCUUGUAAUUCAAAUAUUCGUCUCUGCGAUCAAAUCGCAGAAAAACUUUUAUUUUCUUGUUACAAUGAUUCUCCACUUCACUCUGAAAUUCUUUGAACUUUUCAACUGUUUCAGUUUCAUUAAGUAGAUAUACCCAUAUCUGCUCAAAUCAUCUGUGAAGGUCAGGAAAUAACGAUACCCGCCGCGAGCCUCAACACUCAUCGGACCGCAUACAUCGGUAUGUAUUAUUUCCAAUAAGUCAGUAGCUUGCUCCAUUGUUCCGGAGAACGGAGUCUUAGUCAUCUUGCCCAUGAGGCAUGGUUCGCAAGCAUCAACUGAUUCAUAAUCAAGUGAUUCCAAAAGCCCAUCAGCAUGGAUUUUCUUCAUGUGCUUUACACCAAUAUGACCUAAACGGCAGUGCCACAAAUAAGUUGCACUAUCAUUAUUAACUUUGCAUCUUUUGGCUUCAAUAUUAUGAAUAUGUGUAUCACUACGAUCGAGAUCCAACAAACCAUUUUCAUUGGGUGUAUGACCAUAGAAGGUUUUAUUCAUGUAAACAGAACAACAAUUAUUCUCUAACUUAAAUGAAUAACCGUAUUGCAAUAAACAUGAUCAAAUCAUAUUCAUGCUCAACGCAAACACCAAAUAACACUUAUUUAGGUUCAACACUAAUCCCGAAAGUAUAGGGAGUGUGCAAUGAUGAUCAUAUCAAUCUUAGAACUGCUUCCAACACACAUCGUCACUUCACCCUUAACUAGUCUCUGCUCAUUCUGCAACUCCCGUUUCGAGUUACUAAUCUUAGCAACUGAACUAGUAUCAAAUACUAAGAGGUUGCUAUAAACACUAGUAAAGUACACAUCAAUAACAUGUAUAUCAAAUAUACCUUUGUUCACUAUGCCAUCCUUCUUAUCCGCCAAGUAUCUAGGGAAGUUCCACUUCUAGUGACCAGUCCCUUUGUAGUAGAAGCACUUAGUCUCAGGCUUAGGUCCAGACUUGGGCUUCUUCACUUGAGCAGCAACUCGCUUGCCGUUCUUCUUGAAGUUCCCCUUCUUCCCUUUGCCCUUUUUCUUGAAACUAGUGGUCUUGUCAACCAGCAACACUUGAUGUUUUUCUUGAUUUCUACCUUCGUCGAUUUCAGCAUCACGAAGAGCUUGGGAAUCGUUCCCAUUAUCCCUUGCAUAUUAUAGUUCAUCACGAAGUUCUAGUAACUUGGUGAUAGUGACUAGAGAACUCUGCCAAUCACUAUCUUAUCUGGAAGGUUAACUCCCACUUGAUUCAAGUGAUUGUAGUACUCAGACAUUCUAAGCACAUGCUCACUAGCUGAGCAAUUCUCCUCCAUCUUGUAGGCAAAGUACUGUCAGAGGUCUCAUACCUCUCGACACGGGCAUGAGUAUGAAAUACUAAUUUCAACUCUUGGAACAUCUCAUAUGCUCCGUGGCGUUUCAAAAAACAUCUUUGAAGCCCCGAUUCUAAGCCGUAAAGCAUGGUGCACUAAACUAUCAAGUAGUCAUCAUAUCGAGCUUGCCAAAUGUUCACAAUGUCUGCAGUUGCUCCUGCAAUCGGUCUAUCACCUAGUGGUGCAUCAAGGACAUAAUUCUUCUGUGCAGCAAUGAGGAUAAUCCUCAGAUCACGGACCCAGUCCGCAUCAUUGCUAGUAUCAUCUUUCAACUUAGUUUUCUCUAGGAACAUAUAUAAAACAUAGGGAAGCAGCAACGCGAGCUAUUGAUCUACAACAUAGAUAUGCUAAUACUACCAGGACUAAGUUCAUGAUAAAUUAAAGUUCAAUUAAUCAUAUUACUUAAUAACUCCCACUUAGAUAGACAUCCCUCUAAUCAUCUAAGUGAUCACGAGAUCCAUAUCAACUAAACCAUGUCCGAUCAUCACGUGAGAUGGAGUAAUUUUCAAUGGUGAACAUCACUAUGUUGAUCAUAUCUACUAUAUGAUUCACGCUCGACCUUUCGGUCUCAGUGUUCCGAGGCCAUAUCUGCAUAUGCUAGGCUCGUCAAGUUUAACCUGAGUAUUCUGCGUGUGCAAAACUGGCUUGCACCCGUUGUAGAUGAACGUAGAGCUUAUCACACCUGAUCAUCACAUGGUGUAUCGGCACGACGAACUUUGGCAACGGUGCAUACUCAGGGAGAACACUUUUAUCUUGAAAUUUAGUGAGAGAUCAUCUUAUAAUGCUACCGUCAAUCAAAGCAAAAUAAGAUGCAUAAAGGAUAAACAUCACAUGCAAUCAAUAUAAGUGAUAUGACAUGUUUUGUGCUUGUGAUCUCCAUCUUCAAAGCAUCGUCAUGAUCACCAUCGUCACCGGCGCGACACCUUGAUCUCCAUCGUAGCAUUGUUGUCGUCUCGCCAACUAUUGCUUCUAUGACUAUCGCUACCGCUUAGUGAUAAAGUAAAGCAAUUACAGGGCGAUUUCAUUGCAUACAAUAAAGCGACAACCAUAUGGCUUAGUGAUAAAGUAAAGCAAUUACUCGGUUACAAAACAUGAUCAUCUCAUACAAUAAAAUAUAGCAUCAUGCCUUGACCAUAUCACAUCACAACAUGCCCUGCAAAAACAAGUUAGACGUCCUCUACUUUGUUGUUGCAAGUUUUACGUGGCUGCUACAGGCUGAGCAAGAACCGUUCUUACCUACGCAACAAAAACCACAACGAUAGUUCGUCAAGUUAGUGUUGUUUUAACCUUCUCAAGGACCGGGCGUAGCCACACUCGGUUCAACUAAAGUUGGAGAAACUGACACCCGCCAGCCACCUGUGUGCAAAGCACGUCGGUAGAACCAGUCUCGCGUAAGCGUACGCGUAAUGUCGGUUCGGGCCGCUUCAUCCAACAAUACUGCCGAACCAAAGUAUGACAUGCUGGUAAGCAGUAUGACUUGUAUCGCCCACAACUCACUUGUGUUCUACUCGUGCAUAUAACAUCUACGCAUAAAACUAGGCUCGGUUGCCACUGUUGGGGAACGUAGUAAUUUCAAAAAAAAUCCUACGCACACACAGGAUCAUGGUGAUGCAUAGCAACGAGAGGGGAGAGUGUGUCCACGUACCCUCGUAGACCGAAAGCAAAAGCGUUAGCACAACGCAGUUGAUGUAGUCGUACGUCUUCACGAUCCGACUGAUCCAAGUACCGAACGCACGCCACCUCCGAGUUCAACACACGUUCUGCUCGAUGACGUCCCGCGAACUCCGAUCCAGCAGAGCUUCAUGGGUGAGUUUCAUCAGCACGACAGCGUGAUGACGCUGAUGAUGUUGCUACCAACGCAGGGCUUCGCCUAAGCACCGCUACGAUAUGAUCGAGGUGGAAUAUGAUGGAGGGGGGCACCGCACACGGCUAAGAGAUCAAGAGAUCAAUUGUUGUGUCUAUGGGGUGCCCCCUGGCCACGUAUAUAAAGGAUGGAGGGAGAAGGAGGCCGGCCCUCAUAGGGCGCACCCAAGUGUGGAGUCCUGCUAGGACUCCCUAGUCCUAGUAGGAUUCCACCUCCCACAUGGAAUAGGAAAAAGGGAAGGGAGAAGGAGAAGGAAGGAAGGGGGCGCCCCCCCUCCCUACUCCAAUUCGGACCAGUCCAUGUGGAGGGGUGCGGCCACCCUUUGGGGCCUUUCUCUCCUUUCCCGUAUGGCCCAUUAAGGCCCAAUACGAAUUCCCGUAACUCUCCGGUACUCCGAAAAAUAACCGAAUCAUUCGGAACCUUUCCGAUGUCCGAAUAUAGUCGUCCAAUAUAUCGAUCUUUAUGUCUCGACCAUUUCGAGACUCCUCGUCAUGUCCCCGAUCUCAUCCGAGACUCCGAACUACCUUCUGUACAUCAAAACACAUAAACUCAUAAUACAAAUCGUCACCGAACGUUAAGCGUGCGGACCCUACGGGUUCGAGAACUAUGUAGACAUGACCGAGACACAUCUCCGGUCAAUAACCAAUAGCGGAACCUGGAUGCUCAUAUUGGCUCCUACAUAUUCUACGAAGAUCUUUAUCGGUCAAACCUCAUAACAACAUACGUUGUUCCCUUUGUCAUCGGUAUGUUACUUGCCCGAGAUUCGAUCGUCGGUAUCUUAAUACCUAGUUCAAUCUCGUUACCGUCAAGUCUCUUUACUCGUUCCGUAGUACAUCAUCCCGCAACUAACUCAUUAGUUACAAUGCUUGCAAGGCUUAUAGUGAUGUGCAUUACUGAGUGGGCCCAGAGAUACCUCUCCGACAAUCGGAGUGACAAAUCCUAAUCUCGAAAUACGCGAACCCAACAAGUACCUUCGGAGACACCUGUAGAGCACCUUUAUAAUCACCCAGUUACGUUGUGACGUUUGGUAGCACACAAAGUGUUCCUCUGGUAAACGGGAGUUGCAUAAUGUCAUAGUCAUAGGAACAUGUAUAAGUCAUGAAGAAAGCAAUAGAAACAUACUAAACGAUCAAGUGCUAAGCUAACGGAAUGGUUCAAGUCAAUCACAUCAUUCUCCUAAUGAUGUGAUCCCGUUAAUCAAAUGACAACUCAUGUCCUUGGCUAGGAAACUCAACCAUCUUUGAUCAACGAGCUAGUCAAGUAGAGGCAUACUAGUGACACUACGUUUGUCUAUGUAUUCACACCUGUAUUAUGUUUCCGGUUAAUACAAUUCUAGCAUGAAUAAUAAACAUUUAUCAUGAUAUAAGGAAAUAAAUAAUAACUUUAUUAUUGCCUCUAGGGUAUAUUUCCUUCACAACACGCCGCCCCUCUCGACUGCGUCGCCCCAAGGGGCGUCCCCAGUAAGGGCAUCCAUCGCCGAUCCCAUGCAUAUGGAGGAGGAGGCGAACUUGGGCACCGGGGGUUCUGCCCUGGCAACAAAUGCUGGUGGGGAGGGGCCACUUCUUCCCAGCUUGAAGCGGGUAAGUCGUUUGCUUCCCGUCCUCGCUCUUUCUUUUUCUUAUUGAACCUUGACCUUGGCCUUGUUUCAUCCUCUCUUCUUGGUAUCCAAAUCCUUCCUCGGUGGACCGGGAGGAUAUCGACACUGUUAUCAAGGAGGUCGCCAGGGACGCCGAGGCCGAGGCCAACAAGAUCGCCGCCGAGGAGGCCACCAAGACCGCCGCUGAAGAGGCCACCAAGGAGCCUACCGGGGAGUCCGGCAAGGCCGCUGCCGAGGAGGCCGGCAAGGGGCCUGCCGGAGAGGCCGGCAAGGCCGCUGCCGAGGAGGGGAUGGUUGACGACCAACCUUCCUCUUUUGCUGCCUCCGGCUUGGGCAAGUACUUGAAGGUGGGCGAUGACCUAUUCGUCUACCUCCUAGGAACGGCAAGCACCAGGGCGCCAACCGAAGGGGAGGCGUUCGACGACGAGGCGCUCGCCUCCGCUGGGCUCCAGGUCGUUGACGAACCGAGCGCCGGCGGCGGCGGUUCCCAAGAGGAGCAGCUGCUUCGGGCCAUGAGCACCAACUUCUAGAAGCUCCAGGCGCUUCACCGUGCCCGCCUGGACAAGGCAAAAUCCAAGAUGGCGGCGGUGGACAAAGUGGAGGCGGAUCUCGAGGGACGCGUCAUUGAGACGCAGGCCUGGUUCCGCCAAGCCCACGUGGAACUGAAGGUCGCCCAGGACCUGCUGGCUGAGCGCAAAUAGGAGCUCGUCCUGAAGCAGGCCGAUGUCGAGAAAGCCGAAGAGGCGGCGAGGGAACAGGCCGCCAAGGACGAGGCUGCUCGACAUCAGCACCAGGCCGAGCUGAACUCUCAGGAGGAGGACCUUGCCGCUCGUGAGGAGGCACACGCCGCCACGCUCCGCGGCAAGGAUGAGGAUGUCGAGAAGCUCGUCGCGCUGCGGACCCAGGAGCUGGAGCAGGGGCAUAGGGAGGCGCUUAGUGCCCAAGCCCUGGUCCAUGCCGGCAGGGUGAAGGAGCUGGAGGUGGAGCGGGAUGGCCUGAAGAAACAGGUCCUGGAGCUGGCGAAGGAGAAAGACAUGCUCAACGGCGCCUUGGUGGAGGCACACGCCACAGUCCUCGGCAAAGCCGAGUUGCUCUCCAAGGCCAAUGACUCCAUCAAAGAUCUGAAGCUGAAGCUGGAGGGUCUUGAGGGGAUGCUUUCGGAGGUCAGGGCCUGAGAAGAGACCCUGACCAAGGCCCUGGAGGACGAGAAGCAGCUGCGGAGGAAUGACGCCGCCAACCAAGAGGAUUACGUGAAGGGCGAAAACCUCUGGAUCAGCCGCCUCGUUGGCGUCGUGGAGAGGCUCACCACGCAGCUGGCCGUCAUGGGCAUGUCGAGAUUCAGGUAUUCCCCUGAAGCGGGUACGAGCCCCAAUGCCAAGCUGACCCUGUUCUUCAAGGGCGUUCUUGAGGCCCUAGAGCAGCUCCGUUCCAAUAGAGCGACCUCUCUGGCCAACGAGGCCCGGAGGCUUUGCCGGGGUGCCCUGACCAAGGUCCUCACCAAGGUGGCAUACUAGAACCCCAACAUCGACUUCGACGCCGCGCUGGAGAGCUUGCCGGAGGGUGUGGACCUUGCGGUGCUCGAAGAGCGUAUCGAGCCCAUCAUCAGCCGCGUCGAUGGAGUUCGGAGGAUAGAGGGCCAGCGCUGGGACUAGGCACCCCGUUUCUCAUCGCCGCUGCAGGUUCAUGACCAAGACGACUUUUAUCUUUAGUUAGAACCGCAACAACAAUUGGUGUAACAUAACUCCGCAGUACUUUGAAACGAUGCAUGUUAUUUUCCUGUUCGAUAUUUCUUUGUAUGUGCACCCUACGCUCAACUGGAUAGGCUUGCCGGCGCGUAAACCCCGGCUGCGGCGUUUCAAGGACGGAUCCUCAACAACCGGCCGGGUGUGCUUGCGGCCGAGCAAACCACCUUGCCUUUCUGAGCGCGGCCGCUUGAACUGUUGAGCGGACUUGAAACAGAACAAGGGCGUUGCCAAUAGCAGGAAGGCCGCCCUGCCGUUCUCGAUGCGGCCGCUCGAACUGUUGAGCGGACUCGAAACAGAACAAGGGUGUUGCCAAUAGCGGAAGGCCCCCAUCGCAUGCAGGUUUCUCAUACCAAGAGCAGGAUCUCCGAGGAAAACAACCUUAUACACAAAGGAAUUACUCAAAGGUUCACAUGACUUAGCUUUUCUGUCGCCGCGCGAGCGUUUACCGCAUCCGCAAAUGAUGCCGCUCGUUCGGUCGCCUUCUUCCUUGGAGUGACGACCACGAUGAAGCCGCUGCACCAACUAGACCUAAUUUUCACAACUGCGCCCCCUACGUGGCGCGCCAAAGAUGUCGGGGGAAACGACACCUAUGGGAUCACUGGGGUCGCUUUUGCUACGGUUGGCGGGCGCGAGGUUGUGGAAAGAGCGGGUCUAGAAGCCAGCACGAGGAUCGUUUACCCAGGUUCGGGCCACGAGGAUGCGUAAUACGCUAGUCCUGCUUUGAUGUAUAUUUGAGUGUUCUUGAGUUCUUGAACUAGCUACGAUGCGUGUGUCGUCCAAAAGAUCCAAAUUCUCCUUCAGUACUCCUCGGGCCUCCUUUUAUAGUCAAAAGGGGCUGCCACAGUGGCACACAGGAGGUGAAAAGGUAUACAGUGUACAAGCUUAUCGCCUGUCAUUACAGGACAAAGUGCAUUAAAUGCGCUACUUAGGUGUCCACUUGCUUUAUCGGGGGCGGUAACGAGGCCCGUCCCAUCCAUCGCUGCUCCGCCUUGCUCCGACACGCGUCCAGGCCAACGAGGCAUGCAGCGCCAUGUAGGCUGGCAGGCUGCUGAGUUGGCGUGGUGGUAGGGUCUUCAUGAAGAUCCGUAUGCCACCACGCAGGUGUUUGGCUAGUUGGAUUAGUAUCCACGUACUGCCACGUGGGUACUUGCUUCAGUUGGUGGGUUGGCCGCUGAGCUGGGGCGGCGAUGGGGCAGCAAGGUCUUGCCGCGGUCUCGCGUAUAUUGCCGGCAAGGGUCUUGCUGGGGCCUUGUGAGCGCCCUCGGCAAGAGUCUUGCCGGGGCCUUGCGAGUGUCUUCGGCAAGGAGUCUUGUUGGGGCCUCGUGGGCAUCCUCGGCAAAGAGCCUUGCGAUUGUCUUGUCUUCUGGUCCUCAUCUAGGAUUUGUAGGCUCUCUGUCUUCACAAAGAUCUGCAUGCCACCAUGCAAGCACUUCCCGAGCCUUGGUUCCAAUGCUGUCGAUGGUGCCGGACCUCUCAGGCUCAAGGGUGGCUGCGAUGUUGGCGCAGGGAGAGCUUCCCCGGCAACACUCUUGCCGGGGCUGUGUAGGCCGCCCCGGCAAGGGUCUUGCCGGGAGGAAGCCUGUCUGAUUGCUCCGUCUUCUGUGCCCUUGGUUGGAGCGCUGCCCUGGUAGCCUUGCACUUCUGUUUCCCUCCUCUGCCCUGCUAAGUGUGGUCGCGGGUGCGGCUCUGACUGCCCGUGCACAGGUAAAGGGGCACAAAAGAGAGCCCCUACUUUUGUGCACCGUCAGUCAAGUAACAUGACCUCCAGAACAGGAUUAUCAUACCACUCUGGUGCGGAUCUUACUCUGGUUGACCUACAAGUUUCAGUAGUAACUUGAUCUGAAGUUACAUGAUCAUCAUUAUUAGCUUCCUCACUAAUUGGUGUAGGAGUCACAAGAACAGAUUUCUGUGAUGAACUACUUUCCAAUAAGGGAGCAGGUACAGUUACCUCAUCAUGUUCUACUUUCCUCCCACUCACUUAUUUCGAGAGAAACUCCUUCUCAAGAAAGGAUCCAUUCUUAGCAACGGAUAUCUUACCUUCGGAUCUAUGAUAGAAGGUGUACCCAAUAGUCUCCUUUGGAUAUCCUAUGAAGACACAUUUCUCCGAUUUGGGUUCGAGCUUAUCAGGUUGAAGCUUUUUCACAUAAGCAUCGCAGCCCCAAACUUUAACAAACGACAACUUUGGUUUCUUGCCAAACCACAGUUCAUAAGGUGUCGUCUCAACGGAUUUAGAUGGUGCCCUAUUUAACGUGAAUGCAGCCGUCUCUAAAGCAUAACCCCAAAACGAUAGCGGUAAAUCAGUAAGAGACAUCAUAGAUCGCACCAUAUCUAGUAAAGUAAAAUUACGACGUUCGGACACACCAUUACGCUGUGGUGUUCCGGGUGGCGUGAGUUGCGAAACUAUUCCGCAUUGUUUCAAAUGAAGACCAAACUCAUAACUCAAAUAUUCUCGUCCACGAUCAGAUCGUAGAAACUUUAUUUUCUUAUUACGAUGAUUUUCCACUUCACUCUGAAAUUGUUUGAACUUUUCAAAUGUUUCAGACUUAUGUUUCAUCAAGUAGAUAUACCCAUAUCUGCUCAAAUCAUCUGUGAAGGUGAGAAAAUAACGAUACCCGCCGCGAGCCUCAACAUUCAUCAGACCACAUACAUCAGUAUGUAUGAUUUCCAACAAAUUUGUUGUUCGCUCCAUUGUUCCGGAGAACGGCGUUUUAGUCAUCUUGCCCAUGAGGCAUGGUUCGCAAGUACCAAGUGAUUCAUAAUCAAGUGAUUCCAAAAGUCCAUCAGAAUGGAGUUUCUUCAUGCGCUUUACACCAAUAUGACCUAAACGGCACUGCCACAAAUAAGUUGCACUAUCAUUAUCAACUCUGCAUCUUUUGGCUUCAAUAUUAUGAAUAUGUGUAUCACUACUAUCGAGAUUCAAUAUAAAUAGACCACUCUUCAAGGGUGCAUGACCACAAAAGAUAUUACUCAUAUAAAUAGAACAACCAUUAUUCUCUGAUUUAAAUGAAUAACCGUCUCGCAUCAAACAAGAUCCAGAUAUAAUGUUCAUGCUCAACGCUGGCACCAAAUAACAAUUAUUCAAGUCUAAAACUAAUCCCGAAGGUAGAUGUAGAGGUAGCGUGCCGACUGCGAUCACAUCGACUUUGGAACCAUUUCCCACGCGCAUCGUCACCUUGUCCUUAGCUAAUCUUCCCUUAAUCCGUAGUCCCUAUUUCGAGUUGCAAAUAUUAGCAACAGAACUAGUAUCAAAUACCCAGGCACUACUGCGAGCAUUAGUAAGGUACACAUCAAUAACAUGUAUAUCACAUAUACCUUUGUUCACCUUGCCAUCCUUCUUAUCGGCCAAAUACUUGGGGCAGUUCCGCUUCCAGUGACCAGUCCCUUUGCAGUAGAAGCACUCAGUCUCAGGCUUAGGUCCAGACUUGGGCUUCUUCACUUGAGCAGCAACUUGCUUGCCAUUCUUCUUGAAGUUCCCCUUCUUCCAUUUACCCUUUUUCUUGAAACUGGUGGUCUUGUUGACCAUCAACACUUGAUGCUCUUUCUUGAUUUCUACCUCCGCAGCCUUUAGCAUUGCGAAGAGCUCGGGAAUUGUCUUAUCCGUCCCUUGCAUAUUAUAGUUCAUCACGAAGCUCUUGUAGCUUGGUGGAAGUGAUUGAAAAAUUCUAUCAAUGACACUAUCAUCAGGAAGAUUAACUCCCAGUUGAAUCAAGUGAUUGUUAUACCCAGACAUUUUGAGUAUAUGCUCACUGAUAGAGCUAUUCUCCUCCAUUUUGUAGCUGUAGAACUUAUUGGAGACUUCAUAUCUCUCAAUCCGGGCAUUUGCUUAAAAUAUUAACUUCAACUCCUGGAACAUCUCAUAUGCUCCAUGACGUUCAAAACGUCGUUAAGUCCCGGUUCUAAGCUGUAAAGCAUGGCACACUGAACUAUCGAGUACUCAUCAGCUUUGCUCUGCCAGACGUUCAUAACAUCUGGCGUUGCUCCUGCAGCGGGUUUGGCACCUAGCGGUGCUUCCAGGACGUAAUUCUUCUAUGCAGCAGUGAGGAUAAUCCUCAAGUUAUGGACCCGGUCCGUGUAGUUGCUACCAUCAUCUUUCAACUUAGCUUUCUCUAGGAACGCAUUAAAAUUCAAUGGAAGAACAGCACGGGCCAUCUAUCUACAACAACAUAGACAUGCAAAAUACUAUCAGGUACUAAGUUCAUGAUAAAUUAAAGUUCAAUUAAUCAAAUUACUUAAGAACUCCCACUUAGAUAGACAUCCCUCUAAUCAUCUAAGUGAUCACGUGAUCCAUAUCAACUAAACCAUAUCCGAUCAUCACGUGAGAUGAAGUAGUUUUCAAUGUUGAACAUCACUAUGUUGAUCAUAUCUACUAUAUGAUUCACGCUCGACCUUUCGGUCUCAGUGUCCCAAGGCCAUAUCUACAUAUGCUAGGCUCGUCAAGUUUAACCCGAGUAUUCUGCAUGUGCAAAACUGGCUUGCACCCGUUGUAUGUGAACGUAGAGCUUAUCACGCCCGAUCAUCACGUGGUGUCUCGGCACGAUGAACUUUCGCAACGGUGCAUACUCAGGGAGGACACUUGUACCUUGAAAUUUAGUGAGAGAUCAUCUUAUAAUGCUACCGUCGAUCUAAUCAAAAAAAGAUGCAUAAAGGAUAAACAUCACAUGCAAUCAAUAUAAGUAUCAUGAUAUGGACAUCAUCAUCUUGUGCCUUUGAUCUCCAUCUCCAAAGCACCGUCAUGAUCACCAUCAUCACCGGCGCGACACCUUGAUCACCAUCGUACCAUCGUUGUCGUCUCGCCAACUAUUGCUUCUACGACUAUCGCUAUCGCUUAGUGAUAAAGUAAAGCAAUUACAUGGCGAUUGCAUUUCAUACAAUAAAGCGACAACCAUAUGGCUCCUGCCAGUUGCCGAUAACUCUGUCACAAAACAUGAUCAUCUCAUACAAUAAAAUUUAGCAUCAUUUCUUGACCAUAUCACAUCACAACAUCCCUGCAAAAACAAGUUAGAACGGUUCUUACCUACGCAUCAAAACCACAACGAUAUUUCGUCAAGUAUGUGCUGUUUAACCUUCAACAAGGACCGGGCGUAGCCAUACUCGAUUCAACUAAAGUUGGAGAAACUGACAUCCGCCAGCCACCUGUGUGCGAAGCACGUCGGUAGAACCAGUCUCGCGUAAGCGUACGCGUAAUGUCGGUCCGGGCCGCUUCAUCCAACAAUACCGCCGAAUAAAAGUAUGACAUGCUGGUAAGCAGUAUGACUAGUAUCACCCACAACUCACUUGUGUUCUACUCGUGCAUAUAACAUCUACGCAUAAACCUGGCUCGGAUGCUACUGUUUGGAAAUGUAGUAAUUUCAAAAAAAUCCUACGCACACGCAGGAUCAUGGUGAUGCAUAGCAAUGAGAGGGGAGAGUGUUGUCCACGUACCCUCGUAGACCGUAAGCGGAAGCGUUAUGACAACGCGGUUGAUGUAGUCGUACGUCUUCACGAUCGACCAAUCCUAGUACCGAACGUACGGCACCUCCGCGACCUGCACACAUUCAGCUCGGUGACGUCCCACGAACUCACGAUCCAGUAGAGUGUCGAGGAAGAGUUUCGUCAUCACGACGGCGUGAUGACGGUGAUGAUGAAGCUUCCAGCGCAGGGCUUCGCCUAAGCACUGCAAUGAUAUGACCGAGGUGGAAUAUGGUGGAGGGGGCACCGUACACGGCUUGGAACAAUCAACUUGUGUGUCCUAGGGUGCCCCCUGCCCCCGUAUAUAAAGGAGCAAGGGGGAGGCCGGCCGGCCUUGGGGCGCGCCAAGGAGAGGGGGGAGUCCUCCUCCUAGUGGGAGUAGGACUCCCCUUUCCUAGUCCAACAAGGAAGGAGGAAGGGGGAAGGAAGGAGAGGGAGAGAGGGAGGAAAGAGGGGGCGCCGCCCCCCUCCUUGUCCAAUUCGGACACCCAAGGAGGGGGGGUGCGGCCAUCCCUAGGCCCUCUCCUCUCUCUCUCUCCCACAAGGCCCAUGUUGGCCCAUUAGAUCCCCCGGGGGUUCCGAUAACCCCCCGGCACUGUGAUAAAUAUCCGGUGACCCCCGGAACUCAUCCGGUGUCCGAAUAUAGUCGUCCAAUAUAUCAAUCUUUAUGUCUCGACCAUUUCGAGACUCCUCAUCAUGUCUGUGAUCACAUCCGGGACUCUGAACUAUCUUCGGUACAUCAAAACACAUAAACUCAUAAUACAGAUAGUCACCGAACGUUAAGCGUGCGGACCCUACGGGUUCGAGAACUAUGUAGACAUGACAGAGACAUGUCUCCGGUCAAUAACCAACAGCGGAACCUGGAUGCUCAUACUGGCUCCUACAUAUUCUAUGAAGAUCUUUAUCGGUCAAACCGCAUAACAACAUACGUUGUUCCCUUUGUCAUCGGUAUGUUACUUUCCCGAGAUUCGAUCGUCGGUAUCUCAAUACCUAGUUCAAUCUCGUUACCGGCAAGUCUCUUUACUCGUUCCGUAAUGCAUCAUCCCGCAACUAACUCAUUAGUUACAUUGCUUGCAAGGCUUAUAGUGAUGUGCAUUACCGAGAGGGCCCAGAGAUACCUCUCCGACAUUCAGAGUGACAAAUCCUAAUAUCGAUCUAUGCCAACUCAACAAGUACCAUCGGAGACACCCGUAGAGCACCUUUAUAAUCACCCAGUUACGUUGUGACGUUUGGUAGCACACAAAGUGUUCCUCCGGUAUUCGGGAGUUGCAUAAUCUCAUAAUCAUAGGAACAUGUAUAAGUCAUGAAGAAAGCAAUAGCAAUAUACUAAACGAUCAAAUGCUAAGCUAACGGAAUGGGUCAAGUCAAUCACAUCAUUCUAUAAUGAUGUGAUCCCGUUAAUCAAAUGACAACUCAUGUCUAUGGUUAGGAAACAUAACCUUCUUUGAUUCAACGAGCUAGUCAAGUAGAGGCAUACUAGUGACACUCUGUUUGUCUAUGUAUUGACACAUGUACUAAGUUUUCGGUUAAUACAAUUCUAGCAUGAAUAAUAAACAUUUAUCAUGAUAUAAGGAAAUAUAAAUAACAACUUUAUUAUUGCCUCUAGGGCAUAUUUCCUUCAACACUAUGCUUGGGAAUGUGGGCAUCGCUACAAUCAUGCGUUUCAACCCCAACACUCCAAGAUGGCCGGCCUAGCGGCUGCCUCUCCGCCGUCUAUCCGUGGUGACCCGACCUGGUUCACUGACACGGGGGCGUCCGACCACAUCACCUCGGAUCUGGAUCGCCUCACCAUAAGGGAGAAGUACCCAGGGCGGGACCGCAUCCACACCGCCGACGGCUCAGGUUUGCCCAUAGCUCAUCGUGGUCAUGCAAUCCUCCCUACUCCUUCUGCCAACCUUAAACUUUGCAACGUCUUACAUGUUCCCAAUGCAGAUAAAAAUCUUCUCUCUGUUAAUCGUCUUACCAUUGAUAAUCAUGCUUAUCUAAAAUAUUACCCUACUCGUUUUCUUAUGAAGGAUUUGAUCACCAAGAGGGUCCUUCUUCAAGGCAGAUGUGAAAAUGGACUCUACCCUAUUCGGCCCUCACCCUUUCGUGCUCUAUUUUCGGUUCGGCUCUCUGCUGAAGAUUGGCAUGCUAGGCUCGGCCACCCAUCCACACAAGUCGUUCAACAUGUUUUGGCGUCCAAUAAAUUUUCCUCUUCUAGUUGGUCUCUGACGCAUGUGUGUAAUGCUUGUCAACAAGGCAAAGCACAUCAGUUACCUUUUCCUAGAUCUUCAAGUGUUUCCUCGUUUCCAUUAAAAUUUUUUUUCUCGGAUGUGUGGGGACCUGCCAAGACUUCCUCUGAUGGGUUCCAGUACUAUGUUUCAUUUAUCGAUGAUUAUAGUAAAUUUGUGUGGAUCUAUCUUGUGAUGUGUUUGAUGUUUUUCGUGAUUUUCUUGCCCAUGUUGAACGUUUACUAUCUCGCAAACUCAUAUGCGUUCAAUCUGACUGGGGUGGGGAAUACGAGAAACUUAGCAAUACCUUUUUCCGUCAACUUGGCAUCACACAUCACGUAUCUUGCCCACACACACACACACCAGCAAAAUGGUUCCGCCGAGCGGAAACAUCAUCACAUUGUUGACAUGGGUAUUUCUCUCUUAUCACAUGCGUCUAUGCAUUUGCGGUUCUGGGAUUGAUAUAGUAAUUUGAGGAAAAUGUGCUGAUAAGUUCCCUAACGUCUUGUUCUGUCGCUCAUUUGGACCUGUAGAGGUGAUGGAAACCGGCACCACCCUCCUAGCAUUCACCCGUCCCAUGCUCGCAGAUGCCUCGGACUCCGCUUCUUGGAGCCGCACUCCCUCGGGAGAUUUUUCGGUUGCCUCGGCCUAUCAUAUCAUGCUCUGUGCCGUAGGCCGACUAUUACUUGGGUGGCGCCUCUAUGGAAGGCGUCACUCCCCCUGAAGGUUAAAAAUUUUGUGUGGCAAUUGCAGAGGGGUCGCCUACCUUCGGGCACAAAAGUGCUUCAGAGACAUGGCCCAUGUGAUGGGCUCUAUCCUUUGUGUGGGGUUUCAGAAACAACGACCCACAUCCUCUUCUCCUGCACGGCAACUCGGGUGUUGUGGUCCUUUGUCCGAGAUGCACUAGGACCAGACUGGGAGGUCCAGGAUCGCGUAGGCUUCCACCAGGCUAGAGCAAUUCAGGCUGAGAGGAAGAGGCGGCUAUUCUGACUUGUUUUUGCGGCUAGCUUGGACUCUUUGGAUGACGCGUGAUAAGAUGGUGAUUGAGCGGGUCGUUCUCUGCCAGGCCUCUGACUCAUACUUAAAUUUCUUGCGUUCUUGCAGCACUGGCACCCGCUGGUUAGGCAGCGGGACUGCGGCCUUUUGUGGCGGAUGUUGGACUCACAUCAUGACACCGCUCGGUGCCUCUCUUCGCCGGCAACCACUUGAUGUGUUUUGGUUCCAACAGACUUUUAUUUCAGUGUUGUGGUACUCCUUGUAUGAACCGGUUGAUUGGUUUAUCAAUAAAGCGGGACGAAAGACUAUUUCAAGCCAGUGGGGCGAAGCUCAUCUCUUUCAUGAGAUGCAUGUUUUUAAGAUCGGAAUAUGACGUAUGUGUGGAGUAAAAUAAACUAAUUAUGAUACGAACUUACUACUGCUAAGUGGUCAAAACCUAUACAUGCAUCAGAAAUGACAUAAGGAAUUCAUGUGUUUACGAACAUAGAAUCCAUAAAAGGGUAAUCUUUACUUAUUGCGGAGGACACUUUAAGUUUGUGUACAAAUUUAGUCAUAGUAUAUGUCAUGUUAGGAACAGCUUAAUGUCUACGGUAUAUAUAAUCAUUUUUGGAGAAAUAUACAAGAAUUGUGUUUCUUUAAUAACUUGAACAAGCAUGGUGGAGGCGGCGGGACUAGCGGCAGACUCGGAGGCGCCCAUGGCAAGGAGAGCGGCCUUGGCGGGACCGGCGGCGCGACAAACACGGAGGCGGCCAUGGCAAGGAGCGUUGGAACGGCCUUGGCGGCCGCAGGGUUGGAGGAGGCGUCCAUGAGGAGCCGACGACAGCGGAAGGCGAAAAGUAAGGCGCGGCGCAGGAAUGAUCCGCAUGUUUUGCUCGAAUUGUACUCCAGAUGCCCAAGUGAUGCAUAUGUACAUCAUCGAAGGUUGUAUUUUACAUCUAGAGCAAAACUUAAAUACAAAAAUACAUUUACAUUUACAUGUAAAAGUCGGUUAUUUAUACAUCUACACCAUGUUAGAGAUGCUGCAUAGAAAAAUUGUGAGUCGUGAGCGAACCAGCGCGAACAUGAACGCUGGCAUUCCCAACCCAACUGUAAGAGAAUCUACAGCCGGACUUGGAAAAUCCGGCCCCUCAAACGCCCGCGGACGCGUCCGGGUGCGUCCACAGGUAAUGACCGGGCAUGUUCCAUAUUUCCUUCUUCACAUACAACUCUUCCAUAUUCAUUCCCUAAAUCCAUGCAAAAGCAUACAAAAUAUAUAGUUGCGCACUACGUUUUAUACUAUUCAAAUUUCAUCGUUGUCAACGAUGGCCGGAGCCGCCAGCGCCGCCUCCAUCUGUUACCGACGGCGACGUCUAGCCUCCGUAGCCGACUCCGAGCGGAUGGAGUUCAGGAUGGCGUGCUGCUCCCGCAGCACGCCCACGUCCUCCUCCAUCGUUGGCACCUCCUCCUCUCCCACAUCCAUGGCGGCGCCUCCUCCUCUUCCUUCGCGGGCUCCUGCUCCUCCUCCGCCGGCUCCGGCUCCUACUCCUGCUCCUCCUCCACCGGCUCUUGCUCCUCCUCCUCUUCCUCCUUCCCCGGCAUCUCCUCCUCGAUCUCCUCGAAAAUCCUCCUCCGGUUACAGAGGUAGCCUCGCUUCCCUAUGGAUCCGGACCUGCUCAAGGAGGAAGAGACGGUGCUGGAUCGUGUACUAGCGGAGGCGUGGGGGCAUGGCUAACAGGCUCGGCGGAGGGAGGGAAGAGGCGGAUGUGCUAGGGCUGGGGGCGUCGGCCGGCUUAAAUAGCCGGCUACGGCCUCGGGCGGCGCCACGCGGCGGUUACACCGCGGCGACGGUCGAGGCACCCGUUGGAUCAUCGGGUUUUCCGGCGAGUCUGUAUGGGGCCACGUCGUCAGGCCAAUAUCCGCCCCAUAUUUGAGCUGGAUAUGGGGGGUGCCGGUCAGUCUGGGCGUUUGAGGGCCGUUUAAGAGGCCCAUCUGGGUCAAAAAAAUCGUGACCGGGCAGUGAUCGGGCGGCCCGCCCGAACGUAUGAGGCGGGUUUGAAAGGUCCGAUUGUAGAUGCUCUAAGUCUACAGGUGACAUCCUUGGGCCAAUUCAUGAACUCAACACUCCUUUUGUUUUUUGCCGCCCGCACUGCUACCGGCCGCUGCCGCCUCCGAUGUUCCUGGCUGCUAGCUCCUCCACUUCUUCCGGACCUACUGCUCGUGAUAGCUCCUGCCGUGCUCAUCCCAGUCGCCCCUUGCACUGCCCUAGGCCACUGCCUGCAUUGCUGCUACUGCCGUCUGUAGCUUCCCAGGUCGUCGUUGGUGUUCGGUGUUGGCGAUGUUGAUGAUGGUCGGCAUCUUGUGGCAGUUGAGACACACCCGACAUGUUAUAGAUACAUGUUUUGUUCACUUUGCCAUCAGCGCCUGAACCUGAAGCUUGAAGCAACAGUGUGUUGGAUACAGAAUCUGGACUUUGCUGAAUCUAUAGCAUGUAGCAAUGUGAUGUAUAUCAUCAUUGCUUGCUUGAUGUUCCAAUUAGCUGAUGCAUUGCUUGUAGUUGUUCCAAUUGUUGAGUCCUCUGGAUCGGUUAGGGUUAAGGAUUCACAGUAGUCUUUACCUUUUCCUUGGAUUGAUGAGCUCGAUGGGUUGGCCAUGGUGAAUGGCGGCGGUGGUGAUGGCAGAUCGUGGGCGAAGUGGUUGCGGCGCUUCCCAUCAGCACUGCACUAACCCUAAAUCGGUAGGGGAUGUAGGUGGGGUGUACGGCAUCGCGACGAACCUCGUAAUGCGAGCCGCCGUCCCCCACCUCUUUAUAUAGUGCCGGUGACAGGGGCCCGUCACCCAUAGUGGGCUGAGCGCCCCGAUCAGGGCGCGGAUCUAAGGGCCCGGUGGGCCGUUGGGCCCACACGGUGGAGAUCAUCCUAACACCAAUUAGCUGUAACAAUGAUGAUAUACAUGAGUAGAUAAUCAGGUUUGCACAAGAAUAACUGUGCUUGCUUCUGCAACACUGGUAACUCUGUUUGCACAAGAAUACAUGCAAAAUGUAACUUCAAUACCAGAGCUUGAUGAACAGAGACACCACACUAUAGGAUCACCACUAUCUUAGCAAGAACUUACGCAUACUUUACUGAAACACAAAUGCCACUUGAAGACAAAAGGUUAGAUAUUCCGGUGAAGCCAAACUAAAGAGAAUUAAAAUGACAUCUUCAUUAUGUAGAAGACACUCUUAGCAUUACUUUAAUGCCGAAGUAAUUGAAUAUUACCCAGUCUAGCAAAGAGACCUACCAUUUAUCUAUUGCUGAAGUAAUUAUCCACUAAUGGCCGGUGUCCGUGAAGAUACGGGGAUGACAUAGGCAAGAAUUGGUGAUAUAUAAUUACCUGAAUUUCCAGUGUUCGCUAGGUUCUGAAAUGGUGUCUGUAUCCCAUUAUGCUGAGAGGAUGCCAUAUGCAGCUGUGAAUCAACACUGGACAGGAAACAUCAACUUUCAAAGACAUUGAUAAGCGAUGGUAAGAUUCUUUAAAAUUCAAUGGCCUACAUGAUUCUCAUCCUAUUUGUUAAGAGAACAAUCAAAACCCAAAGAACAAGACAUCAAAAACUCAGUUUACAUCUAGACAUGGAAUAAUAAUGGGUAUGUUUGGUUUGAGCCCCAUGUAGCAUUGCCAAAAUUUGGCAUGGCCAAACCAAGGGCAUGACCCAGAUAUUGGAAAGUCUCGUUGUUUGGUUUGUAGCCAUGUCACCUACCUUUUUCUGGCAAAAUCAUAGGUUUCCAUUUGGUUGAAGCCAAAAGACUUCAAAACAUUUGGCAACAUAUAUUGGUAUGUGUGUGGUUUGGUACUGAAAUUCAAAGUUUUAGUGAUGAGUCAACAAAAGAUACUCCCUCCAUUCCCUUAUACAAGGCCACAAAUUCAGAUUACAUGUACCAAGGUAAAAUUUAAUGACUGCUUUGAAAGCCAAAUUUUCUUUUCGUUAACCGGAUUCAUUAAUAUGUCUGCAUACAUGCAAGGAAGGAAUGGAAAGGAAGUAGCACAGUGCCAUUUUGACUACAUGCAUGCAAAUAUUAAACAAGUUGCUAGUACGAGAAAACAUCAUUAAUUUAUGUCUCGAUUACUGUUAGUGGCCUUGUAUAGAUGCAAGUAUUAAACCCAAUCUCUGUACCCAAUCUCUGUCUAUAAGCUCCAUGUGCUAAUUCGAUAUGUUACUGGAGUAUAACAUGCAAUGGAACUUACAAUAGUAUCGUUGCAAGCCAGACUAACUGAAUUUUCAGUCGACAUAGUUUAUACAUAUAUUAUUCAAGGUAAUAACAUCAGACUUAAUAUACAGCAUGCAUCAGCUUUGUUGACUCGUCAGUCUAAUACAUGUACUGUCAACAAGAUGGAUGGAUGCAAUUUCAAGCUCUAACCAACAAAAAUGACAGAUGAUCAAUCGUGUUCAAAGUUCAGGAACUAAGGAUCCAACAAGUUCAAAAUUCUAUAUAUGCUUCACGGAAUUAACAUGCAUGUGUUCUCAAAACACAAAGAAUCAAUUAUUUGGUAAGUUAUAAUUCAGAUCUAGCUAACAGCGGGAUAAAUCAUGCCAAUAUUUUGUAAGACCAGGUUUGGUAGCGAUCCAAACAUACCCAAAAUGCUCAACCUUUGCCCGGCGAUCCAAACGUAUCCAAACAACCGAGCUCCCGCAGCUAAGUUGCCGCAGCCCCAUAGGCUAGCGUCGGCGCCGUGCACCGCCUCUCGCCGGAUACCAUGGCCUCUGGAGGUCCACCAUUGAGGCUGUCGCGCCCCUGCCCUUCCUCCUCGGCUAUUAGCAACAACUGACUAUUAGCAUGCGGUCAUCAAGUUAGCAAAGACACAAUAUCUUGGAAGAGGAUUAGAGGAAUAUUUUACCUGAAUUUUGUUCUUGCAUUUGAAUGCUCUGCACACUUCUCAAGCUUUUAUAUGACUUUGAAAAACAAAACUAUGAUUUCGAAACAGAAGCAUAAGCUUUUGCCUCAUCGAUUAAUAAUCAAACAAAAACUGGGAUUCAGAAAAUAGAUACUGAGAAAUAGCAAAGGAAUUGUAAUAAAUAACACUUCUGCUUCAGUAGACCCCCUCCUAAAUGAAGGAUAUAUGCCCUAGAGGCAAUAAUAAAGUUGUUAUUUAUAUUUCCUUAUAUGAUGAUAAAUAUUUAUUAUUCAUGCUAGAGUUGUAUUAACCGGAAACUUAGUACAUGUGUGAAUACAUAGACAAACAGAGUGUCACUAGUAUGCCUCUACUUGACUAGCUCGUUGAAUCAAAGAUGGUUAAGUUUCCUAGCCAUAGACAUGAGUUGUCAUUUGAUUAACGGGAUCACAUCAUUAGAGAAUGAUGUGAUUGACUUGACCCAUUUCGUUAGCUUAGCACUUGAUCGUUUAGUAUGUUGCUAUUCUUUCUUCAUGACUUAUACAUGUUCCUACGACUAUGAGAUUAUGCAACUCCCGAAUACCGGAGGAACACUUUGUGUGCUAACAAACGUCACAACGUAACUGGGUGAUUAUAAAGGUGCUCUACAGGUGUCUCCAAUGGUAUUUGUUGAGUUGGCAUAGAUCGAGAUUAGGAUUUGUCACUCCGAUUGUCGGAGAGGUAUCUCUGGGCCCUCUCGGUAAUGCACAUCACUAUGAGCCUUGCAAGCAAUGUGACUAAUGAGUUAGUUGAAGGAAAUAUGCCCUAGAGGCAAUAAUAAAGUUGUUAUUUAUAUUUCCUUAUAUCAUAAUAAAUGUUUAUUAUUCAUGCUAGAAUUGUAUUAACCGGAAACUUAGUGCAUGUGUGAAUACAUAGACAAACAGAGUGUCACUAGUAUGCCUCUACUUGACUAGCUCGUUGAAUCAAAGGUGGUUAAGUUUCCUAGCCAUAGACAGGAGUUGUCAUUUGAUUAACGGGAUCACAUCAUUAGAGAAUGAUGUGAUUGACUUGACCCAUUCCGUUAGCUUAGCACAUGAUCUUUUAGUAUGUUGCUAUUUCUUUCUUCCUGACUUAUACAUGUUCCUAUAACUAUGAGAUUAUGCAACUCCCGAAUACCGGAGGAACACUUUGUGCGCUACCAAACGUCACAACGUAACUGGGUGAUUAUAAAGGUGCUCUACAGGUGUCUCCGAUGGUGUUUGUUGAGUUGGCAUAGACCGAGAUUAGGAUUAGUCACUCCAAUUGUCAGAGAGGUAUCUCUGGGCCCUCUCGGUAAUGCGCAUCACUAUAAGCCUUGCAAGCAAUGUGACUAAUGAGUUAGUUGCGGGAUGAUGCAUUACGGAACGAGUAAAGAGACUUGCCGGUAACGAGAUUGAACUUGGUAUUGAGAUACCGACGAUCGAAUCUCGGGCAAGUAACAUACCGAUGACAAAGGGAACAACGUAUGUUGUUAUGCGGUUCGACCGAUAAAGAUCUUCGUAGAAUAUGUAGGAAUCAAUAUGAGCAUCCUGGUUCCGCUAUUGGUUAUUGACCGGAGAUGAGUCUCGGACAUGUCUACAUAGUUCUCGAACCCGUAGGGUCCGCACACUUAACGUUAGGUGACGAUCGGUAUUAUGAGUUUAUGUGUUUUGAUGUACCGAAGGUAGUUCGGAGUAGCGGAUAUGAUCACGGACAUGACGAGGAGUCUCGAAAUGGUCGAGACAUAAAGAUCGAUAUAUUGGACGACUAUAUUUGGACAUCGGAAUAGUUCCGGGUGAGAUCGGGCAUAUACCGGAGCACCGGGAGGUUACCGGAACCCCCCGGGAGGUAUAUGGGCCUUAUUGGGCCAUAGUGGGAGAGAGGAGAAGGGAGCAAAGGAGGGGGCGCCCCCCAAGCCCAAUCCGAAUUGGGAGGGGGGCCGGCCCCCCUUUCCUUCCUCCUUCCUCCCCCUUCCUUCUCUCCUAAUCCAACUAGGGAAAGGGGGGGGGGGGUCCUACUCCCGGUGGGAGUAGGACUCCCCUUGGGGCGCGCCUAGGAGGCUGGCCUCCUCCCCCUCCUCCACUCCUUUAUAUACGGGGGAGGGGGCACCCGAUAGACAGACAAGUUGAUCAUUGAUCUCUUAGCCGUGUGCGGUGCCCCUCCACCAUAAUCCACCUUGGUCAUAUCGUCGUAGUGCUUAGGCGAAGCCCUGCGCCGGUAGCUUCAUCAUCACCGUCAUCACACCGUCGUGCUGACGAAGCUCUUCCCCGACACUCUGCUGGAUCAUGAGUUUGUGGGACGUCACCGAGCCGAACGUGUGCAGAUCGCGGAGGUUCCAUAUUUUCGGUGCUAGGAUCGGUCGAUCGUGAAGACGUACGACUACAUCAACCGUGUUGUCAUAACACUUCCGCUUACGGUCUAUGAGGGUACAUAGACAAAACUCUCCCCUCUCGUUGCUAUGCAUCACCAUGAUCUUGCGUGUGCGUAGGAUUUUUUUUGAAAUUACUAUGUUCCCCAGCAUUACUUGCGGGAUGAUGCAUUACGGAACGAGUAAAGAGACUUGCCGGUAACGAGAUUGAACUAGGUAUUGAGAUACCGGCGAUCGAAUCUCGGGCAAGUAACAUACCGAUGAUAAAGGAACAACGUAUGUUGUUAUGCGGUUUGACCGAUAAAGAUCUUCGUAGAAUAUGUAGGAACCAAUAUGAGCAUGCAGGUUCCGCUAUUGGUUAUUGACCGGAGAUGAGUCUUGGUCAUGUCUACAUAGUUCUCGAACCCGUAGGGUCCACACGCUUAACAUUCUCUGAUGAUCGGUAUUAUGAGUUUAUGUGUUUUGAUGUACUGAAGGUUGUUCGGAGUCCCGGAUGUGAUCACGGACAUGACGAGGAGUCUCAAAAUGGUCGAGACAUAAAGAUCGAUAUAUUGGAUGGCUAUGUUUGGACAUCGGGAUGGUUCUGGGUGAGUUCGAGCAUUUACCGGAGUACCGGGAGGUUACCGGAAUCCCCCGGGGAGUGUAUGGUCCUUAUUGGGCCUUAGUGGGAGAGAGGAGGAGGCGGCCUAGGAGGAGGCACCCCCAAAGCCCAAUCCGAAUUGGGAGGGGGGCCGGCCCCCUUUCCUUCCUCCCUCUCUCCUCCUUCCUUCCUCUCCUACUCCUACUUGGGAGGGGCGCCAUAGAGAGGGUCGGCCCUCCCCCUCCUCCACUCCUUUAUAUACGAGGGAGGGGGCACCCCAUAGACACACAAGUUGAUCAUUCUCUUAGCCGUGUGCGGUGCCCCCCUCCACCAUAAUCCACCUUGGUCAUAUCGUCGUAGUGCUUAGGCGAAGCCCUGUGCCGGUAGCUUCAUCAUCACCGUCAUCACGCUGUCAUUCUGACGAAGCUCUCCCUCGACACUCUGCUGGAUCGAGAGUUCGUGGGAUGUCACCGAGCUGUACGUGUGCAGAUCACGGAGGUGCCGUACUUUUCGUACCAGGAUCGGUCUGAUCGUGAAGACGUACGACUACAUCAACCAUGUUGUCAUAGCGCUUUCGCUUUCGGUCUAUGAGGGUACGUAGACAACACUCUCCCCUCUCGUUGCUAUGCAUCACCUAGAUGGAUCUUGCGUGUUGCGGGGGAAAACGACACCUAUGGGAUCACUGGAAUCCCUUCUACGGUUGGCGGGCGCGAGGUUGUGCAAAGAGCGGGUCUAGAAGCCAGCACAAAGGUCGUUUACCCAGGUUUGGGCCACGAGGAUGCGUAAUACCCUAGUCCUCCUUUGGUGUAUAUUUGAGUGUUCUUGAACUCUUGAACUAGCUACGGUGCAUGCUCGUCCAAAAGGUCUGAAUCCUCUCUCAGUACGCCGCGGGCCUCCUUUUAUAGACAAAGGGGCUGCCACAGUGGCGCACAGGAGGUGGAAAGGUAUACAGUGUUCAAGCUUAUCGCAUGUCAUUACAGGACAAGGCGCAUUAAAUGCGCUACUUAGGUGUCCUCUUGCUUUAUUGGGGAUGGUAACGAGGCCUGUACCGUCCGUCGCCACUCCGUCUUGCUUCGACAUGCGUCCGGGCCAACGAGGCAUGCAGCGCCAUGUAGGCUAGCAGGCUGCUGAGUUGGCGUGGUGGUAGGGUCUUCACAAAGAUCUGCAUGCCACCACGCAGAUGCUUGCCGAGUUGGCCUAGAGGCCGCACGUCUCCACGCAGGUGUUCGCCUAGUUGUUGGGCUGGCAGUUGCAUGGGAACGACGAUGGAAUCUUGGCAGAUGUGGGCCUGGCUGCGGCCCCGCGGAUGUCUUCGGCAAGAGUCUUGCCGGGGCCCCGGCAAGGGUCUUGCCGUGGCAUCGUGGUCGUCCCCAGCAAGGAUCUUGCCGGGGGUCUCGUCGGUACCUUGCCGAGGAUCGUCGUCUUCUGAUUCUCAUCUGAUUUGGUAUGCUUCUGGUCUUCACAAAGAUCUGCAUGCCACCAUGGAGGUGCCUCCCGAGCCUUGGUUCCAGUGUGGUUGAUGGUGUUGGAACCCUUGGGCUCAAGGGUGGCAGCUCCGCUGGUGUUGGGCAAGUUGCCCCGGCAAGGUUCUUGCCGGGGCUGUGGAGGCUGCCCCAGCAAGGGCCUUGCCGGGGGAGUUCACCUUGCCCCUCUGCUCUUUGUGUCUCCGUCUUGGCGUUGCUCUGGUUGUCUUGUGGCUUAGCUUCCUCUGCCCCUGCCCUACUGAGUGUGGCCGCGGGCGCGGCUCGGACUGCUCGUGCACAAGUAAAGGGGUACAAAAAGGGGACCCUACUUUUGUACACCGAAAGGAGCCCCCGGGCCUGGGUCACACAUAAGCGCAACGCGUUGUUGGGCUAGGCCCAGAACGGUGUGCGGGCAGGCGGGGCGGAGUUUUUACUGCAGUAACUUCUCCGCUGGUUGCGCUUCCCCACGACCCGCGUUGAAUGUGUGACGUGGGGGUCGUGCAUGGGAUGAUCGCAGCAUGCUUGCGUCAUCCCGUGGUGAACAGUAAAGAGGCGGCUUGCAUGUCCCUUCAGAACUGUAGGGCCGCUGCUCAUUUACUCUCUCUGCCUUGGAACCAUCGUUCCACGUUUCCCAGUACGCCUGUCCCUUGCGCCACGUACGCCGCAUGCACGGCGUGGGGUAGGUGACAGGCGCAUGGAAUAUGGGAAGGCGCGCGGGGCCCGAUACUCACGUGCCUUCGAUUGGGCGGGGAGGGCGGUCCAUGGCCUUGCUUGCUGCCACUUAAUGAGCCGGAUUGGAGCGGGCUCUUUAGAGGCGUAGAGCCAGUCUUUUGGCCUUCCCCUCCCAACUAUAAAAAAGGGAACUCAGGGGUAGGAGGAAGAGCGUCUCCCCGCGUCUCUCCUCUGUCUCCAUCCCUCACCCACGGUCAUGGUGAGAGGGCGUGGCCGUGGCCGUUCUCCCGCGGAGGCGACCAGGUCCUCCUCCCGCCAGAGAGCUGUGGCGGCCAAGGAAGAGCCAGAUGCCCAGGGUGAAGGCCACGCUCGAGGCGGGGGCGCCGGACGGGGCCGUGGUCAGCGGGGCGGCCGAGGCAGAGGUUGCCGAGGCAGAGGUGGGCGCGGAACGGGGACGCCUGCAUCAUCUCCGUCUCCGUUGCCAUCUCCCCCGCCAACCCCUCCUGCUUCGCCGAGUGGUCACAUCAGGGAUAUGGCGUUCGAGUUUAUCCUGCAGCUGCAUGGCCGCUGCACCGUCGCCUUCGUCUUCCCCGGGCGUUCGCGAGGAUGCUGGAGAUCGACCAACCACCGCGGCUGAGGCUUCACAUGAAGGGGUGUUGCCAUGGCGACAUGUGGGUGAACACAGGGUUCCCCGCCCCUCAAGUGAUGCUCCUUCGCCGGGGCUAGAAAACCUUUGGACGCGCCCAUUGCUUGAUGGAUGGGCACAUCCUCUGCUUCAAGCUAGCGGAGAGCGACUUGCUCUCCGUCAAGGUCUUCGGGCGCUCGGGACACAGGCUAGGGUGCUGUGCAGAGAGCUCCAUCGACGACGAGGGCUCCUCCGCAAGCGACAGCGACAAGGAGGACAGCGGCGGCGGUGACGAGGGUAGCGGGCGGGAGGAGGACGGGUCCGACUAAGUGUCGGACACACCGUCCUCGGGCGACGCCGGCAGCACCACCAUCUGCACUGCCAGCUCCUUGAACUUCUCGGGGCCGCCACUCCCGGUGGCUGGCGCUGGAGGGCCGGAGAAGGUGAAGAAGGCGGGUGGCGGGCCGUCAACUCGGAGUACGAUGGCACCGACGCCUUUGUCGCGUAUUGCUGGCCCGCUGCCUCAUCUUUCGGCUUCUUCCCCAACACCGUCAUCACCAGCCUUCUCUUGGUGUCUUCUGCUGCUCGUACCUCGCCUAGGCGCCCUUUUGCCCCCCCCGUUUAUCCUGAUCUGCUCCCUGAGGAGAGGGACAAGAAAGGGAUUACAGGCAUCUUAUCCUUUUUUUAGUUUUUAAGCAUGUGGGCACUUGUUAGAUUUAAACCUUGUAAUCCCCUUGCUCAUGUUUGCAUUCCGUACGAACUGUACCUAUUUGGAACAUAUCAAUGAAAAAGGGUGUUUGCCGGGUUCUUUGUGCGUGAGCGAGGCCCAUGCCAAGGAGUGAAUCCUUGUUAUUUUUAAGAUAAACAUUGUCUCCCGGCAACAGGCCUUGUCGCCCCCUUACUUCAUUCAUGGCCAUGCUCGCACCCUCGGUGGAGGCAGGGGCGAAGUAGGUUUAGGCCCUUCGUUUGCUUCCUUGUCACCGCAACUACAACCAAGUUCCGGCCCAGGAAAUAAUUCUCGGGCAUAGGAAAGGGGGAGCACGGUGGCCCAGGAAUAAACGAGGUUUGUGGGGUCGGGGAAAUGCAUAACAGGGGAUAAAGGACUUAUCUGGAUUUGCAGCCCCCGGCAACCUUGGCUUGCCGUGGUCGGAUCUUUGGAUCUGCAGCCCCCGGCAACCUAGGCUUGUGGGGUCGGGGCCUCGGCCUGUCCUCUUUCUUCCAAACAGCUCAACAGAAAUGUCCUUGCACCCUGCGAACCAAAAAGGAUGGGAAGGAACAGAGAGACGCAUACUCGACCUCUAUGCUAGGGGUUAGUCGCCGCUAAGCACUAUCAACCCUAACAGAGAGAGAGACUCAACCUAGCAUGCAUGCUAAAACUUAGGGCGCCAGCGCUUCAUUUAUUUAUGCUCAGGGCCUGCGCCUGGCUUUGUACAAAGGGUUACAUGCCUUGUCGGCAAGGCUUGUACAAAGGUGGCUUGCCGGGAGGCCCGGCAACCGCGCCUCACGGGUAAAACUUACGAAGACGUUCGAUGUUCUAGGAGUUGCUCACUGGGAUACCAUCUUCGGUCUCCAGGCGGACUGCGCCAGGCCUGGUGACUCGUAUUACCCGAUAAGCGCCUUCCCACUUCGGCGUCAACUUGUUGGAAUUCUUGGCCGACUGAACGCGCCGAAGAACAAGGACGCCUUCCUCAAAGCUUCGGGCAUGAAUCUUGCGGCUAUGGUAGCGGCGCAAGGCUUGCUGGUAGCACGCUGCUCUCACAGCCGCCCGAAGACGAUCUUCCUCAAGGAGCGCUGCGUCAUCUUGCCGCAAUUGCUCUUGCUCAAGCUCAUCAUAAGCGAGCACUCGGGGUGACCCGUAUGUGAGUUCCGUGGGGAGAACUGCUUCUGCCCCGUAUACCAGGGCAAAGUGUGUCUGGCCGGUGGCUCGAUUUGGCGUCGUUCUGAUCGACCAAAGAACCGCCGGCAACUCAUCAAUCCAGUGCCUUCCACACUUGUGCAGCCUGUCAAAAGUCCUUGUCCGGAGACCUCGCAGUACUUCAGCAUUCGCCCUCUCUGCCUAGCCAUUGCUCCGUGGAUGUGCAACCGAGGCGAAACAAACCUUGCUGCCGAGGUCUUGGAUGUACUACAUGAAGGUGCGGCUUGUGAACUGCAUGCCGUUGUCGGUGAUGAGUCUGUUCGGCACACCAAAACGGCAAACUAGCCCCUUGAAGAACUUGAUGGCUGACUGUGCUGUCACCUUCCUCACUGCCUCCACUUCAGGCCACUUUGUGAACUUGUCGAUUGCGACGUACAAGUACUCAAAGCCCCCGACAGCACGAGGGAAGGGGCCCAGUAUGUCGAGCCCCCAGACCGAAAAUGGCCAGGAGAGAGGGAUCGUUUGAAGGGCUUGAGCUGGUUGAUGAAGCUUUUUUGAAUGGAACUGACACGCUUCACACUUGGUUACUAAUGCCGUUGCAUCCUGGAGGGCAGUGGGCCAGAAGAAAGCUUGCCGGAAUGCUUUGCCGGCAAGGGCCCUCCACCCUAUGUGGGAGCCACAUACGCCUCCGUGUAUCUCUGCCAACAGCUCUAGUGCUUCCUCCCGGGGAAUGCACUUCAAUUUCACACCGUUCGGCCUCUUCCUGUAGAGAACGUCGUCGAUGAACUGAUACAUGGCAGACCGACGGGCUACUUUCUUCGCUUCUUCCUGCUCCUCAGGAAGCUCCCCUGUUUGGAGGAAUUGAACGGUAUGCUGUGCCCAUGCCGGGGCCUGGGGCUCGACGGCAAGGACCAAAGGCACAUCUUCGGCCGCAGGGGCAGCCGCCUCUACGGUCAGGGCCUGAGGCCCUGUCAGAGAUAGUUGCCCCUCAGCAAGCUUGGGUACCUGGCAACCUCCUAGUCGGCGGCUCCUGGGAGCUCAGCGGGAAGGUACUUGCCGGGGCUUGUCUUCCUUUGCUUGUUCUGCCCCGUUGAUGGCUCUACGGAUGGUUGUAUUAAGUGAAGCACAAAGGUACCUGGUUCCACAGGCAACUUGAGGGCAGCGCGUUUUGACAGGUUGUCAGCAAUGCUAUUCUCCGCGCGGGGAACAUGUUCUGCCUGUAGGUCGUCGAAACAUUCUUCCAACUUCCUCACUUCAUUCACGCAGGCCUCCAUCAACGGGCUCUGGUAAUCCUUGUUGACUUGCUUGACGACGAGCUGCGAAUCACCUCUGAUGAUGAGCUUCUUGAUUCCGAGGUCUGCCGCGAUUCUGAGACCGGCAAACAACCCCUCGUAUUCCGCCGUAUUAUUGGUUGAUUUUUCCCGGGGGAAGUGCAUCUGGAUUACGUACUUGAGGUGCCCUCCGGUGGGUGCGACGAGUAGCAUGCCAACACCAGCACCUUGGAGUGAGAAAGCUCCGUCAAAGUACAUAAUCCACUCACUGCUCGUCUCCUUGCCGGGAAGGGUGGUCUCUUGGAUCUCCUCGUUGGGCGUUGCGGUCCACUCUGCUAUGAACUCUGCCAAAGCUCGGCUCUUGAUUGUUGAAGUACUUUCAAACCUGAGGCCAAAGCUCGAUAGAUCCAAUGCACAUUCCACAAUCCUCCCUGUCGCAUCUGGGUUGUGCAAAAUCCGUUGCAAAGGGAGGCGGGUGACGACGGUGAUCUCGUGUGUUUGGAAAUAGUGGCGCAGCUUUCUCGAGGCCAUGAGAAGGCCGAAAAGCAGCUUCUGCAUUCCAGAGUAUCUCGACCUAGCCCCCUGCAAGAGGGAACUGACAAAAUAUCCUGCACCAUCUUCUUCUUCUGUCCCACUUCGCACAUCCGCUCGGGCUCUGCCUCGCCGGGUUCGGGCCUUGCCGGGGUUCAGGUUCUGUCGGGGAAGACCCCGGCCCGCCAUCCGAAGGCUCUGUCACAACUGUUGCUUCUCCCUCAGGUUCCCUCUGCGCCACCAGCGCAGCACUGAGCACUUGAUUCGUUGCUGCUAAGUACAGCAGCAACGGCUCUCGUGGCUUAGGCGCGACUAGUAUUGGCGUGGAGGAGAGGUACCUCUUCAAAUCUUACAGCGCUGCCUCUGCCUCCGGAGUCCAUCUCACUGGACCCGCCUUUUUCAAAACUUUUAAAAAGCGGAGGGCACGCUCAGCAAAUUUGGAGAUGAACCUACUCAGGGCAGCAACGCAGCCGGCAAGCCUACGCACGUCUUUGACCCGUUUCGGCCCCUCAAUCUGCUCGAUCGCUUUAAUCUUGUCGGGAUUUGCUUCGAACCCACAUUGAGACACAAAGAACCCGAGAAGUUUGCCGGAGGGGACCCCGAACACGCACUUCUUCGGGUUGAGCUUGAGGUUGAUCUUGCGCAGGUUUGCGAAUGUUUCUUCUAAAUCUUGCACGAGCGUCGCCCUGUCCUUGGUUUUAACCACUAUGUCAUCCAUAUAAGCUUCCAUAUUUCUAUGCAGCUGGGGCUCAAAACCAAUCUGGACUGCUCGGGCAAAAGUCGAACCAACACUCUUCAACCCGAAAGGCAUUCGUACAAAAUAGUACGUACCACAUGGGGUGAUGAACGCGGUCUUCUCUUCGUCUUCCUUCAUCAUGAAGAUCUGGUGGUACCCUGAAUAGGCGUCGAGGAAUGACAGCAGGUCACACCCGACAGUGGAGUCUACAAUCUGGUCGUUGCAUGGCAGAGGGAAAGGAUCCUUUGGGCAUGCUUUAUUGAUGUCUGUGUAGUCAAUACAUAGCCUCCACUUCCCGUUUGCCUUACGCACCACUACCGGAUUGGCCAACCACGUGGGGUGGAGUACUCCUCUUACCAGGCAUGCUGCCUCCAACUUCUUGAUUCCUUCAAUGAUGAACUCUUGUCGCUCCAAAGCUUGCUUCCUGACCUUCUGCUUGACAGGCCGCGCAUGAGGACAGACAGCAAGAUGGUGCUCAAUCACCUCCCUGGGAACUCCGGGGAUGUUAGAUGCUUGCCAUGCAAAUACAUCGACAUUCGCCCGCAGGAAGGCGACGAGCUUGCUUUCCUAUUUGCUGUCGAGGGUGGAGCUUAUAGUGAAAGCCCCGCCCAUGCCGUCCUCCUUGACGGACACCUUCAUGGUUUCUGGUAGUGCAGCCUUGGACUUCUUGCUCUUGCCGGUGGAGCUCUCGGGCACGUCCUCAACGGGAGCACAGCACUCCGAAGAGGUGCGCAUGCCGGAGUGGGUGCAAGAGGUCUUGCCGGAAGGAGCCUUGCCGGCCUUCUUCCUCCCUGGAGCUUCAGUGGCAGGAGCAAGUGCCCUGGCGGCAGUUGCUGCAACUGCCUCUCGGUAAAGUUGGUCGGCGCUGAUGAGUGCGUCUUUCUUGUCAGAGGGGACGGUGAUGAUGGUCAGCGGCCCCGGCAUCUUCAACGUGUUGUAGGCGUAAUGGGCCGCCGCCAUGAACUUGGCCAGCGCUGGGCGGCCAAGGAUCCCAUUGUAUGGCAAGCGGAUCUCGGCGACAUCGAAGACGAUCUUCUCCGUCCUAUAGUUCAGCUCGCCGCCAAAUGUAACUGGCAGCGUGAUUUCUCCCUUGGGCUGGCUCCUCCCCGAGUUGACCCCUUGAAACGUGCCCGUCUCUUCGAGGUCUCCAUCAGGAAUCUGCAGCUUCUUGAUCACAGUGGGCGAGAUCAAAUUCAGACCGGCCCCACCGUCAACCAGCACUUUUGUCACUUUGAGGUUGCAUAUUGUUGGUGAAACCAACAACGGCAAACACCCGACCGCAGUUGUGCGGUCAGGGUGAUCCUCGGUGUCAAAAACGAUGGGCGUGCGGGACCACUUCAGUGGCUUCUGGGCAUCGCACGAUGGCUCCGCCGCAGUGACCUCACACGCCCACUACUUCAGCUGGCGGUGUGAGGUGUGCAACGAGGCGCCACCGUUGACACACAUAGCCUUCGUGGCCUUCUAGAACUCGUGCUCGCCGGACUCGUCACCCUCGUCGUGAUCAUCAUCCUCCUCUUUCUUGUCGCGGCCCCGAGCGGGCCUCUCUUAUUGGUUAUCUUUGUCGCGGCGACCCCCUUGGCCGCCACGCUUCUUGCCGGAUCCCUCAGAACCAUCCUGACCCUUCUCCUUGUCUCACCUUUCAUAUUCAGCCUUCUGCUUUUCUGCAAGAAACUCAACUUGUCGGCAGUUCUGGAGGUCAUGGCCCUUGGUGCGGUGGAUCUUGCAGUACUGCUUGUCGGAGCCCCUGGCUUGCCGGCGGCCGCCAGGGCCAAGCAGGCGGCGCACCCGGCAACCUCCUUGCUAGGGUCGUUAGCCUUGGCCUUUUUGGCGGCGCCGAGCUCGCCGGAUCCCUCAACGGCAAGCACAGUCUUGCCCUUGCGCUUCCUGUUGCGGCGCCGGCCCUUCUUUGUCGGGGCGGCGGUGUCUUCGUCCGUGGAGUCGGUUUCCGCACCGACGUCCUUGCCGGGUGAUACGUCUCCGUUGUAUCUACUUUUCCAAACACUUUAGCCCUUGUUUUGGACUCUAACUUGCAUGAUUUGAAUGGAACUAACCCGGACUGAUGUUGUUUUCAGCAGAAUUGCCAUAGUGUUAUGUAUGUGCAGAAACAAAAGUUCUCGGAAUGACCUGAAACUCCAUGGAACUUAUUAUUGGAAAAUAUUAAAAAUAUUGGCGAACGAAUGAAGGCCGGGGGCCCACCACCUGUCCACGAGGGUGGGGGGCGCACCUGCCCCCCUGGGCGCGCCCCCUGCCUCGUGGGCCCCCUGUUGCUCCACCGACCUCAACUCCAACUCCAUAUAUUCGUGUUCGGGGAGAAAAAAAUCAGAGAGAAGGAUUCAUCGCGUUUUACGAUACGGAGCUGCCGCCAAGCCCUAAAACCUCUCGGGAGGGCUGAUCUGGAGUCCGUUCAGGGCUCCGGAGAGGGGAAUCCGUCGCCAUCGUCAUCAUCAACCAUCCUCCAUCACCAAUUUCAUGAUGCUCACCACCGUGCAUGAGUAAUUCCAUCGUAGGCUUGCUGGACGGUGAUGGGUUGGAUGAGAUUUAUCAUGUAAUCGAGUUAGUUUUGUUAGGGUUUGAUCCCUAGUAUCCACUAUGUUCUGAGAUUGAUGUUGCUAUGACUUUGCUAUGCUUAAUGCUUGUCACUAGGGCCCGAGUGCCAUGAUUUCAGAUCUGAACCUAUUAUGUUUUCAUGAAUAUAUGUGAGUUCUCGAUCCUAUCUUGCAAGUCUAUAGUCACCUACUAUGUGUUAUGAUCCGGCAACACCGAAGAGACAAUAAUCGGGACCACUCCCGGUGAUGACCAUAGUUUGAGGAGUUCAUGUAUUCACUAUGUGUUAAUGCUUUGGUCCAGUACUCUAUUAAAAGGAGGCCUUAAUAUCCCUUAGUUUCCAUUAGGACCCCGCUGCCAUGGGAGGGUAGGACAAAAGAUGUCAUGCAAGUUCUUUUCCAUAAGCACGUAUGACUAUAUUCGGAAUACAUGCCUACAUUACAUUGAUGAAUUGGAGCUAGUUCUGUGUCACCCUAUGUUAUAACUGUUACAUGAUGAACCGCAUCCGACAUAAUUCUCCAUCACCGAUCCAAUGCAUACGAGCUUUUCACAUAUUGUUCUUCGCUUAUUUACUUUACCAUGCUAUUGUUACAAUUACUAUAAAACCCAAAAAUAUUACUUUUGCUACCGUUACCGUUACUUCCAUAUUACUUUGCUACUAAAUACUUUGCUGCAGAUAUUAAGUUAUCCAGGUGUGGUUGAAUUGACAACUCAACUGCUAAUACUUGAGAAUAUUCUUUGGCUCCCCUUGUGUCGAAUCAACAAAUUUGGGUUGAAUACUCUACCCUCGAAAACCGUUGUUAUCCCCUGUACUUGUGGGUUAUCAAGACUAUUUUCUGGCGCCGUUGCCGGGGAGCAUAGCUCUAUUCUUUGAGUCACUUGGGAUUUAUAUCUGCUGGUCACUAUGAGGAACUUGAAAGAGAGAAAACAAAAAUUUAUCCCUCAACUACGAGGGGAGGUAAGGAACUGCCAUCUAGCUCUGCACUUCAUUCACCUUCUGUUUUGAGUAAGCUUGCGACACCUAAACCUGCUUCUGCUAUUAAUUCUGACAUGUCGCAUGUUAUUGAUGAUGCCACUUCCGCUAUGCAUGAUACUUAUGAUGAAACUACUUCUAUGCUUGAUACUACUGUGCCACUUGGUGAACUUCUUGAUGAACAACUUGCUAGGGUUAGAGAGAAUGAAAUUAUUGAAACUGAUAAUAUUGAUGAUAGUGAUGAUGAAGACUCUCCCCCUAAUAAAUAUGAAUUUCCUGUUGUGCCUGAGGGCUAUGUUAUGGAUGAAGAAACUAAAAGAGACUUUCUUGCUUGCAGUGAUAGAAGUGAUCUUAAGAAAUUAUUAGCUAAGCUUAAACAGAAAACUCUGAAUGCUAGAAUGAAAUAUGAUCCUACUUAUGCUACUUCACCUAUCUUUGUUACUGAUAAGGAUUAUGAAUUCUCUGCUGAUCCUGAUAUAAUUACUUUGGUUGAAUCUGAUCCUUUUUAUGGCUAUGAAUCUGAAACUGUUGUGGCACAUCUUACUAAAUUAAAUGAUAUAGCCACCCUGUUCACUAAUGAUGAGAGAACCCGCUACUUUAUAUCCUUAAAAUAUUUCUGUUCUCAUUAAAGGGUGAUGCUAAGAUAUGGUUUAAUUCUCUUGAUCCUGGUUGUGUGCAUAGUCCCCAGGAUAUGAUUUAUUACUUCUCUCCUAAAUAUUUCCCUGCUCGUAAGAAAAAAGCUGCUUUAAGGGAAAUAUAUAAUUUUGUGCAAAUUGAAGAAGAGAGUCUCCCACAAGCUUGGGGGAGGCUUCUCCAAUUACUUAAUGCUUUGCUUGAUCAUCCUCUCAAGAAAAAUGAAAUACUUGAUAUCUUUUAUAAUGGACUAACCAAUGCUUCCAGAGACCACCUAGAUAGUUGUGCUGGUUCUGUUUUCAGGGAAAGAACACCAGAUGAAGCUAAAAUUCUAUUGAAUAAUAUGUUGACUAAUGAAAAAAAUUGGGCACUUCCUGAGCCAGCUCAUGAGCCAACUCCUGAUCCUAUUCCUAAACCAACUCUGAAGAAAAGAGGUGUUCUAUUUCUCAGUCCUGAAGAUAUGCAAGAGGCAAAGAAAUCUAUGAAAGAAAAAGGUAUUAAAGCUGAAGAUGUUAAGAAUUUACCUCCUGUUGAAGAAAUACAUGGUCUUAAUUUACCGCCUGUUGAAGAAAUAUAUGAUCUUAAUCCAUCACCUAUUGAAGAAACUCAUAGUCUUGAUAACGCGACACAGGUAGGAAAGGUAAAUUCUCUCUAUAGAUUCAAUGAAGGUGAUAUUCCUCGUUAUAAGUCUGCUAGACAAUGCUUAGAUGAGUUUGACAAUUUUAUUGUUAAACAAGAAAACUUCAAUGCUUAUGUUAGUAGACAAUUGAAAUACAAUUCAAAUAUGCUUGAACACUUGGGUGAUUAUAUGUCUAGAGUUAAAGGUGAACUUAAACUCAUUAGUAAACAUGCUUCUAUGGUUACCACUCAAGUAGAACAAGUACUUAAAGCUCAGAAUGAUUUGCUCAAUGAAUUAAAUAGUAAGAAUAAUGACUAUGCUGUUAGAGUGGCUACUAGAACUGGUAAAAUGACUCAAGAACCUUUGUAUCCUGAAGGCCAUCCUAAGAGAAUUGAGCAGGACUCUCAGAGAAAUCAUUUAGAUGCACCUAGUCCUUCUAAAAAGAAGAAAAAGAAAAAUGAUAGGACUUUGCAUGCUUCUAGUGAACCUAUUGCUGAACCACCUGAGAAUCCCAAUGAUAUUUCUAUUUCUGAUGCUGAAACACAAUCUGGUAAUGUACAUGAACCUAGUGAUAAUGUUAAUGAAGAUGUUCAUGUUGAUGCUCAACCUAGCAAUGAUAAUGAUGUAGAAAUUGAACCUGCUGUUGAUCUUGAUAACCCCCAAUCAAAGAAUCAACGUUAUGAUAAGAGAGACUUUGUUGCUAGGAAACACGGUAAAGAAAGAGAACCAUGGGUUCAGAAACCCAUGCCUUUUCCUCCCAAACCAUCCAAGAAAAAGGAUGAUGAGGAUUUUGAGCGCUUUGCUGAAAUGAUUAGACCUAUCUUCUUGCGUAUGCAUUUAACUGAUAUGCUCAAAAUGAAUCCUUAUGCUAUGUAUAUGAAAGAAAUUGUUACGAAUAAAAGAAAGAUACCGGAAGCUGAAAUUUCCACCAUGCUUGCUAAUUAUACUUUUAAGGGUGGAAUACCAAAGAAACUAGGAGAUCCAGGAGUACCCACUAUACCAUGCUCCAUUAAAAGAAAUUAUGUUAAAACUGCUUUAUGUGAUCUUGGAGCCGGUGUUAGUGUUAUGCCUCUGUCUUUAUAUCGUAGGCUUGAUUUGAAUAAGUUGACACCUACUGAAAUAUCUUUGCAAAUGGCUGAUAAAUCAACUGCUAUACCUGUCGGUAUUUGUGAGGAUGUGCCUGUUGUGGUUGCAAACGUUACUAUUUUAACGGACUUUGUUAUUCUUGAUAUUCCCGAGGACGAUAGUAUGUCUAUUAUUCUUGGAAGACCCUUUUUGAAUACUGCAGGUGCUGUUAUUGAUUGCAACAAAGGCAAUGUCACUUUUCAUGUUAAUGGUAAUGAGCAUACGGUGCACUUUCCGAGGAAACAACCUCAAGUUCAUAGUACCAAUUCUAUUGGAAAAAUUCCAUCGAUUAUUUUUGGAGGUUUUGAAUUUCCUCUACCUACUGUCAAGAAGAGACAUGAUAUUCUUAUUGUUGGGUAACGUAGCAAAAAUUCAAAAUUUUCUACGCAUCACCAAGAUCAAUCUAUGGAGUAAUCUAGCAACGAGGGGAAGGGGAGUGAAUCUACAUACCCUUGUAGAUCGCGAUGCGGAAGCGUUGCAAGAACGCGGAUGAGGGAGUCGUACUCGUAGCGAUUCAGAUCGCGGUUGAUUCCGAUCUAAGCACCGAAAGUACGGUGCCUCCGCGUUCAACACACGUGCAGCCCGGUGACGUCUCCCACGCCUUGAUCCAGCAAGGAGAGAGGGAGAGGUUGGGAAGACUCCAUCCAGCAGCAACACGACGGCAUGGUGGUGGUGGAUGAGCGUGGCAAUCCCGCAGGGCUUCGCCAAGCACCGCGGGAGAGGAGGAGGAGGGAGAGGGGUAGGGCUGCACCAAAAGGAGACGUUCUCUUGUGUCUUGGGCAGCCCAAACCUCAACUAUAUAUAGGGUGGAAGGGGGCUGCGCCCCCUUUAGGGUUUCCCACCCCAAGAGGAGGCGGCCAGCCCUAGAUCCCAUCAAGGGGGGGCGGCCAAGGGGAGGAGAGGGGGGCGCCCCACUAGAUGGGCCUUAGGGCCCAUCUGGACCUAGGGUUUGCCCCCUCCCACUCUCCCAUGCGCCUUGGGCCUUGGUGGGGGGGCGCACCAGCCCACCUGGGGCUGGUCCCCUCCCACACUUGGCCCACGCAGCCUUCUGGGGCUGGUGGCCCCACUUGGUGGACCCCCGGGACCCUCCCGGUGGUCCCGGUACAUUACCGAUUUCACCCGAAACUUUUCCGGUGACCAAAACAGGACUUCCCAUAUAUAAAUCUUUACCUCCGGACCAUUCCGGAACUCCUCGUGACGUCUGGGAUCUCAUCCGGGACUCCGAACAACAUUCGGUAACCACGUACAUGCUUUCCCUAUAACCCUAGCGUCAUCGAACCUUAAGCGUGUAGACCCUACGGGUUCGGGAACCAUGCAGACAUGACCGAGACGUUCUCCGGUCAAUAACCAACAGCGGGAUCUGGAUACCCAUGUUGGCUCCCACAUGUUCCACGAUGAUCUCAUCGGAUGAACCACGAUGUCGGGGAUUCAAUCAAUCCCGUAUUCAAUUCCCUUUGUCUAACGGUAUGUUACUUGCCCGAGAUUCGAUCGUCGGUAUCCCUAUACCUUGUUCAAUCUCGUUACCGGCAAGUCUCUUUACUCGUUCCGUAACUCACAUCAUCCCGUGAUCAACUCCUUGGUCACAUUGUGCACAUAAUGAUGAUGUCCUACCGAGUGGGCCCAGAGAUACCUCUCCGUUUACACGGAGUGACAAAUCCCAGUCUUGAUUCGUGCCAACCCAACAGACACUUUCGGAGAUACCCGUAGUGCACCUUUAUAGCCACCCAGUUACGUUGUGACGUUUGGCACACCCAAAGCAUUCCUACGGUAUCCGGGAGUUGCACAAUCUCAUGGUCUAAGGAAGUGAUACUUGACAUUAGAAAAGCUCUGAGCAAACGAACUACACGAUCUUGUGCUAGGCUUAGGAUUGGGUCUUGUCCAUCACAUCAUUCUCCUAAUGAUGUGAUCCCGUUAUCAACGACAUCCAAUGUCCAUGGUCAGGAAACCGUAACCAUCUAUUGAUCAACGAGCUAGUCUCCUAGAGGCUUACUAGGGACAUGGUGUUGUCUAUGUAUCCACACAUGUAUCUGAGUUUCCUAUCAAUACAAUUCUAGCAUGGAUAAUAAACGAUUAUCAUGAACAAGGAAAUAUAAUAAUAACCUAUUUAUUAUUGCCUCUAGGGCAUAUUUCCAACACUUAUUAUUGGGGAUGUGCAUAUCCCCGUCGAGGUAACAUAGUGUUAUUCGAAAUUUCUCCGGUUCCAUGUUAUUCGGAAUGAGUUUGUUAACAAGACUUGAUCAACCUUGUUAGUGGAUUCCUUUUGAUGAGCAUGAGAUGGAUGAAGUUAGAAGGCACAACCUUCUGUACCCUCUCUUUACUUUCUGUUAUUUAGUAGAAAUAAAGUAAAAUUAGUAUUUUUCUGUGUGUUUCCUGAAUUAUCCGUGCAAUAAAAAAUACCUCAAAAAUAAAAGUUCUCCAAAUGCCCUGCCAAUUUAAUAUGAUUUUUUCUGAAAUAUUUGAGAAUAGAUGGCACUGAGAACACAGCAGGGGGAGUAAGCACCUGGCCACGAGGGUCCAGGGCGCGCCCACCCCUACAAAGCGCGCCCCCCUACCUCGUGGGCCCAUAAUGUCUCCCCUCCACUUAUUCCUGCACCCACACACUUCUUCUUCCUCCAAAAAAAUCACCAUCCAGCUCAAGCACGAGUUCUAGCUCAUUUUGCUGCGAUUUUCGAUCUCCUUGCUCAAAGCACCUCUCACAAAACUGCUUUGGGGGAUUAUUCUUUGGUAUGUGACAACUCCAUUGGUCCAAUUAGUUUUUGUUCUAGUGCUUUAUUCAUAGCAAAUUUAUGCUGCCUAGGUGACCAUGUUCUUGAGCUUGCAUGUCAAAUUUAUAUGGUUCCAAGUAGUUCUAAUGCAUGGUAUAGGCUCUAGGCACUCGUAGGAGUAGUUGAUAUCAAUUUUGUUGAGCUUGGUUCACUUUUAUUUGAAGUAACUAAAAAUUUCAGAAAUUUUUCAGAGGAAGAAAUAUGUUUAGGAAAAUGUACCAAGGUGGCUCUUCAAGGAAGCAAGGACCCAGGCUUGCAAUGCGUGAUGCUGACGAUGAACCACCAAGGGACGCUCCAGUGCGGCCUUGUGAAUGGCCUUCAGAAGACUUUAUGGAUCGAGCAGGAAUCAAGGAAGAAUUUAACGCAUAUUUGCGUAACGCUGAUCUUGUGAGCUUCGGGGCAGAAAAGUGCCGUCAGUACCACUAUCUCACUAGUUCCUUUGUGAGGAGGUUUGAAUUUUCAUCUUCACGCAAAAGGAAGACAUGUUAUUACCACAGAGGAGGCAGAUGAGUACGAGAGGAGGGCGGAGGCAGCUCGUCACCACGCUGCAGCUCAGGAGGCAAUGGCCGCUGCAUCUCAGUACGACCCCGGUUAUAACUUUGGAUAUCCGCCAGGCCAUCCGUGGCAAUAAACCAACUUAGGCCAAAAGCCUAAGCUUGGGGGAGUACGUAUCUCUCACCGACAUUACAUUCAUGUUCACACACACUCAUUGCUAGAUGUCGGUGCUCAUACUUUUUCAUUGUAUUAUCCAUGCUAGCUUAUUUUAUUUUUCAUUCUUCUUGUGUGUUUGAUAAACCUUAAGAAAGAAAACUAAAAAAAUUAGUAAUAGCUUUAGCUAGUUUACUUUUCUUGCUGUAGUGGUAAUAAUUAAAACAAAACCCAAAAAGAUUUCCUGUUCUUCUUUUGCUUGUUGGGAGCUUUCCCGUGUAAAUAGUUUUAUUUCUUUUCUUUUCUUUGGGGGUCGAUAGGAGAAGACCAUAAUUAAAUUGUUGAAGUGGCUCUUAUAUGCAUUAUUGUUGAUUUAACCAAGAGCCCAUAUUACCUUGUCUUCUCCUGUUUAUUGAAUGCUCGCAGAUUCCAGCUUAGUCCAAUGCACGUGUGUAGGAUCAAAAGUAUGUCUAGAGGGGGGUGAUUAGACUACUUGACCAAAUAAAAAUCUAGCCUUUUCCCAAUUUUAGUUCUUGGCAGAUUUUCACAACUUAGCACAAGUCAAGCAAUCAACCUACACAUGCAAUUCUAAGAGUAUUGCAGCGGAAUGUAAAACAAUUGCAUAUGAAGGUAAAGGGAGGAGUUUGAGGGAGUAAACACAAUGUUGACACGGAGAUUUUUUAUCCGUGGUUCCGAUAGGUGGUGCUAUCGUACAUCCACGUUGAUGGAGACUUCAACCCACGAAGGGUAACGGUUGCGCGAGUCCAUGGAGGGCUCCACCCACGAAGGGUCCACGAAGAAGCAACCUUGUCUAUCCCGCCAUGGCCGUCGCCCACGAAGGACUUGCCUCACUAGGGUAGCUCUUCACGAAGUAGGCGAUCUCCUUGCCCUUACAAACUCCUUGGUUCAACUCCACAAUCUUGUCGGAGGCUCCCAAGUGACACCUAGCCAAUCUAGGAGACACCACUCUCCAAGAAGUAACAAAUGGUGUGUUGAUGAUGAACUCCUUGCUCUUGUGCUUCAAAUGAUAGUCUCCCCAACACUCAACUCUCUCUCAUAGGAUUGGAUUUGGUGGAAAGAAGAUUUGAGUGGAAAGCAACUUGGGGAAGGCUAGAGAUCAAGAUUUAUGUGGUUGGAAUGGAAUAUCUUGACCUCAACACAAGUGUAGGUGGUUCUCUCUCAGAAAAUAGGUAUUGGAAGUGUAGGCAUGUUCUCAUGGCUCUCUCCACGAAUGAAGAGUGGGUGGAGGGGUAUUUAUAGCCUCCACACAAAAUCUAACCGUUACACACAAAUCACCAAACUCGGUGGGACCGAUUCAGAGAACUCGGUCAGACCGAUUUGGUUCAUAAUGUGACCGUUAGGUGUUUCGGUGGGACCGACAUGUCAACUCGGUGGGACCGAUAUCAUUAGGGUUAGGGCAUAACGUAAUCUCGGUGAGACCGAUUACACAAACUCGGUGGGACCGAUUUUGGUAAUAGUCAAACAGAGAGUUGGUCAGGCAAACUCGGUGGGACCGAAACGUUACGAAAGAGAAACAGAGAGUUUGCAUUGCAAUCUCGGUGGGACCGAUCGCUCAUCUCGGUUGGACCGAAACGUUACGAAGGGAAACAGAGAGAUUACAAUCCCAUCUCGGUGAGACCGAAAAGACUAGGGUUUCUGGCAGUGGCUAUGUCAACUGAACUCGGUGGCUCCGGAUAUGAAAUUUCGGUGGGGCCGAGUUGGAAUUGUGGUUUGGGAAAUAUGUGGAUAUGAGAAAGUAGUGGAGGGUUUUGGAGCAUAUCACUAAGCAUUUUGAGCAAGCACCUCAUUAAGAAACACCUCAUCCCUUCUUAAUAGUAUUGGCUUUUCCUAUAGACUCAAUGUGAUCUUGGAUCACUAAAAUAGAAAAUGUAGAGUCUUGUGCUUUGAGCUUGAGCCAAUCUUUUGUCCUUAGCAUUUUGAAGGGUCCACUUCCUAAUCCAUGCCAUGCCAAUCAUUGAGCUUUCCUGAAAUAUCUAUCUUGAAAUAGCAUUAGCUCAAUGACCUAUAUGUUGUUAGGAAUUAGCAAAACCACCCAGGGAUAGUUGCACUUUCAAUCUCCCCCUUUUUGGUAAUUGAUGACAACAUAUAGAUCAAAGCUUCGACAAAUGAUAAAAUUGAAAAACAUUGUCGCUUUGAGAAGUAUGUGAUAAGCAAGAGCUCCCCCUAAAUUUGUGCAUUAUUUAAAAUUUGCUUUUGAAUGCAAAUGCACAAUCGAUUAGGAUCAUGGGUUACUCUUCCAUGUCACAUAAAUCUUGGUGGAGCGCUCAAAAUGAUAGAAAUUAAAACACAUGCACUCAUCACCAAGCGAAGUGAAUGAUCAUAAGAGGAUAUAAAUAUAAUAUCAUCCAACAAGCAUUAAGGGUAGCAUAUGAUCAAACACAUGAUCAACAAGUAUCUCACAAGAACAUAAAGUAGCAUCACAAGCACACAAUAAAGUUUCAAACCAAACCAAAUAAGUGCAAAGAGAGAUAAAAACCAACACACUCUCUCUCGAAGCCUAUGAUCUAUACAUUUGUCUCCCCCUUUGGCAACAAGUUACCAAAAAGAUCAAAAAUGCAUAGUGCUAAACGACUCUCAGGCUCGAUCUUCGGUAGGAGGUGUUGAGAGAACUCCAAGGACGAAGGCUUCUGAUGAAGUAGCUAGAGCUGGUGGAGUAGCUGCUGGAGGUGGAACUGGAGCUGUAGCUGCUGGUGCUGAUGCUGUGGCUCUAGUGUGUGUCACUGGCACUGCAGCAGAUCUCUGUCCUCUGGGCACUCUGGAAAAAGCAUCUGUGGUAGACUUGCCCUUCUUCUCCUCUGCUUCCUCCUGAUGUUGCUCAACUGCAGUUUGGAUUUCUGUUACCUUGACAUCAAGGUCAUAGAAUUUUGUCUCAAUAAUCCUUUCCAAGCUCUCCUGGUUCUUGGUCAGGGUGGCCAAGCCCUUCUCAAUCCUCAGGGUGGAUUGGAUCAGAUAUCCAAGCUGGUCUUGCUUGCUCUUCAAGAAUACCUGAGAUGCCUCUUCCACAGUUGGCAUCUUUGCAGCCUUCUCUGCCUUAGCCUUCUCUCUCUUUUCAUGUGCUUGAGCUGAAGAUGGUUCAUUCUCAUUCAUCACUAUUGUGUUAUCUUCAAAUUCUGGAUAGAUGGGCAGGUGCUCCUUAUCCAAGAUGUACUUGCCUUUGCCCAUCUUUGAGUUGAUGAGCUCCUGAAUGUGUGGGGCAUACCCACAACUUCUCUUCUGAUCAGCUGCAAUCCUCUUGAUUGUUUCAACAAUCAGGCUCAUGACUUUGAACUUUUGUGGGACAUCAAAUAUGUGCAGCAAGUUGAUGGCAUGUCCUCUGAUCAUUUUGUGAUCACCUGACUUGGGUAGCAGUGUGUGCCUUAAGAUCCAGUUUAUUGUUGGCAGUCUAGACAAUAAGUAAUGGACAGAUCCAAACUUAUGUGUAUCCAAUGCAGCAUCUGGGAUCUCUUUGUACAUGUUGGCCAUACUGUUGUGGCCUUUCUUCUUUUCUGCAUAGAUGUCCAAGUCAUUCUCAUGUUCCUCAGGAGCAUUUAUAAGCUCGGCCCACUCAUCAACUGUAGAUUGGUACCUAGUACCCUCAGACAUCCAUACAAUCCUUCCAUCUGGAUAGAAGUGUGCAGUGGAGUAGAAUUGCAUGAUGAGCUCAUCAUUCCACUUGGUGAGCUUCUAGGCAACAAAAGUGUCCACUCCACAUGCCUUGAAGCUAUAAAGCACACCAGGGAAGUGAUCUUCAUUCUCCUUGAUGAACUCCCAGUCAACCCAUCUCAUGUCACACACAAUGGGCUUCUUGUCAAGCAGAAUAGUCUCAUAGAAGUCCUGUUGUUCCUUAGUGUGGAAUCUGUAGUCCACAGCAGUCCUUCUCUUGAUAGCAUAGGGAUCAGACUCUCUCCAUAGUCUCAAUCCUGCAUCCUUCCUGAUUUUCAUAUUCUCUGCAACUGGGUGUGCAUCAGUGUGGUCAAGGAUCUUGGGCUUCAGCUUUCUCAACACAACAGAAUCAUCUUCUUCUUCUUCUUCAGCAGCUUGAGGCACUGGGGCCUUGUUCUUCUCUUCAGCAGGUAUGUUCCUAGUGCUUCUCUUGGGUUUUGGCAUUGGAGCUGGAGCAGUAGCCUUGGGAGCAGCCCCUGAUUUAAUUGCAUCUCCCAUAAGCUUUUGUGCUUUGGGUGGGUGCAGCAUCCUCUUCCUCUUCCUCUUCUUCUGAAUCUCUCAUCAUUGAUGGCUUCCCAAUAACUCUGGCAAUGGUUUUCUUGACCUUUUCUUUUCUCUUCUUGCCAUCUCCAGUUUCCUUGGGUUCAAGAGUGAACUCCAUUGUUUCUUGAGUGGAGGCUGUGGCUUUUGACAUUGGAACUCUUCUUGCUGGAGCCUUUGUUUUCAGUCCAGGCUUUGUUGCAGCAGCUGUGCCAUACUCCUUUUUCAGCACCUUUUUCUUUGAGGUGGCUUCAUCCUCAACAGCCACAAAAUCUUCAUCCUCAGAGUCAGAAUUCCUGUUCUUCCUUGUCCUGGUGGCAUCCUUCGGCAGAUUGCUUGGAGUGCUCCUGCUGCCUUCAUCAUAGCUGCCUGAGGGAUUGGUUCCCUCACUCAACUGAACCUGCUCUUCUGACUUGUUCUGGCUGUCACUUUGGUCAGACAUCUCUGCAAAUACUCUGACAGCAGACCCUGUGAAUAGGUUAUAGAUGAGGUAGAGUAGAUGAGCAUCACAAAGUACAGGAGUUUUGCAAAAAGGAUGACUUAAAAACUUAGUUUUAGUUCUUCACAGAAAGCAUUUCGGAUCUACCGAUUUGUAAACUCGGUGAUACCGAAGCAGCUUUUGGAACCUAAACUCGUGAACUCGGUCAGACCGAGUCACAGUUCGGUGGUAACGAGACUGCUAGGGUUUCACAAAGAAUUGAACUCGGUCACACCGAUUUGCAGUUUUCGGUCAGACCGAAAACGCGUGUGCUUUGGCCUAAGCCAAAAUCGGUGAGACUGAUUUCUACAACUCGGACGGUCCGAGAUGAAUUCCGCGGAGACCUAACCCUAAAUUUUCAAAUCAAAACUAAUCUACGGGAUGUUUUCCCUGGAUAGGAUGAUUUCAAUCCUGGCAAAGAUCAUGGCAAAGCAAUGUGCUAAGAAUCGGAGUUAGGGAUUAGCACAAAGGUCAAGUUCAUACCCUAGUUCGGCGACGAACUUGCUACGGCGGCAACGGCGGUGAAAAUUUCCGUUGACGGCGGCGGAAACCAGCGGCGGGAGGUCGUUGGCGACGAGAGGACGAUCCGGGGACCCGAAGAGGCAGAGUAGGUUACGCGCGGGCGAGGAGGUUCGGAAAAUUUUCCAAAAUUUGACCCGUCGGUAUAUAUAACCUGACCCUGUCGGUGUGACCGAGUGGAACGACUCGGUGGCACCGAGAUGCAAAACUGCAAGCAGUUACUGCAACUCGGUGUGACUGAAAAGUUCUAAUCGGUUGCACCGAGAUUGAAACCCCUAGAUCAACUUAGUGAUCUCGGUAGGACCGAAAAGGAUGAAUUGGUCAGACCGAGAUGCACAAAGAGGUUUUGGAGGUUUAAGUCUAUGACGAAUCGGGAACUCCGAGUGCUCCUCACACAGAGUGGUUCGAAUCUGACUUGAUCAAACUUUGUGAUGUAGCAUGAAUAGAGUUUGAGACGAGAAAAGCAUACAUAGCUAGAGAGAGUUCUUAGGCAUUCUUGUCCAUUUAUUUGGCAAAGAGAAAGAUCCAAACAAUCAAAACAACAAAUGGAUGUCCUCGAAUGAGUGAAAUAUGCAACCAACAUGCUCACACAAUAAAAUGGCAAAUGAAAUAUGUGACAAAGCAUGCAUAAACACUCUAGAAUCUAUCAAGCAAUUUGGCGAUGACUAGGUCAUCUAUAUAUGAGUAUAUUGACUUAGGAGUCAAAUGAGAACAUUUGAUCAUAGGUCAUACUCAUCCUUUAAGCACAAGUGGGGUUACCAUUUUUAAAUAAAGCAUUGAUGUGUUCACACCAUUAGAGUUGCUUUGACUCAAUUGAUUAGAGUAAAGCUCCCCCUAUAUGUGAUAUCCCCCCUAAGAGGGAUGAACUAACCUUGGGUUUUGUCGAUAAUGACUUCAUGUAGGUGUUGAAGAUGUAGAUGCUCAAUGUUGAUGUAGAUCAUUUGGAGCAAUCCUUUGGAGUGAGUUGCACUUUCAAUACCUACACGGGUUAGUCCCACAAGGAACAACCAAGGAUAUCCAUAGACAUAGAGUGAUGCAUACACAAGAUGAUGUCCAUGAAAGCAUUAGGUUACCUUGUCCCUUGUCUUACCAACAAGAGGGUUUGUGACUCCUUGAACUAGUGCAAGAUAUGGAAGUUGUUUGCACUUGUUCUUGCCAAAAUGAUAAGAGUGAAGUAUGUUGGCGGAGUCACCCUCAGGAACUCUCUAGUUCUUCUUCUUCUGGAUCCACACCAUCUUGAUGGGAAUCCUUGGAGUUGUAGUUGUACUUGAUGAAGUAGAACUUGAUGUAGUCUUGGGAACCCACUUGACCAAGGCCUUAGGUGCUUCUUCAAAUGCAUCAAUUUCCUCUUGAAGCUUGUCCUUGCCUUUUUGCUUGUGGUCUUGUGGUGGAAGAUCAUCUUGAGCUUGUGUUCCUUUGAAAGAAGUAGGAUCAUACUUCUCUUGUUGAGGAACAAACUUCGUCUUGGGGUAUUGAUCUUCUUCCCACUCAACGCCAUUGGCAUUGAACUUUCAUUCAAAACCAACACCUUGAUUCUUCCGGUGUCUUCCUUGCUUGCGCACAAUUUCCUCAAAUUGCUUACUUCCGGCAAGGCUCUUGUAAACACCUUUCUCUAUAAUUCCCUUCAAUAAGCUAUUUUCUUGCUCAAGUGUAACUUGGCUAAGAGAAUCAUUAGUGUAAUCAAGAGAAUUACUAGAAGCAACAAUAUUGGAUUUAGCAUGAUUGUUGUUACUACUAGGUGAAGCAUCUUUCUUGUUCUUGUUGCUAGAUUUAACUUGUGGCAUGUAAGUAGACAAGAGUAAACGCUUGGCAAUGUAAGAAGAACUUUUCUUGCGAAGAUCAUCAUUGAUUGCCUUUAAAAAUUCAUGCUCUUGCUCAAGGUUGAGCUUUUCAAAGCGUAGCUUAUCAUGAGUCUUUAAAAGUUCUCGAUGAUUUUCCAAUGUAGUUUCAUGAGCUAACUUAAGAGUGUUUAGUUCUUUAGUUAGACGCUCAAUCUCCUUCUUAUCAUCAACAUUCGUUUUAUCUUGAUUAGCAUGAUUAAUUGACGUUUCAUCAUAGUCUUCAUCACUAGAGUUGUCAACAAGUAAAUCAUCAUCACUUAGCAAAUCAUCUUCAUCACUAUUGAAAUCAACAUACUCGGGAUGUGUUACCUUUGGACCUUUGGCCAUGAAGCAUCUUCCAAUUCCUUCAUUUGGUGAGUCAAAUAUGUCGUAGGAGUUGGUUGACAUAAGUGCUAGACCGGCAACACCUUCAUCUUGAGUAUAUUCGGAGUCGGAGUGAUAACUUCUUUCGGAGUGAUUGUCGGAGUCGGUGCCGGAUACCCAUUCACCAACAUGAGCUUGAUGUCUUCUUUUUGUGUAGGUCCUUGAUGACUUUUCCUUCCUUUCCGAGUCCUUGCUUCUCCGAGAGGGUCUUCGUUCAUAAUGAUCAUCUCUACUCCUUCUUUCUCUUGGUGGUGAUUCUUCUCUUCUACUUCUUCUUUUGGGAGAAUCUUCUCUUCUUUUGUAGGGUGCCGUACACUCAUUUGAGUAGUGUCCGGGCCUUCCACAAUUGUAGCAAUUAUGCUCAUGACUAGAAGAUCUUUUGUCAUUGUAGGACCUUGACUUGGAACUUCUUUCUUUGCUUCUACUCUUGUAGAACUUGUUGAAGUUCUUCACCAUUAGGCUCAAUUCUUCAUUGAAGGUUUGUUUCUCACUUGAUGAUGUGGGAGCAUCACACGAGGCUUUGUAAGCACCACUAGACUUGUUGUGAAGCUCUUCCUUAUCCUUGAGUGACAUCUCAUGGGCAACAAUUCUUCCAAUGACUUCCGUUGGCUUGAGAUCUUUGUAAUUGGGCAUCAUUUGGAUCAAUGUGCACACGGUGUCAUAUUUUCCAUCCAAGGCUCUUAGGAUCUUCUUGAUGAUGAAUUUGUCGGUCAUCUCUUCACUUCCUAAGCCGGCAAUCUCAUUUGUGAUGAGAGCAAACCUAGAGUACAUUUCGGCGACACCUUCACCAUCCUUCAUUUUGAACUUGUCAAGUUGACUUUGAAGGACAUCCAAUUUGGAUUCCUUGACGGAGUCGGUACCUUCGUGCAUAUCAAUCAAAGUAUCCCAAAUUUCCUUUGCAUUCUCAAGACGGCUGAUUUAGUUGAAUUCUUUGGGGCACAAUCCAUUGAAGAGAAUAUCACAAGCUUGAGCAUUGUAUUGUAGCAUCUUCAACUCUUCCGCGGUUGCUUCACGGUUAGGUUUUUUCCCAUCGAAGAAUUCACCUUGCAAGCCAAUACACACAAUAGCCCAAACGACGGGGUUAUGUCCAAGAAUAUGCAUUUUAAUCUUAUGCUUCCAACUAGCAAAAUUUGUACCAUCAAAGUAAGGACCUCUACGGUGGUAAUUUCCCUCGCUAGAUGCCAUACUCUCCUAGGUUGUGAAACCAAGGCUAUGACCACCAAAAUCUAUGGAAAUCAAAGCAAAUGGAGACAAAAGCUCUGAUACCACUUGUAUGAUCGAAAGUAUGUCUAGAGGGGGGUGAUUAGACUACUUGACCAAAUAAAAAUCUAGCCUUUUCCCAAUUUUAGUUCUUGGCAGAUUUUAACAACUUAGCACAAGUCAAGCAAUCAACCUACACAUGCAAUUCUAAGAGUAUUGCGGCGGAAUGUAAAACAAUUGCAUAUGAAGGUAAAGGGAGGAGUUUGAGGGAGCAAACGCAAUGUUGACACGGAGAUUUUUUAUCUGUGGUUCCGAUAGGUGGUGCUAUCGUACAUCCACGUUGAUGGAGACUUCAACCCACAAAGGGUAAUGGUUGCGCGAGUCCACGGAGGGCUCCACCCACGAAGGGUCCAUGAAGAAGCAACCUUGUCUAUCCCACCAUGGUCGUCGCCCACGAAGGACUUGCCUCACUAGGGUAGAUCUUCAUGAAGUAGGCGAUCUCCUUGCCCAUACAAACUCCUUGGUUCAACUCCACAAUCUUGUCGGAGGCUCCCAAGUGACACCUAGCCAAUCUAGGAGACACCACUCUCCAAGAAGUAACAAAUGGUGUGUUGAUGAUGAACUCCUUGCUCUUGUGCUUCAAAUGAUAGUCUCCCCAACACUCAACUCUCUCUCAUAGGAUUGGAUUUGGUGGAAAGAAGAUUUGAGUGGAAAGCAACUUGGGGAAGGCUAGAGAUCAAGAUUUAUGUGGUUGGAAUGGAAUAUCUUGACCUCAACACAAGUGUAGGUGGUUCUCUCUCAGAAAAUAGGUAUUGGAAGUGUAGGCAUGUUCUGAUGGCUCUCUCCAUGAAUGAAGAGUGGGUGGAGGGGUAUUUAUAGCCUCCACACAAAAUUUAACCGUUACACAGAAAUCACCAAACUCGGUGGGACCGAUUCAGAGAACUCGGUUAGACCGAUUUGGUUCAUAAUGUGACCGUUAGGUGUUUCGGUGGGACCGACAUGUCAACUUGGUGGGACCGAUAUCAUUAGGGUUAGGGCAUAACGUAAUCUCGGUGAGACCGAUUACACAAACUCGGUGGGACCGAUUUUGGUAAUAGUCAAACAGAGAGUUGGUCAGGCAAACUCGGUGGGACCGAUUCGCUCAUCUCGGUGGGACCGAAACGUUACGAAAGAGAAACAGAGAGUUUGCAUUGCAUUCUCGGUGGGACCGAUCGCUCAUCUCGGUUGGACCGAAACGUUACGAAGGGAAACAGAGAGAUUACAAUCCCAUCUCGGUGAGACCGAGAUCCCUAUCGGUGAGACCGAAAAGACUAGGGUUUCUGGCAGUGGCUAUGUCAACUGAACUCGGUGGCUCCGGAUAUGAAAUUUCGGUGGGGCCGAGUUGGAAUUGUGGUUUGGGACAUAUGUGGAUACGAGAAAGUAGUGGAGGGUUUUGGAGCAUAUCACUAAGCAUUUUGAGCAAGCACCUCAUUAAGCAACACCUCAUCCCUUCUUAAUAGUAUUGGCUUUUCCUAUAGACUCAAUGUGAUCUUGGAUCACUAAAAUAGAAAAUGUAGAGUCUUGUGCUUUGAGCUUGAGCCAAUCUUUUGUCCUUAGCAUUUUGAAGGGUCCACUUCCUAAUCCAUGCCAUGCCAAUCAUUGAGCUUUCCUGAAAUAUCUAUCUUGAAAUAGCAUUAGCUCAGUGAGCUAUAUGUUGAUAGGAAUUACCAAAACCACCCAGGGAUAGUUGCACUUUCAACGUGCACUAUUAUUAUUAUUCACAUCGUUCGGUCGUGCAAGUGAAAGGCAAUUAUGACGAUAUAUGAUGGACUGAUUGAGAUGAGAGAAGCUGGUAUGAACUCGACCUCUCUUGUUUUUGUAAAUAUGAUUAGUUCAUCGUUCCUGAUUCAGCCUAUUAUGAAUAAACAUGUUUGCACUGACAAUUAGAGAUUAUAGUUGCUCGUGCCAUUCUUGAUUAGCUAUGAGUUAUAAUGGUUUACCUUGCGUGCCAACAUGCUAUUAAAAUGGUUGUGAUGUGGUAUGAUAGGGUGGUAUCCUCCUUUGAAUGAUUCAAGUGACUUGACUUGGCACAUGUUCACACAUGUAGUUGAAACAAAUCAACAUAGCCUUCACGAUAUUUAUGUUCAUGGUGGAUUAUAUUCUACUCAAGCUUGCAAUGUUUAUUAAUUUUAAUGCAUGUUCAUGACUGUUGUCGCUCUCUAGUUGGUCGCUUCCCAGUCUUUUGCUAGCCUUCACUUGUACUAAGCGGAAAUAGUGCUUGUGCAUCCAAUCCCUUAAACCCCAAAGUUAUUCCAUAUGAGUCCACCAUACCUCUUAUUAAAAAGCACCAGCUGGAGAGCACCGGUGUCAUUUGCAUUCAUUAUUGUUAAUUUAUAUUGGGUAUGACUAUGACUGGAUCUCUUUUACCAUGAAUUACAAUGUCUAGUCAGUCCUUGAUCUUUAAAGGUGCUCUGCAUUUAUGUUUUUCGGUCUCAGAAAGGGCUAGCGAGAUACCAUCUUGUUAUAUCAUAUCAUGAUUGUUUUGAGAAAGUGUUGUCAUCCGAGAUUUAUUAUUAUUGCUCGCUAGUUGAUUAUGCCAUUGAUAUGAGUAAACAUGAGACCUAAGAGUUAUUGUGAAUAUGGUUUGUUCAUAAUCUUUGCUGAAAACUUGAAUGCUGGCUUUACAUAUUUACAACAACAAGAGCAAACAGAGUUUGUAAAAGUUUUUCUUUAUCACUUUCAGUUUAUCAACUGAAUUGCUUGAGGACAAGCAAAGGUUUAAGCUCGGGGGAGUUGAUACGUCUCCGUCGUAUCUACUUUUCCAAACACUUUAGCCCUUGUUUUGGACUCUAACUUGCAUGAUUUGAAUGGAACUAACCCGGACAGACGCUGUUUUCAGCAGAAUUGCCAUAGUGUUAUUUAUGUGCAGAAACAAAAGUUCUCGAAAUGACCUGAAACUCCAUGGAACUUAUUUUUGGAAAAUAUUAAAAAUAUUGGCCAAAGAAUAAAGGCCAGGAGGCCCACCACCUGUCCACGAGGGUGGGGGCGCGCCUGCCCCCCUGGGCGCGCCCCCUGCCUCGUGGGCCCCCUGUUGCUCCACCGACCUCAACUCCAACUCCAUAUAUUCGUGUUCGGGGAGAAAAAAAUCAGAGAGAAGGAUUCAUCAUGUUUUACGAUUCGGAGCCGCCGCCAAGCCCUUAAACCUCGCGGGAGGGAUGAUUCGGAGUCCGUUCGGGGCUCCGGAGAGGGGAAUCCGUCGCCAUCGUCAUCAUCAACCAUCCCCCAUCACCAAUUUCAUGAUGCUCACCGCCGUGCGUGAGUAAUUCCAUCGUAGGCUUGCUGGACGGUGAUGGGUUGGAUGAGAUUUAUCAUGUAAUCGAGUUAGUUUUGUUAGGGUUUGAUCCCUAGUAUCCACUAUGUUCUGAGAUUGAUGUUGCUAUGACUUUGCUAUGCUUAAUGCUUGUCACUAGGGCCCGAGUGCCAUGAUUUCAGAUCUGAACCUAUUAUGUUUUCAUGAAUAUAUGUGAGUUCUCGAUCCUAUCUUGCAAGUCUAUAGUCACCUACUAUGUGUUAUGAUCCGGCAACCCCGAAGUGACAAUAAUCGGGACCACUCCCGGUGAUGACCAUAGUUUGAGGAGUUCAUGUAUUCACUAUGUGUUAAUGCUUUGGUCCGGUACUCUAUUAAAAGGAGGCCUUAAUAUCCCUUAGUUUCCAUUAGGACCCCGCUGCCACGGGAGGGUAGGACAAAAGAUGUCAUGCAAGUUCUUUUCCGUAAGCACGUAUGACUAUAUUCGGAAUACAUGCCUACAUUACAUUGGUGAAUUGGAGCUAGUUCUGUGUCACCCUAUGUUAUGACUGUUACAUGAUGAACCGCAUCCGGCAUAAUUCUCCAUCACCGAUCCAAUGCCUACGAGCUUUUCACAUAUUGUUCUUCGCUUAUUUACUUUACCGUGCUACUGUUACAAUUACUACAAAACCCAAAAAUAUUACUUUUGCUACCGUUACCGUUACUUCCAUAUUACUUUGCUACUAAAUACUUUGCUGCAGAUAUUAAGUAAUCCAGGUGUGGUUGAAUUGACAACUCAACUGCUAAUACUUGAGAAUAUUCUUUGGCUCCCCUUGUGUCGAAUCAAUAAAUUUGGGUUGAAUACUCUACCCUCAAAAACUAUUGCGAUCCCCUAUACUUGUGGGUUAUCACCGGGGUACUUCAUCCCCUCUUCAGCUCGAGCACAUCUAUUGGCCAGAACAUAAAGUUCGGCCACAUCUUUGACCUUGUUCGUCGCCAACUCUUCACGCAUCUUGCGGUUGCGCACAUUCUGAUGGAAUGCGCUGAUAACGGCGGCGGGAUGAACAUCUGGGAUGUUGUACUGCAACCGGCUAAACCUUGGUGUGUACUUGCGCAGGUUUUCACCUUCCUUAUGGGGGAUGAUAUGCAAAUCGCUUGCCUGACCAUGAGCUUAGUGGCCUCCAGUGAAGGCGCCAACAAACUCAUGACACAAAUCCGACCAAGAAGAAAUGGAAUCCACCGGCAAAUGCAUCAACCAUGACAUGACGUUGGGUUUGAGUGCCAAAGGGAAGUAAUUGGCAAGCACCUUGUCGUCGCGAGCUCCAGCAGCUUGCAUCGCGAUGGUGUAGAUGCUGAGGAACUCCGAUGGGUGUGUCUUGCCGUUGUACUUCUCGCCAACAUCGGGCUUGAACGUGCUGUGGGAGGGCCACUGGAACUGCCGCAGCUCUCGGGUAAAGGCUGGACAACCCACCUCGUAAGGCAGGUUGCUGGGGCCCCCGGCGCUGGGUGGUCCAUAGUAGGCCCCGCACGCCGAUCUGACCGAUGGCGCGUCUCCCGUCGUCCCUUGAUGGUAGUUCGAGCGUCUUCCUGGGCCCGUUCCCGAAGGACUUGACGUUGGUCACAGCGUGUCCGCGGGUCGGACGACGCCGUGGAAACGUUGUCUCCGACGUCGGGUCGACGGGCCAGUGGUUGUUGUCACGGCCGUGGGGGGGGGGAGGAGUGCACCAUGGUCGAGGCGUCCCAGGUCCCUCCACCGCCGGCAUGCACUGGCUCGCCAGGACGCCGGUGCGAGGGUCCCGUCGGGAGCGGCUCGUCUUUGUUGGCGAAGCUGACAAGGCUUCGGAUGGUGGCUCUCCACUCGUCGAGCUUCUCCACAACAGGGGGAAGUUCAGGAGCAGCUGCACGUGCGCCAGGGCUUCUGCUGGUGUAGGCGGCAGCGAUAUCUGCGUAGACCGUGACACGCUCCGACUUCUAACCGGGUUAGAAGGGGCUCUGGCGUAGUCUCGCAGUCGCAUGCCGCUUGCACCGGCGUCUGAGCGCGCACGCCGGCCUGGUUCGUCCUGUGAGUGGCGCACAGGGUUGUUUCCGCGGCGGUGCCCGGGGGCUCCGGCAUCGCGGUGUUGCUCAUCGCGCGCGGCCUGGGAAGGGCGCGGCGUGGGCGCCAGCUGGGGUACCGUAGAGGCUGCAGCGCCGCCCAUGGGCAGCACGGCCCUGCCCCGGACCCAGUGGCGUCUGGCUCGUCGUUGCGGAUUCGGACGACGCCGCUCGCCUGGAUCCGAUCGCCAGAAUGUCGUGGAUGCUCGCGGGCCACGCCCUCGGCCCCAUCCGUGGGCACCCGGCCGCCAGCUCGUGCUGGCGCGGACGAGCCGAUCACUGUGAUCCCCUUCUUCUUGGGAUCCAUGACGGUGAAGAACUGCUAAACUGACUGCUAGGCCAGAUUUUCACAACUGCGCCCCCUACCUGGCGCGCCAAAGAUGUCGGGGGAAAACGACACCUAUGGGAUCACUGGAAUCCCUUCUAGGUUGGCGGGCGCGUGGUUGUGCAAAGAGCGGGUCUAGAAGCUAGCACAAAGGUCGUUUACCCAGGUUCGGGCCGCAAGGAUGCGUAAUAGUCCUGCUUUGGUGUAUAUUUGAGUGUUCUUGAACUCUUGAACUAGCUACGGUGCGUGCGUCGUCCAAAAGGUCCGAAUCCUCUCUCAGUACGCCGCGGGCCUCCUUUCAUAGACAAAGGGGCUGCCAAAGUGGCGCACAAGAGGUGGAAAGAUAUACAGUGUUCAAGCUUAUCGCAUGUCAUUACAGGACAAUGCACAUUUAAUGCGCUACUUAGGUGUCCUCUUGCUUUAUUGGGGACGGUAACGAGGCCCGUCCCGUCCGUCGCCGCUCCGUCUUGCUUCAACACGCAUCUGGGCCAACGAGGCAUGCAGCGCCAUGUAGGCUGGCAGGCUGCUGAGUUGGCAUGGUGGUAGGGUCUUCACGAAGAUCUGCAUGCCACCACGCAUAUGCUUGCUGAGUUGGCCUAGAGGUCGCACGUCUCCACGCAGGGGUUCGCCUAGUUGUUGGGCUGGCAGUUGCAUCGGAACGGCGGUGGAAUCUUGGCAGAUGUGGGCCUGGCUGCGGCCCCGCGAAUGUCUUCAGCAAGAGUCUUGUCGGGGCCCUGGCAAGGGUCUUGCCAUGGUGUCCUGGUCGUCCCCAACAAGGAUCUUGCUGGGGGUCUCGUGGGUAUCCUCGGCAAGGAUCUUGCCGAGGAUCGUCGUCUUCUAAUUCUCAUCUGAUCUGGUAUGCUUCUGGUCUCCACAAAGAUCUGCAUGCCUCCAUGGAGUUGCCUCCCGAGCCUUGGUUCCAGUGUGGUUGAUGGUGUUGGAACCCUUGGGCUCAAGGGUGGCAGCUCCGCUGGUGUUGGGCAAGUUGCCCCGGCAAGGUUCUUGCCGGGGCCGUGGAGGCCGCCCCGGCAAGGGCCUUGCCGGGGGAGUUCACCUUGCCCCUCUACUCUUUGUGUCUCCGUCUUGGUGUUGCUCUAGUUGUCUUGUGGCUUUGCUUCCUCUGACCCUGCCCUACUGAGUGUGGCCGCGGGCGCGGCUCGGACUGCCCGUGCACAAGUAAAGGGGAAAAAAAGGGGGCCCUACUUUUGUACACCGACACGUGUACGUAGGAUUUUUUUUUGAAAUUACUGCGUUCCCCAACAGUGGCAUCCAAACCAGGUCUAUGCGUAGAUGUUAUAUGCACGAGUAGAACACAAAUGAGUUGUGGGCGAUAAUAAUCAUACUGCUUACCAGCAUGUCAUACUUUGAUUCGGCGGUAUUGUUGGAUGAAGCGGCCCGGACCGACAUUACGCGUACGCUUACGCAAGACUGGCUCUACCGACGUGCUUCGCACACAGGUGGCUGGCGGGUGUCAGUUUCUCCAACCUUACUUGAAUCGAGUGUGGCUACGCCCGGUCCUUGUUGAAGGUUAAAACAUCACACUUGACAAAAAAUCGUUGUGGUUUUGAUGCGUAGGCAAGAACGGUUCUUGCUCAGCCCGUAGCAGCCACGUAAAACUUGCAACAACAAAGUAGAGGACGUCUAACUUGUUUUUGCAGGGCAUGUUGUGAUGUGAUAUGGUCAAGACAUGAUGCUAAAUUUUAUUGUAUGAGAUGAUCAUGUUUUGUAACAGAGUUAUCGGCAACUGGCAGGAGCCAUAUGGUUGUCGCUUUAUUGUAUGAAAUGCAAUCGCCAUGUAAUUGCUUUACUUUAUCACUAAGCAGUAGCGAUAGUCGUAGAAGCAAUAGUUGGUGAGACGACAAUGAUGCUUCGAUGGAGAUUAAGGUGUCAAGCCGGUGACGAUGGUGAUCAUGACGGUGCUUUGGAGAUGCAGAUCAAAGGCACAAGAUGAUGGUGGUCAUAUCAUAUCACUUAUAUUGAUUGCAUAUGAUGUUUAUCCUUUAUGCAUCUUAUUUUGCUUAGUUCGGCAGUAGCAUUAAAAGAUGAUCUUGUUGGAAAUAUGCCCUAGAGGCAAUAAUAAAAUGGUUAUUAUUGUAUUUCCUUGUUCAUGAUAAUUGUCUAUUGUUCAUGCUAUAAUUGUAUUAACUAGAAACCGUAAUACAUGUGUGAAUACAUAGACCACAACAUGUCCCUAGUGAGCCUCUAGUUGACUAGCUCGUUGAUCAAUAGAUGGUUAUGGUUUCCUGACCAUGGACAUUGGAUGUCAUUGAUAACGGGAUCACAUCAUUAGGAGAAUGAUGUGAUGGACAAGACCCAAUCCUAAGCAUAGCACAAGAUCGUGUAGUUCGUUUGCUAAGAGCUUUUCUAAUGUCAAGUAUCGUUUCCUUAGACCAUGAGAUUGUGCAACUACCGGAUACCGUAAGAAUGCUUUGGGUGUACCAAACGUCACAACGUAACUGGGUGGCUAUAAAGGUGCACUACAGGUAUCUCCGAAAGUGUCUGUUGGGUUGGCACGAAUCGAGACUGGAAUUUGUCACUCCGUAUGACGGAGAGGUAUCUCUGGGCCCACUCGGUAAUGCAUCAUCAUAAUGAGCUCAAUGUGACUAAGGAGUUAGCCACGGGAUCAUGCGUUACGGAACGAGUAAAGAGACUUGCCGGUAACAAGAUUGAACGAGGUAUUGGGAUACCGACGAUCGAAUCUCGGGCAAGCAACAUGCUGAUAGACAAAGGGAAUUGUAUACGGGGUUGAUUGAAUCCCUGACAUCGUGGUUCAUCCGAUGAGAUCAUCGUGGAACAUGUGGGAGCCAAUAUGGGUAUCCAGAUCCCGCUAUUGGUUAUUGGCCGGAGAGGUGUCUCGGUCAUGUCUGUAGGGUUCCCGAACCCGUAGGGUCUACACACUUAAGGUUCGGUGACGCUAGAGUUGUUAUGGGAAAUAAUAUGUGGUUACCGAAGGUUGUUCGGAGUCCCGGAUGAGAUCCCGGACAUCACAAGGAGUUCCGGAAUCUUCCGGCGGUUAAGAUCGAUAUAUUGGACGAAGGGUAUUGGAGUCCGGAAGUGUUCCGGGGGUACGAGGCUAUGGCCAGCAUGACCGAAAGGUGUUUCGGGAGCCCCGGCAAGUGUUGGAGGGCCUCAUGGGCCAAAGGGUAAGGGGCAAACCAGCCACUAAGGGGUGGUGCGCCCCCCACACCCUUUCCCACGUUACUUGGGGAGGUGGGGCGCCUCCACCUGGCUUGGGAGGCAAGCCUCCACCUGCUUGGCUUGGGGGCAAGUCUCCCUAGGAUUUUCCCUAGGGAGAUCCAAUCUGCUUGGCCGCCGCCCCCUAGGGGAAACCCUAGGGUGCCUCCCCCUCUCCCAUUACCCCUAUAUAUAGUGGAGGGGUGGGAGGGCAGCCGCACCUCUUCCCUGGCGCAGCCCUCCCUCCUCAUACACCUCCUCCUCCUCCGUAGUGCUUAGCGAAGCUCUGCCGGAGAACCACGAGCUCCAUUGCCACCAUGCCGUCGUGCUGCUGGAGUUCUCCCUCAACUUCUCCUCUCCCCUUGCUGGAUCAAGAAGGAGGAGACGUCCCCGGGCUGUACGUGUGUUGAACGCGGAGGCGCCGUCCGUUCGGCGCUAGAUCGGAUCUUCCGCGAUUUGAAUCGCCGCGAGUACGACUCCAUCAACCGCGUUCUUGUAAUGCUUCCACUUAGCAAUCUUCAAGGGUAUGAAGAUGCACUCCCUCUCUCUCGUUGCUAGCAUCUCCUAGAUUGGUCUUGGUGACAUGUAGGAAAAUUUUGAAUUAUUGCUACGUUCCCCAACAGUGGUAUCAGAGCCAGGUUUAUGCGUAGAUUCUAUGCACGAGUAGAACACAAAGUAGUUGUGGGCGAUGAUUUGUACAAUUUGCUUACCAUUACUAGUCUUAUCUUGAUUCGGCGGCAUUGUGGGAUGAAGCGGCCCGGACCGACCUUACACGUACACUUACGUGAGACAGGUUCCACCGACUAACAUGCACUUGAUGCAUAAGGUGGCUAGCGGGUGUCUGUCUCUCCCACUUUAGUCGGAUCGGAUUCGAUGAAGAGGGUCCUUAUGAAGGGUAAAUAGCAAUUGGCAUAUCACCGUUGUGGCUUUUGUGUAGGUAAGAAACGUUCUUGCUAGAAACCCAUAGCAGCCACGUAAAACAUGCAACAACAAUUAGAGGACGUCCAACUUGUUUUUGCAGGGUAUGCUAUGUGAUGUGAUAUGGCCAAAAGGAUGUGAUGAAUUAUAUAUGUGAUGUAUGAGAUUGAUCAUGUUCUUGUAAUAGGAAUCACGACUUGCAUGUCGAUGAGUAUGACAACCGGCAGGAGCCAUAUGAGUUGUCUUAAUUUAUUGUAUGACCUGCGUGUCAAUGAAAACGCCAAGUAAUUACUUUACUUUAUUGCUAACCGUUAGCCAUAGUAGUAGAAGUAAUACUUGGCGAGACAACUUCAUGAAGACACGAUGAUGGAGAUCAUGAUGAUGGAGAUCAUGGUGCCAUGCCGAUGACGAAGGUGAUCAUGCCGCGCCUCGAAGAUGGAGAUCAAAGGCGCAAGAUGAUAUUGGCCAUAUCAUGUCACUUUAUGAUUUGCAUGUGAUGUUUGUCAUGUUUACAUCUUAUUUGCUUAGAACGACGGUAGCAUAAAUAAGAUGAUCCCUCACUAAAAUUUCAAGAGACGUGUUCCCCCUAACUGUGCACCGUUGCGAAGGUUCGUUGUUUCGAAGCACCACGUGAUGAUCAGGUGUGAUAGAUUCUAACGUUCGCAUACAACAGGUGUAAGCCAGAUUUACACAUGCGAAACACUUAGGUUGACUUGACGAGCCUAGCAUGUGCAGACAUGGCCUCGGAACACAAGAGACCGAAAGGUCGAACAUGAGUCGUAUAGUAGAUACGAUCAACAUGGAGAUGUUCACCGAUGAUGACUAGUCCGUCUCACGUGAUGAUCGGACACGGCCUAGUUGACUCGGAUCAUGUAUCACUUAGAUGACUAGAGGGAUGUCUAUCUGAGUGGGAGUUCAUUAAAUAAUUAGAUGAACUUAAUUAUCAUGAACAUAGUCAAAAGGUCUUUGCAAAUUAUGUCGUAGCUUACGCUUUAGUUCUACUGUUUAAGAUAUGUUCCUAGAGAAAAUUUAGUUGAAAGUUGAUAGUAGCAAUUAUGCGGACUGGGUCCGUAAACUGAGGAUUGUCCUCAUUGCUGCACAGAAGGCUUAUGUCCUUAAUGCACUACUCGGUGUGCUGAACUCGAGCGUCGUUUGUGGAUGUUGCGAACAUCUGACAUACACGUUUUGAUGACUACGUGAUAGUUUAGUGCGUAAUGUUGAACGGUUUAGAAUUGAGGCACCGAAGACAUUUUGAAACUUCGCGGAACAUAUGAGAUGUUCCAAGAGCUGAAAUUGGGAUUUUAGGCUCGUGCCCACGUCAAGAGGUAUGAGACCUCUGACAAGUUUCUUAAGCCUGCAAACUAAGGGAGAAAAGCUCAACUGUUGAGCAUGUGCUCAGAUUGUCUCAGUACUACAAUCGCUUGAAUCGAGUGGGAGUUAAUCUUCCAGAUGAGAUAGUGAUGGUUCUCCAAAGUCACUACCACCAAGCUACUAGAGCUUCGUGAUGAACUAUAACAAAUCAGGGAUAGAUAUGAUGAUCCUUGAGCUAUUCGCGAUGUUUGACACCACAAAAGUAGAAAUCAAGUAGGAGCAUCAAUUGUUGAGGGUUAGUAAAACCACUAGUUUCAAGAAGGGCAAGGGAAAGAAGGGAUACUUCAUGAAACAGCAAAUCAGUUGCUGCUCUAGUGAAGAAACCCAAGGUUGAACCCAAACCCGAGACUAAGUGCUUCUGUAAUGAGGGGAACGGUCACUGAAGCAGAACUACCCUAGAUACUUGGUAGAUGAGAAGGUAGGUAAGGUCGACAGAAGUAUAUUGGAUAUACAUUAUAUUAAUGUGUACUUUACUAGUACUCCUAGUAGCACCAGGGUAUUAGAUACCGGUUCGGUUGCUAAGUGUUGGUAACUCGAAAUAAAAGGCUACGGAAUAAACGGAGACUAGCUAAAGGUGAGAUGACGAUAUGUGUUGGAAGUGUUUCCAAGGUUGAUGUGAUCAAGCAUCGCAUGCUCCCUCUACCAUCGAGAUUGGUGUUAAACCUAAAUAAUUGUUAUUUGGUGUUUGCGUUGAGCAUAGACAUGAUUGGACUAUGUUUAUCGCAAUACGGUUAUUCAUUUAGGGAGAAUAAUGGCUACUCUGUCUAUUUGAAUAAUACCUUCAAUGGUCUUGCCCCUAAAAUGAAUGGUUUACUGAAUCUCGAUCGUAGUGAUACACAUGUUCAUGCCAAAAGAUAUAAGAUAGUAAUGAUAGUACCACAUACUUGUGGCAGUGCCACUUGAGUCAUAUUGGUAUAAAACGCAUGAAGAAGCUCCAUGUUGAUGGAUCUUUGGACUCACUCGUUUUUGAAAAGAUUGAGACAUGCGAACCAUGUCUAUUAGUAUAUAUGCAUGAAGAAAGUCCAUACAGAUGGAUCGUUUGGACUCACUUGAUUUUGAAUCACUUGAGACAUGCAAAUCAUACCACAUGGGCAAGAUGACUGAAAGGCCUCGUUUUCAGUAAGAUGGAACAAGAAAGCAACUUGUUGGAAGUAAUACAUUUUGAUGUGUGCAGUCCAAUGAGUGCUGAGGCAUGCAGUGGAUAUCGUUAUGUUCUUGCUUCACAGAUGAUUUGAGUAGAUGCUGAGUAUAUUUACUUGAUGAAACACAAGUCUGAAUUAUUGAAAGGUUCAAGUAAUUUUAGAGUGAAGUUGAAGAUCGUCGUGACAAGAGGAUAAAAUGUCUGUGAUAUGAUCAUAGAGAUGAAUAUCUGAGUUACGAGUUUCGCACACAAUUAAGAGAAAGUGGAAAUUGUUUCACGACUAAUACCGCCUGGAACACCAUAGUGUGAUGGUGUGUCCGAACAUCAUAACUACACCCUAUUGGAUAUGGUGCAUACCAUGAUGUCUCUUAUCGAAUUACACUAUCAUUUAUGGGUUAGGCAUUAGAGACAACCGCAUUCACUUUAAAUAGGGCACCACGCAAUUCCGUUGAGACGACACCGUAUGAACUAUGGUUUAGAGAAAUCUAAGCUGUCGUUUCUUAAAAGUUUGGGGCUGCGACGCUUAUGUGAAAAAGUUUCAGGCUGAUAAGCUCGAACCCAAAGCGGAUAAAUGCAUCUUCAUAGAAUACCCAAAACAGUUGGGUAUACCUCCUAUUUCAGAUCUGGAAGCAAAAGCGAUUGUUUCUAGAAACGGGUCCUUUCUCGAGGAAAAGUUUCUCUCGAAAGUAUUGAGUGGGAGGAUGGUGGAGACUUGAUGAGGUUAUUGAACCAUGACUUCAACUAGUGUGUAGCAGGGCACAGGAAGUUGUUCCUGUGGCACCUACACCAAUUGAAGUGGAAGCUUAUGAUAGUGAUCAUGAAACUUCGGAUCAAGUCACUACCAAACCUCGUAGGACGACAAGGAUGCAUGCUACUUCAGAGUGGUACGUAAUCCUGUCUUGGAAGUCUUGUUGCUAGACAACAAUGAACCUACGAGCUAUGGAGAAGCGAUGAUGGGCCCGGAUUCCGACGAAUGGCUCGAGGCCAUAAAAUCCGAGAGAGGAUCCAUGUAUAAAAACAAAGUGUAGACUUUGGAAGAACUACUUGAUGGUCGUAAGGCUGUUGGGUGCAGAUGGAUUUUAAAAGGAAGACAGACAAUGAUGGUAAGUGUCACCAUUAAGAAAGCUCGACUUGUCGUUAAGAUGUUUUCCGGCAAGUUCAAGGAGUUGACUGCGAUGAGACUUUCUCACUCGUAGCGAUGCUAAGAGUCUGUUGGAAUUAUAUUAGCAGUUACUGCAUUAUUCAUGAAAUCUUGCAGAUAGGAUGUCAAAACAUUGUUUCCUCGACGAUUUUCUUGAGGAAAGGUUGUAUGUGAUACAACCAGAAGGUUUUGUCAAUCCUGAAAGAUGCUAAUAAGUAUGCAAAGCUCCAGCAAUCCUUCUAAGGAUUGGAGUAAGCAUCUCGGAGUUGGAAUGUACGCUUUGAUGAGAUGAUCAAAGAUUUUGGGUUUAUACAAAGUUUAUGAGAAACUUGUAUUUCCAAAGAAGUGAGUGGGAGCACUAUAGAAUUUCUGAUGAUUAUAUGUUGUUGACAUAUUGUUGAUCAGAAAUGAUGUAGAAUUUCUGGAAAACAUACAGGGUUAUUUGAAAAGUGUUUUUCAAUGCAAAACCUGGAUUAAGCUACUUGAACAUUGAGCAUCAAGAUCUAUAAGGAUAGAUCAAAAACGCUCAAUAGUACUUUCAAAUGAAUACAUACCGUGACAAGAUUUUGAAGGAGUUCAAAAUAGAUCAGCAAAGGAGUUCUUGGGUGUGUUACAAGGUGUGAGUAUUGAGUAAGACUCAAGACCUGACCACGGCAGAAGAGAGAGAAAGGACGAAGGUCGUCCCCUAUGCUUUAGACGUAGGCUCUACAAUAUGCUAUGCUGUGUACUGCACCUGAAGUGUGCCUUGCCAUGAGUUAGUCAAGGGGUACAAUAGUGAUCCAGGAAUGGAUCACAUGACAGCGGUCGAACUUAUCCUUAGUAACUAGUGGACUAAGGAAUUUUCUCGAUUAUGGAGGUGGUAAAAGAGUUCGUCGUAAAGGGUUGCGUCGAUGCAAACUUUGACACUAUCCGGAUGACUCUGAGUAGUAAACCGGAUUCGUAUAGUAGAGCAGUUAUUUGGAAUAGCUCCAAGUAGCGCGUGGUAGCUGCAUCUACAAGAUGACAUAGAGAUUUUUAAAGCACACACGGAUCUGAAAGGUUCAGACCCGUUGACUAGUAACCUCUCUCACAAGCGAGAUAUGAACAAACCCCAUGGGUGUUUGAUUCAUUACAAUCACAUAGUGAUGUGAACUAGAUUAUUGACUCUAGUGCAAGUGGGAGACUGUUGGAAAUAUGCCCUAGAGGCAAUAAUAAAAUGGUUAUUAUUGUAUUUCCUUGUUCAUGAUAAUUGUCUAUUGUUCAUGCUAUAAUUGUAUUAACUGGAAACCGUAAUACAUGUGUGAAUACAUAGACCACAACAUGUCCCUAGUGAGCCUCUAGUUGACUAGCUCGUUGAUCAAUAGAUGGUUAUGGUUUCCUGACCAUGGACAUUGGAUGUCAUUGAUAACGGGAUCACAUCAUUAGGAGAAUGAUGUGAUGGACAAGACCCAAUCCUAAGCAUAGCACAAGAUCGUGUAGUUCGUUUGCUAAGAGCUUUUCUAAUGUCAAGUAUCGUUUCCUUAGACCAUGAGAUUGUGCAACUACCGGAUACCGUAAGAAUGCUUUGGGUGUACCAAACAUCACAACGUAACUGGGUGGCUAUAAAGGUGCACUACAAGUAUCUCCGAAAGUGUCUGUUGGGUUGGCACGAAUCGAGACUGGAAUUUGUCACUCCGUAUGACGGAGAGGUAUCUCUGGGCCCACUCGGUAAUGCAUCAUCAUAAUGAGCUCAAUGUGACUAAGGAGUUAGCCACGGGAUCAUGCGUUACGGAACGAGUAAAGAGACUUGCCGGUAACAAGAUUGAACGAGGUAUUGGGAUACCGACGAUCGAAUCUCGGGCAAGCAACAUGCCGAUAGACAAAGGGAAUUGUAUACGGGAUUGAUUGAAUCCCUGACAUCGUGGUUCAUCCGAUGAGAUCAUCGUGGAACAUGUGGGAGCCAAUAUGGGUAUCCAGAUCCCGCUAUUGGUUAUUGGCCGGAGAGGUGUCUCGGUCAUGUCUGUAGGGUUCCCGAACCCGUAGGGUCUACACACUUAAGGUUCGGUGACGCUAGAGUUGUUAUGGGAAAUAAUAUGUGGUUACCGAAGGUUGUUCGGAGUCCCGGAUGAGAUCCCGGACAUCACAAGGAGUUCCGGAAUGGUCCGGCGGUUAAGAUCGAUAUAUUGGACGAAGGGUAUUGGAGUCCGGAAGUGUUCCGGGGGUACGAGGCUAUGGCCAGCAUGACCGAAAGGUGUUUCGGGAGCCCCGGCAAGUGUUGGAGGGCCUCAUGGGCCAAAGGGGAAGGGGCAAACCAGCCACUAAGGGGUGGUGCGCCCCCCACACCCUUUCCCACGUUACUUGGGGAGGUGGGGCGCCUCCACCUGGCUUGGGAGGCAAGCCUCCACCUGCUUGGCUUGGGGGCAAGUCUUCCUAGGAUUUUCCCUAGGGAGAUCCAAUCUGCUUGGCCGCCUCCCCCUAGGGGAAACCCUAGGGUGCCUCCCCCUCUCCCAUUACCCCUAUAUAUAGUGGAGGGGUGGGAGGGCAGCCGCACCUCUUCCCUGGCGCAGCCCUCCCUCCUCAUACACCUCCUCCUCCUCCGUAGUGCUUAGCGAAGCUCUGCCGGAGAACCACGAGCUCCAUUGCCACCAUGCCGUCGUGCUGCUGGAGUUCUCCCUCAACUUCUCCUCUCCCCUUGCUGGAUCAAGAAGGAGGAGACGUCCCCGGGCUGUACGUGUGUUGAACACGGAGACGCCGUCCGUUCGGCGCUAGAUCGGAUCUUCCACGAUUUGAAUCGCCGCGAGUACGACUCCAUUAACCGCGUUCUAGGUUGGUCUUGGUGACACGUAGGAAAAUUUUGAAUUAUUGCUACGUUCCCCAACAGAUCUCUCACUAAAUUUCUAGGUACAAGUGUUCUCCGUGAGUAUGCACCGUUGCGAAAGUUCGUUGUGCCGAGACACCACGUGAUGAUCCGGUGUGAUAAGCUCUACGUUCACAUAUAACGGGUGCAAGCCAGUUUUGCACACGCAGAAUACUCGGGUUAAACUUGACGAGCCUAGCAUAUGCAGAUAUGGCCUCGAAACACUCAGACCGAAAGGUCGAGCGUGAAUCAUAUAGUAGAUAUGAUCAACAUAGUGAUGUUCACCAUUGAAAACUACUCCAUCUCACGUGAUGACCGGACAUAGUUUAGUUGAUUUGGAUCACGUGAUCACUUAGAUGAUUAGAGGGAUGUCUAUCUAAGUGGGAGUUCUUAAGUAAUUUGAUUAAUUGAACUUUAAUUUAUCAUGAACUUAGUACCUGAUAGUAUUUUGCAUGUCUAUGUUGUUGUAGAUAGAUGGCCCGUGUUGUUCUUCCGUUGAAUUUUAAUGCGUUCCUAGAGAAAGCUAAGUUGAAAGAUGAUGGUAGCAACUACACAGACUGGGUCCAUAACUUGAGGAUUAUCCUCAUUGCUGCAUAGAAGAAUUACGUCCUGGAAGCACCAUAGGUGCCAAACCUGCUGCAGGAGCAACUCUAGAUGUUAUGAACGUCUGGCAGAGCAAAGCUGAUGACUACUCGAUAGUUCAGUGUGCCAUGCUUUACGGCUUAGAACCGGGACUUCAACGGCGUUUUGAACGUCAUGGAGCAUAUGAGAUGUUCCAAGAGUUGAAGUUAAUAUUUCAAGCAAAUGCCCGGAUUGAGAGAUAUGAAGUCUCCAAUAAGUUCUAUAGCUGCAAAAUGGAGGAGAAUAGCUCUGUCAGUGAGCAUAUACUCAAAAUGUCUGGGUAUAACAAUCACUUGAUUCAACUGGGAUUUAAUCUUCCUGAUGAUAGUGUCAUUGACAGAAUUCUUCAAUCACUGCCACCAAGCUACAAGAGCUUCGUGAUGAACUAUAAUAUGCAAGGGAUGGAUAAGACAAUUCCCGAGCUCUUCGCAGUGCUAAAGGCUGCAAAGGUAGAAAUCAAGAAAGAGCAUCAAGUGUUGAUGGUCAACAAGACCACCAGUUUCAAGAAAAAGGGUAAAGGGAAGAAGGGGAACUUCAAGAAGAACGGCAAGCAAGGUGUUGCUCAAGUGAAGAAGCCCAAGUCUGGACCUAAGCCUGAGACUGAGUGCUUCUACUGCAAAGGGACUGGUCACUGGAAGCGGAACUACCCCAAGUAUUUGGCGGAUAUGAAGGAUGGCAAGGUGAACAAAGGUAUAUGUGAUAUACAUGUUAUUGAUGUGUACCUUACUAAUGCUCGCAGUAGUGCCUAGGUAUUUGAUACUGGUUCUGUUGCUAAUAUUUGCAACUCGAAACAGGGACUACGGAUUAAGAGAAGAUUGGCUAAGGACGAGGUGACCCGCAUGGAAAAUGGUUCCAAAGUCGAUGUGAUCGUAGUCGGCACGCUACUUCUACAUCUACCUUCGGGAUUAGUUUUAGACAUGAAUAAUUGUUAUUUGGUGCUAGCGUUGAGCAUGAACAUUAUAUCUGGAUCUUGUUUAAUGUGAGAUGGUUAUUGAUUUAAAUCUGAGAAUAAUGGUUGUUCUAUUUAUAUGAGUAAUAUCUUUUAUGGUCAUGCACCCUUGAAGAGUGGUAUAUUUUUGUUGAAUCUCAAUAGUAGUAAUACACAUAUUCAUAAUAUUGAAGCCAAAAGAUGUAGAGUUGAUAAUGAUAGUGCAACUUAUUUGUGGCACUGUCGUUUGGGUCAUAUUGGUGUAAAGCGCAUGAAGAAACUCCAUUCUGAUGGACUUUUGGAUUCACUUGAUUAUGAAUCACUUGGUACUUGCGAACCAUGCCUCAUGAGCAAGAUGACUAAAACGCCGUUCUCCGGAACAAUGGAGCGAGCAACAGAUUUGCUGGAAAUCAUACAUACUGAUGUAUGUGGUCCGAUGAAUGUUGAGGCUCGCGGCGGGUAUCGUUAUUUUCUCACCUUCACAGAUGAUUUGAGCAUAUAUGGGUAUAUCUACUUGAUGAGGCAUAAGUCUGAAACAUUUGAAAAGUUCAAAGAAUUUCAGAGUGAAGUGGAAAAUCAUCUUAACAAGAAAAUAAAGUUUCUAAGAUCUGAUCGUGGAGGAGAAUAUUUGAGUUACGAGUUUGGUCUUCAUUUGAAACAAUGCGGAAUAGUUUCACAACUCACGCCACCCGGAACACCACAGCAUAAUGGUGUGUCCGAACGUCGUAACCGCACUUUAUUAGAUAUGGUGCAAUCUAUGAUGUCUCUUACUGAUUUACCGCUAUCGUUUUGGGGUUAUGCUUUAGAGACGGCUGCAUUGACGUUAAAUAGAGCACCAUCUAAAUCCGUUGAGACGACACCUUAUGAACUGUGGUUUGGCAAGAAACCCAAGUUGUUGUUUCUGAAAGUUUAGGGCUGCGAUGCUUAUGUGAAAAAGCUUCAACCUGAUAUGCUCGAACCCAAAUCGGAAAAAUGUGUCUUCAUAGGAUACCUAAAGGAGACUGUUGGGUACACCUUCUAUCACAGAUCCGAAGGCAAGACAUUCGUUGCUAAGAUUGGUUCUUUUCUAGAGAAGGAGUUUCUCUCGAAAGAUGUGUGCGGGAGGAAAGUAGAACUUGAUGAGGUACCUGCUCCCUUAUUGGAAAGUAGUUCAUCACAGAAAUCUGUUCCUGUGACUCCUACACCAAUUAGUGAGGAAGCCAAUGAUGAUGAUCAUGUAACUUCAGAUCAAGUUACUACCGAACCUCGUAGGUCAACCAGAGUAAGAUCCGCACCAGAGUGGUACGGUAAUCCUGUUCUGGAAGUCAUGUUACUAGACCAUGAUGCACCUACGAACUAUGAGGAAGCGAUGAUGAGCCCAGAUUCCACGAAAUGGCUUGAGGCCAUGAAAUCUGAGAUAGGAUCCAUGUAUAAGAACAAAGUGUGGACUUUGGUUGACUUGCCCGAUGAUCGGCAAGCCAUCGAGAAUAAAUGGAUCUUCAAGAAGAAGGCUGACGCUGACGGUAAUGUUACUGUCUACAAAGCUCGACUUGUUGCGAAAGGUUUUCGACAAGUUCAAGGAGUUGACUACGAUGAGACAUUCUCACCAGUAGCGAUGCUUAAGUCCGUCCAAAUCAUGUUAGCAAUUGCUGCAUUUUAUGAUUAUGAAAUUUGGCAAAUGGAUGUAAAGACUACAUUCCUGAAUGGAUUUCUGGAAGAAGAGUUGUAUAUGAUGCAACAUGAAGGUUUUAUCGAUCCAAAGGAUGCUAACAAAAUGUGCAAGCUCCAGUGAUCCAUUUAUGGACUGGUGCAAGCAUCUCGGAGUUGGAAUAAACGUUUUGAUAGUGUGAUCAAAGCAUAUGGUUUUAUACAAACUUUUGGAGAAGCCUGUAUUUACAAGAAAGUGAGUGGGAGCUCUGUAGCAUUUCUAAUAUUAUAUGUGGAUGACAUAUUGUUGAUUGGAAAUGAUAUAGAAUUUCUGGAUAGCAUAAAAGGAUACUUGAAUAAGAGUUUUUCAAUGAAAGACCUCGGUGAAGCUGUUUAUAUAUUAAGCAUCAAGAUCUAUAGAGAUAGAUCAAGAUGUUUAAUUGGACUUUCAUAAAGCACAUACCUUGAUAAAGUUUUGAAGAAGUUCAAAAUGGAUCAAGCAAAGAAAGGGUUCUUGCCUGUGUUACAAGGUGUGAAGUUGAGUCAGACUCAAUGCCCGACCACUGCAGGAGAUAGAGAGAAAAUGAAGGUCAUUCCCUAUGCUUCAGCCAUAGGUUCUAUCAUGUAUGCAAUGUUGAGUAUCAGACCUGAUGUGUGCCUUGCUAUUAGUUUAGCAGGGAGGUACCAAAAUAAUCCAGGAGUGGAUCACUGGACAGCGGUCAAGAACAUCCUGAAAUACCUGAAAAGGACUAAGGAUAUGUUUCUCGUUUAUGGAGGUGACAAAGAGCUCGUCGUAAAUGGUUACGUCGAUGCAAGCUUUGACACUGAUCCGGAUGACUCUAAGUCACAAACGGGAUACGUAUUUAUAUUGAACGGUGGAGCUGUAAGUUGGUGCAGUUCUAAGCAAAGCGCCAUGGCAGGAUCUACGUGUGAAGCGGAGUACAUAGAUGCUUCGGAAGCAGCAAAUGAAGGAGUCUGGAUGAAGGAGUUCAUAUCCGAUCUAGGUGUCAUACCUAGUGCAUCGGGUCCAAUGAAAAUCUUUUGUGACAAUACUGGUGCAAUUGCCUUGGCAAAGGAAUCCAGAUUUCACAAGAGAACCAAGCACAUCAAGAGACGCUUCAAUUCCAUCCACGAUCAAGUCAAGGAGGGAGACAUAGAGAUUUGCAAGAUACAUACAAUCUGAAUGUUGCAGACCCAUUGACUAAGCCUCUCUCACGAGCAAAACAUGAUCAGCACCAAGACUCCAUGGGUGUUAGAAUCAUUACUAUGUAAUCUAGAUUAUUGACUCUAGUGAAAGUGGGAGACUGAAGGAAAUAUGCCCUAGAGGCAAUAAUAAAGUUGUUAUUUAUAUUUCCUUAUAUCAUGAUAAAUGUUUAUUAUUCAUGCUAGAAUUGUAUUAACCGGAAACUUAGUACAUGUGUGAAUACAUAGACAAACAGAGUGUCACUAGUAUGCCUCUACUUGACUAGCUCGUUGAAUCAAAGAUUGUCGGCGUUCUGGGAACGGGGGUCCCCAGACUUGCCUGCCUGCGGCCCGCGGCGUGGCUAAGCCAGCAGGCCGUACGACCCAUCUUCAUCAACAAGGCAUCCAAGACCCUCGCGAGGGUCCAAGCCUCGCGAGGCGGACGAUGCAAGAUCUGCUCAGGAGUGGCCUAGCCAGGCAGGCUCACGAGAGCGGAGAUAUCAAGGCAGGGCAAACCUAACGAAGCUCUCGUGACGUGAGCCCUAACGAUCGGCGCCAGGCGGGUGCCAGCGCGCACAGCAUCCUUGUUUCCUCUUUGGUGCUAAGGAGGCCAGCGCAGGCGAGGAGUACCGAGGCAUUAGGCAAAGGUUGCUAUAUCGGUGCAACGAGACCAAGACCAGGAGGACGGCAAGACGGAGGUCAUCGUAGAGCCCAAGACGGCGUCACCACCAGAGCCUUUCGCAGGCGAAGACCACUUUUGUCAGGAUAACUUGUACUAGCUGUCCCCCUUCAAAUUUUCCCGCCGUUGUUGGCUCCCUUCCCGCUCAAUAUUUGGGAAGAGGACUAGGGCCUAUAUAAGUAGAGCUAGCCACCACAGUAGGGGCAUCGAGCAGUUCACCCAGCUCUCACCCGCUAAGACACCAAGCACAAGAACACCUCAACCUCAGGAGGAUGUUCUUCCCUCUGUAUUGUUCAUCACCAACCCAAGAGGCAAUCCACCACCACCACACUGGAGUAGGGUAUUACACCACAACGGUGGCCCGAACCAGUAUAGAUCUCGUGUCUUUCUGUGUUGCGAGUUCGUCGAGUUCGUCCACGAGAUCUUAGCGAGCUAGGGCGUAGAUCGGUAGGAUGGAAAGACUUCGCGCGCACCCCAGUGUUCGAACCUCAACGGUUUGCCGGAACCCCAUAUCCGACAUUUAGUGCGCCGGGUAGGGGUGCGCCGGAGCUCCUCUCCACCAACUGCGCCCCGCGCCGCCGCACUUCGCCCCCAUGGCAGGUGCCCCGCCAUCUACCUCUGCGGCCAACAUCGACAGCGGGGUGUCUGGAUACCGAGCCCUGGCCCCCGCCCAACGGCGAGUGCGGUGGACAAUCAAGUUCAGGCCAGAUAUGUCGCCGCGUUACGACAGCGCGGUGGGCCCGACGCCGUUCCUACUGGUGUACGAGGAGGCUGUCCAUGAAGCCGGAGGCAACAACAAGAUCAUGGCCAACUGGUUCCCCAUGGCCCUUGCCAGCGAGCCGCGCGCCUGGCUGCUCAACCUCCCGGGAUCACGGUGGCCUCCUGGGGGGAACUCCGUGACCUCUUCACCGCUCGCUACGCGGUGCCAGCGCACCACACGGUCGCGGCCCUGCUGGGCGGCUCUCAAGAACCGCCUUCAGAUCGCCACAUCAAACCGUUCCUCUGCCAGAUCGGGGCCGCCUCCAAGCGCCCGGGGGCUCCGCCAGGUUGGGCCACGCCAGAGGCCAACCGCACCUUCGGCUCAAAAGACCACCCCGACUCCACCGCCGGCUCCGGCAUGCUCCCAAUGCUCUGCACGCCCACCAUCUGCAACAUGGCUGUCACCAAGACCCUCAUCGACGGCGGUGCUGGCCUCAACUUGCUCUUCGUAGAAGCCUUCAGCCUUCUUCACGUGCCGCUCGAGCGGCUCAACCUCAGCAAGCCCUUUUCAGGAGUGGGUGGCGGGGCUGCCCACUCCCUGGGGCAGAUCCGCCUCCCUGUCACCUUCGGCACACGCGACAACUACCACACCGAGCUAGUGGACUUCGACAUCGCCCGCAUCGGUCUCCCGUACAACGCCAUCCUCGGGUACCCAGCUCUCGCUCAGUUCAUGGCGGCGACUCACCCGGCCUACAACCUCAUGAAGAUGCCAGGGAGCAAGGGCGUCCUCACCAUCAAGGGGGACACUGAGGAGGCCAUGACGGCACUCAGGCUCGCCUUCAAGACCGCGGCAGCAGCACAACACGCCGACGCCGGCACCCCCGAGGCCAAGGAGGCCGCGCCUACCAAGAAGAAGCAGCUAUUCACCCAAGACAAGGCGGAAACCAAGCAGGUGCCGGUCAACGAGGACGGGUCUUCAGGAGCUACCUUCACCAUAGGAGCCGGCCUUGACCCGGGACAAGAAGAAGCCUUAAUGAGGUUCUUGCGCGCGAACAAGGAGAUAUUCGCGUGGGAGCCCAAUCAGCUAGUAGGGGUCCCGAGAGAGGUGAUCCAGCAUCAUCUAAGGGUAUGCCCCAACAUACGCCCCGUGAAGCAGCGAGCCAGACGGCAGUCCACUGAAAACCAGGCCUUCAUCGUCCAAGAGACACGCAAGCUGGAGGCGGCAGGCGCCAUUCGAGAAGUUCGGUAUCCCGAAUGGCUGGCAAACCCCGUCGUAGUGCCAAAGAAAGGCGGGAAGGAGCGGAUGUGCGUCGACUUCACCAACCUUAACAAAGCCUGCCCCCAAGAUCCGUUCCCGCUCCCGCGCAUCGACCAGAUUGUCGACUCCACUGCCGAGUGCGACUUGCUGUGCUUCCUGGAUGCAUUCUUAGGGUAUCAUCAGAUCAAGAUGGCGGUGGAAGAUGUGGAGAAGACAGCUUUCCUGACACCAUGUGGGGUGUACUGCUACACCUGCAUGCCCUUCGGGCUGCGCAACGCGGGCGCGACCUUCCAACGGUUGAUGCACAUCGCCCUGGGGCGACAGCUCGGGAGAAACACAGAGGCCUGCGUCGACGACAUAGUGGUAAAGUCUCGCGAGGCGAGGACAUUGAUUCAAGACUUGGAGGAAACCUUCGAGAGCCUGCGCCAGGUGAACUUGAGGCUUAACCAGAGAAGUGCGUGUUCGCCGUCCCCUUCGGCAAGCUGCUGGGAUUCCUCGUAUCCCACAGAGGGAUCGAGGCGGACCCAGAGAAGAUAAGGGCCAUCGAGGACAUGAGCCCGCCACAGACCCUCAAAGAGAUGCAUAAGCUAGCGGGGCGGGUGACCGCGUUAGGGCGUUUCAUCUCCAAACUGGGAGAGCGUGCCUUACCCUUCUUCAAGCUCAUGAAGAAGAAGGGCCCGUUCGAAUGGACCCCGGAGGCCGAUCAGGCCUUCCGAGACCUCAAGAAAUACCUUACCAGCCCCCCGGUGAUGGUGGCGCCACGGCCUCUCGAGCCCCUGGUGCUCUACCUUGCCGCCACCCUGUACUCCGCCAGCGCGGCGCUAGUGGCGGUUCAGGACGAGCGCCAAGCCAAGGGCGCGCCACGCCAAGCCAAGGGCGCGUCGCGCCAAGCCGGAGAUGGAGUGACGCAGGGUCAGGAAGGCGCAGCAAGGGCAUCAGCGGUGGAAGACCAAACUCAGCAGGGCAACAUCGCAGAAGCUCCUGAGGACAAUCAGGCCUCAGGAACCCCUCCACCUCAGGAUAUGUCCCGAUCUCCGCAGGGCACGAGCCUCGACAGUAUGCCAGCCCUCGUUGAACACCCGGUGUACUUCGUCAGCACCGUACUGCGGGACGCGAGGGCACGCUACCCCAUGCCCCAAAAGCUCCUGCUCACACUCUUGGUGGCAUCACGCAAGCUGCGACACUACUUCCAGGGUCACCCCAUCAAGGUUGUCUCAGCCUACCCAUUGGAGAGGGUGCUCAGGAGCCCUAACUCAGCCGGAAGGGUCGCUGAGUGGAACAUCGAGUUGCAAGCCUUCCAGUUGGAGUUCAGCACUACCAGGGUCAUCAAGGGGGCUGCGCUCGCUGACUUUGUGGCAGAAUGGACGGAUGCCCCGACACUUGAGGAAGGAGAAAACUGGUCCACCUCCCCAGGGAGUGAGGCUCCGGACGGCUGGGUCAUGUAUUUCGAUGGCGCCUUCACGCACCAGGGCGCGGGGGCUGGAGCAGUGCUCAUAUCGCCCACUCAGGACAAGCUCUACUACGUCGUACAACUCUGCUUUCAGCACGACGAGAAGGUCGCCAACAACAUCGCAGAAUAUGAAGGCCUCAUAGCUGGACUGAAGGCUGCGGCAGCUCUAGGGGUGAAGCGCCUUACCGUCAGAGGCGACUCGCAACUCCUCGUCAACUUCUCCAACAAGGUGUACGAGCCGAAGGACGAGCAUAUGGAAGCCUACCUCGCGGAGGUGCGCAAGAUGGAAAAACAGUUCUCGGGCCUUGAGCUGCAGCACGUGCCCCGGGCACCAACAAGGAAGCCGACGAUAUCGCCAGGAGAGCUUCCAAGCGGCAACCGCAAGAGCCCGGUGUCUUUGAGGAGCGGCUCUUCAAGCCAUCAGCUACGCCACCUCUUUCAAGCACGACUCAGCCUCGGGAGGAGCUCCCACCGCCUCCGGCCACGGGAGCCCCAGCCUGUGGCCCGACCUCAGGAGCUCGGCUGCUCUUGGCGCUCGAGCCCCAGGAGGAAUGCUGGACCAAUGAAUUCAAGGAGUACCUGACGCACAGGACGCUGCCGGAGAAGGAAGAGGACGCGGAGCGCGUGGCCCAGCAAGCCACGGCAUACUGUAUCCAAGACGGCGAGUUAUACAGGAAACGGCCGAACGAUGUCACGCUGCGCUGCAUCUCCAGUGAUCAAGGAAGGGAGUUGUUGAUUGACAUACACGGUGGGGACUGUGGGCACCACUCAUCGUCACGGACCCUCGUCGGCAAAGUGUUCUGCAGUGGAUUCUACUGGCCUACAGCACUCAACGACGCAGCCGAGCUGGUGAAGUCCUGCGAGCUUGCCAAUUCCACGCCAAGCAAAUCCAUCAGCCUGCUCAGGGCCUCCAAACCAUCCCGCUCACAUGGUCGUUCGCGGUCUGGGGGCUGGACAUCUUAGGCCCAUUUCCUCGGGCACCAGGGGGCUACCGCUAUCUCUACGUUGUCAUCGACAAGUUCACCAAGUGGGCGGAAGUGGAAGCCGUCCGUACCAUCCCAGCCGGCUCAGUUGUCAAGUUCAUCAAGGGCCUCGUGAGCCACUUCGGGGUCCCCAACCGCAUCAUCACAGAUAACGGCUCGCAGUUUACUAGUAACCUUUUCAAAACCUACUGUGCUAACCUUGGAAUGCAGAUCUGCUACGCUUCGGUAGCGCACCCCAGGAGCAAUGGCCAGGCCGAACGCGCCAACGCGGAGGUCCUGAGGGGCCUCAAGACCAGGACCUUCAAGAAGAAGCUGGAGGCCUGCAGCAGGGGCUGGCACGAUGAGCUCCAGUCCGUGUUGUGGUCCAUCCGCACCACCGCCACCGAGCCGACGGGCGAGACUCCAUUCGUCCUCGUCUAUGGGGCUGAAGCAGUCCUUCCUCACGAGGUCAAGCAUCGCUCCGCACGGGUCCUGGCGUUCGACGAAACGCAGUAGGACACCACGUGGGGGAUGGAUCUCAUGCUGGGGGAGGAACGUCGUCGCGAAGCUGCAUUGAGGGUGGCAAGGUACCAACAAGCGCUGCGGCGAUACCACUGCUGCAACAUUCGCUCCAGAACACUCGAGACGGGUGACCAAGUCCUGAGGUGGGUCCUCUCCAUGGAAGGGCUGCAUAAGCUUUCACCAAUGUGGGAGGGCCCGUUCAGGGUCGUCCACAUCUCCAGGCCUGGCGCCGUGCGCCUGGAGACACAAGACGGGGUACCUAUCCAAAACGCCUGGAACAUCUAGCACCUCUGGAAGUUCUACCCAUGAAGCAAGGCCCAGAGCCUAUGAAGAAAGGCCCAGAGCCUGUGAAGAAGGCCUGGUGCCUGUGAAGAAUCGCCGCCCGUGACACUCUCACGUAAUAAUGAGUUGGGGUUGUACACGCCCCGGAGUCUCAGGAGCGCUGGCCUCAGGCCCUGGGGCUCCCGCCCACGCCUAGUGGCAGCACUUAGCUCCGCGCUGGUGAGAAGACUUGAAGACUAGAUUAGGUGCCGGACGCGGCUUUUCAUUUGCUUUUCGUAGUUGGCUCGCUUUUCCUUAAUCGAAGUUGGCUUUUGGUGUUCCUUGCUGAUUUGAUUCCCUCGCUUCUCACCGCAUUUUCCGGCUCUGGUUUGCUCGUGUUCUCUCUCUCUCUCGCAUACCUCGCGAGGGGGCUAGGCAGGUGCCCUCGCGAGCAUUUUUCUCCUCUCUGCCUUCUCGCGAGCCACCCUCGUUCGAGCCUGAAAGCUGGCGCAUCUCUCCUAAUCCGUGCCCCUCGGGUACCGCGACACAAAGCACCAGGUCGAGGCUUGGGUGAACGGCAUAUCUCCUAGCAACUCCCUAAUGAAUUCCUUGCAGUUCGAGAGCAAUCGCAGGCCAUCAGGUUAAGGUGGGCACGAGGAAACAAACGCCUCGUAAGGAAGAGGGCGCCCCGAAUGCACCAGGUUAAAUUAUCUUUGCGCAAAAUAACAACACGGCACGGGAACGACACGCACAGCACGGUAACCAAGUAACCACAGUUCGAUACACGCCCCUCUGGGCCAUACUGGUUCCAUUUUUUAUGCAGGAAAAAGGGCAAAAACAAAAGCAGCGUUGCAGCGAUCCACGGAGGCAGGCCCCUAGUGGUACCCCGAGCCUAGCCGGAUCCUUCCUCGCACUUCACGGAGGCGCGUUGACGAGAUGACCCACUGCCGCCUUCACAGCGGACGCGGCGGCGCGGCGGCUGGUCGUAGCCGCCACUGCUGGAGCUGUCGCCGGAGGAAGAGCCGCCGUAGCUGGACGAGGCACGGUCGCCGCCGAGCGCAAGCUCGCCCUCACCCUCGUCGCGGCCGUCACCAAGACCGAGCACCUCCUCACCAUUGUUCGCCUCGGGGCAGCACCCGGCGCGGCGACCGUCUUCCCCAAACACCCUCACAUAGAGGGUCGAUUCACCAUCGUACUUGAAGUGGAGGGUACACCGCCUGCCUAGGCCGCGCGCGGGCGAACGUCUGCCAGCCGCGGGCCAGGGCUAUGUUGCCCGCGGUGGAAGUCUCGACCGCAACCCAAGAGGCCUUGCUACAGCAGCCAUCCGCCUGCAACCAGAGUCCGCCUGGACCAGAGGUCGGCAGCUCGCCGGCGAAGAAGCGCGGAAGUUGGAGCCAGUUGCCGGCUGGGUUCUCUGACUAGACGACAAAUUCCGGCGACACCUCCGUCGUGUGGAAGCGCGGACGGGGGGGCCGCGCCACCAUAGCACGCCUCCCCUCAUCAACUGGACCGCCAUGGCUAGGACGACCCCCUCCGCGCGUCUCGGUGCCGCUACGACAGUGGGCCACGACAGGGGUCGCAGCGUGCUUGCGUGGACGGCCGUGUCCGCGCUUGGGCGUCGGGGAGCCGGGCCCCUCGUGAGGGGCCUUUCCCUUCUCGGCGACAGAGAACUUCCUUCGUGGCGCCAUCGGUGGCACUGCAAGCAAUGGAGCAAGGAGGAAGAAGCAAGCAAGCGAGGAAAGAGAUGGGCGAUGGGGGCUCCGCCCCCCUCCCCAUUUAUAAUGGAAGAAGGCCAACCGGUGCCUCCCACGAUCGCAGGUAAUGAUGGUUUUCCUUGCAUGUCGCAGGGACUUGUCAAGUCGUGCAGUUGCCGAGGCAGCGUGGGGAAGCGGAGACGCCCACGUCCAAUCAACCGCCACGCGUCAACCGAGGCCGCAGGCUUUUGGGGCCCGCGGUGCUCCAUACUUGAACCUUGGCUUCGCCGCGAAGCCAAGCCCGAGCGCACCUUGGGCUCGGGGGCUACUGUCGGCGUUCUGGGAGCGGGGGUCCCCAGACUUGCCUGCCUGCGGCCCGCGGCGUGGCUAAGCCAGCAGGCCGUACGGCCCAUCUUCAUCAACAAGGCAUCCAAGACCCUCGCGAGGGUCCAAGCCUCGCGAGGCGGAUGACGCAAGAUCUCCUCAGGAGUGGCCUAGCCAGGCAGGCUCACGAGGAGCGGAGAUAUCAAGGCAGGGCAAACCUCACGAGGCUCUCGUGACGUGAGUCGUGACGAUCGGCGCCAGGCAGGCGCCAGGCGGGUGCCAGCGCGCACAGCGUCCUUGUUUCCUCUUUGGUGCUAAGGAGGCCAGCCCAGGCGAGGAGUACCGAGGCAUCACGCAAAGGUUGCUAUAUCGGUGCAACGAGACCAAGACCAGGAGGACGGCAAGACGGAGGUUAUCGUGGAGCCCAAGACGGCGUCACCACCAGAGCCUUUCGCAGGCGAAGACCACUUUUGUCAGGAUAGCUUGUACUAGCUGUCCCCCUUCAAAUUUGCCCGCUGUUGUUGGCUCCCUUCCCGCUCAAUAUUUGGGAAGAGGACCAGGGCCUAUAUAAGUAGAGCUAGCCACCAGAGUAGGGGCAUCGAGCAGUUCACCCAGCUCUCACCCACCAAGAAACCAAGCACAAGAACACCUCAACCUCAGGAGGCUGUUCUUCCCUCUGUACUAUUCAUCACCAGCCCAAGAGGCAAUCCACCACCACCACACUAGAGUAGGGUAUUACACCACAACGGUGGCCCGAACCAGUAUAAAUCUCGUGUCUUUCUGUGUUGCGAGCUCGUCGAGUUCGUCCACGAGAUCUUAGCGAGCCAGGGCGUAGAUCGGUAGGAGGGAAAGACUUCGCGUGCACCCCAGUGUUCGAACCUCAAGGGUUUGCCGGAACCCCACAUCUAACAAAGAUGGUUAAGUUUCCUAGCCAUAGACAUGAGUUGUCAUUUGAUUAACGGUAUUACAUCAUUAGAGAAUGAUGUGAUUGACUUGACACAUUCCGUUAGCUUAGCACUUGACCGUUUAGUAUGUUGCAAUUGGUUUCUUCAUGACUUAUACAUGUUCCUAUGACUAUGAGAUUAUGCAACUCCCAAAUACCGGAGGAACACUUUAUGUGCUACCAAACGUCACAACGUAAUUGGGUGAUUGUAAAGGUGCUAUACAGGUGUCUCUAAUGGUGUUUGUUGAGUUGGCAUAGAUCUAGAUUAGGAUUUGUCACUCCGACUGUCAGAGAGGUAUCUCUGAGCCCUCUCGGUAAUGCACAUCACUAUAAGCCUUGCAAGCAAUGUGAUUAAUGAGUUAGUUGCGGCAUGAUGCAUUACGGAACGAGUAAAGAGACUGGCUGGUAACGAGAUUGAACUAGGUAUUGAGAUACCGACGAUCGAAUCUAGGGCAAGUAACAUACCAAUGAUAAAGGGAAUAAUGUAUGUUGUUAUGUGGUUUGACCGAUAAAGAUCUUCGUAGAAUAUGUAGGAACCAAUAUGAGCAUUCAGGUUCCGCUAUUGGUUAUUGACCGGAGAUGAGUCUCGGUCAUGUUGUCGGGGUUGGGUGCGACAUAUGCCAAAGGAUGGCUUAUCAUGGUGGGAGCGAGUAGAACAUCGCCGGUGCCUGGAAGCAGGAUGAGGCGUAUACACGAACACCGGCGUACUUUACCCAGGUUCGGGGCUCUCCUAGGAGAUAACACCCCUAGUCCUGCUCUGCGGUGUCUCCGCAUGAUCACUAAGGCGCUAGUGGAUACAGUGGUGCUCCUCGAGAUGUAUGCUAGAGGUAGAAGAAGGCAGGCUAGCUCUCUCCUUCCUCUAGGUAUGAGUCUAGGUCUAACAGGUUGGGAACCCUUUGCAUGGGUGCCCUGGGGGGUUUAUAUAGGCCUACCCCCCAGGGGUACAAUAGUAAUCUGGCCGGGUGUAGGACCCGGCCGUCAGUGUCUCUGGUCGCCGGCUUCUCCACCGGCUGCUGGGGCCCGCCGCCUGGUGGGCCCCGUCGACUGGUCUGGUACGGAGCCGACAGGCCGCUCCCGCCGAUCGCGGGUCUUGCCGGUUCCUGGUUACUAUAGAUGUAAUGCUAAUGACGCAUACUUGGUCAGGGGAGCGUGGCUACAGUCCCGCCGCCUGGUGGGAUAUCACUGUAGCCACACCGCGUCUCAUGUGGUUAAUGGAGCACGGACCCCGAGGGAGGAGAGGGCCGCCUGCUAGAGGCCGGCCUCCCUCAGGUCCGACUAGUCAGGCUUCCGCCGUCUUCCGGGCUCUCGCUACCCGGUAGGGCCCGCCGCCUGCAGGCCGUACUGAUAGGCCGUCGUGGGAACAGGGCUCCGCUUGUCAGGAGUGACGUCAAGGGUGGAGUGGUAACAGUGCCGCGUCGUGCGGAGAUCUCCGCCUGUACGGGGCACUGUGGCCGCGCCUUGCCCUGGAUAUGGGGGAGAUGGGCCACACUGUAGCCACAUCCUGUCUUGUCUUCUUAAUAGGGGCGCAGACUCUGAGGGCACCGUGGGCCGCCUGCUAGGAGCCGUCCUUUCUGGAGGCCGCCUGCUAGGAGUCGGCCUGUCUUGGUGCCGCCUCCUGGAACCCGGCUGUCUUCUGGCAGCCGGCCGCUCAAGCCAGCUGGCCACCAGAAGGCGGUGCUUCAUUUUGGAUGUUCGUGGGGCGCAGCCGGCCCACCGGCUGAGCCUCGGGCCAACUGGGGCUACAAGCCGAAGCUCGUGUCAGCAGACGCCGCCGCCGCCAUCAACCGACUCCGGGUGCUGACCGAUGUCGAAGGCCUCAAGGCGUCCGACUUGCUGGUCUCCUUCGUCGCGCGCCGGGUUCUCCCGCUCCAAGGCCGGCCUCACUUGAUCGGCCGGAUGAGCGGGCAUCGCGACCCGUGCCGGUUGAGUACCAAGGAGAUGCCGACUUCUGAGGUGGCGAACUUGGUGAACGAGAUCUCCGGCCUCAAGCUGGAGGGGUCCUGGCGGUACGGCAAGCAGCCGUACUCCCGCGCGGACCCGCCGCCUGCCGUAAGCUCUUCGAUCUUUUCCCUCUUCAGUACUUCAUCUUGAUUCUGUCUUGCUGUAUCGAACAGUCGGCCUCAUACUUUUUGAAACAGAUCUAUAUGUCUGAGGCGACGGCCGCCAUCGUGGGGGCGGGUGGUCCCUACGAACCGGACCGGGCUGUGAGCGACGUGGACGACCCCGACUUGGGGCGGCCGCUUUCGAAGAUGACGCCACAGGCGGCGUCUACGGAGCGGGCGGCUCCGAAGAAGGGGGCGGCAUCGAGAUGUGGCCGGACGACUUCGAGGAGGAGGAGGAGCCGCGCCACACGUGGGGGGCCGAUAAGGCGGUUGCGGGCUCCUCCGCCGCGCCGACUGCGCAAGCCGGCACGCGCAAUCGCAAACAAGGGGCCGCCUUGUUUGGCAGCAUGCCGAAGAAGGCCAAGAACCCCACCCUUGCGACCAAGCGGAAGGAGGCCGCCGCGAAGACGGCCAAAUUCCAGAAGCUUCCAAAGGCGCCUCCUAUGGUGUCGGCGUAAGUAUCUUUUUCUUGUUCUUUCCUUCUUUGUUGAUUCUAUCUGAGCUUCCUCUCUUCGUCUCCUUGACUUAGGGGUCCCCUCUCACUUGAGAAGUCGGCCGCCGCCUCCGUCAUUGGGUCGGCGGAGACCUCCUCCGCCACCCGGCGGAUCGACCCUGCAGCCGACCUUCGGGAGGCGCAGGAACAAAACGCGCAGGAGGCGCGCGAGGAGCAGGAAGCCGCCCGUCUGGAGAAGGCGGAGGCAGACAAGGCAGAGGCCGCCGCGCUGAAGAAGCUGGCGGAGGCCGAGGCUGAUGCCGCAGCGAAGAAGCGGCUUGAAGAAGCCGCGCGCCGCCGGGAGCCAUUAUUCGUCGUUCCUUUGAACUCUGCUCUGCCUCCACCAGAGUUCACGGUGUCGACUUGGGGAGCCGGCGAUGAGCACCCGAUCAUGAAGAGGGAGAGGGGCGCGAGACAAUUAGCCGCUCGUGCCGCCGGCACCACCAGCCGAAAACAAGGUGGUGACGGGCCCGACUCCUGGGGCCCUCACACCAACGCGCCGUCGUCUUGCGAAGGCGGCCUCAGCGCCACGACCGCUGGAAGCCAGCGUCGCGAGCUCAUCAAUCCCAGACGCCGAAGUGACCAGCACCGCGCCCGCUGAAUGGGUGCGUGGAGGCGGGACGGGAGCCUUAAACAAGGCGAUCCUAGACGUCCAGGCCAGGCUCCGGGCUGGUCCGACGCUCUCAAGCAUUGCAACAAGGCAUUCUUGGAUUCACGAGCGGCCAUCCGGGUAUGUUUCUUACUUCUUCGUCUUUGGCUCUAGUAUUUCUCUGUGGGGGCGCACCAGCGCACCCACUGGGUGUAGUCCCCGAGUUUCGGGCUGGCUGCUGAGCAGGCGGCUCGGAAAUUUAAUUGGCAAGCUCCGAGUACUAACGUUGUCUGAUAUCUUCACUGUAGGAUUAUCAUAACCUUCGCGCGGCCACCUUCAACUCCAACGUCCGUGAGCUGGACCAGUGGACCGCCGACUUGUCAGAAAGCCGGAGUAAGUCUUCGUCUUCUUUUCUCCGCGGGGGCGCGCUGGCGCACCCGCGGGUUGUAGUCCCCGAGAUUCAGGCCGACUGCUGAGCAGUCGGGCCGGAUCUCCCCGGCGACUGUACUUCUUCUCUGUUGGUUGCUGACGUCUUUUUUCUUUCUCUGUUCUUGCAGAGGCCAACGCUACUUUGCAGCAGCAGCUGGGCGAAGCCAACACCGCGUUACGCGCCAAGGAGGCAGAGCGCAAUGAGCUGGCCUAGGAGCGUGACCGGCUGGCCAAGCAGCUGACGGAGCAGGCGGAGCUUCUCCAGAAGGCCCGGAAGGAGGCAGAGGUGAAAGAGUCCAGUCUCCUUGCUGAGUUCGAGACCGAACGCUCCGCCUGGACCGACAAGGAGGCAUUGCUGACUGCCGGCUUCAGCAAGAUUGAAGAUAUGGUUGACGGUAAGCUUUCUUCUUUUUCCUUUCUUUGAUCUGCCAGCUGUUUGAUCAGGCCGGCUUCUAGCUUCUGACUUCUGGUUUCUUUGCUUUUUUGCCUGGGCAGACUUCUUCCCUGGUACUCUGGCGCUGCCAACCAGGCCAUUGAGGCUUAUCGUGAGGAGCGGAGAGCCGAAGGUGCGCAGAUCGCCGCCAACGCCCCCGGAGUCUUAGUGAACAGCUUCUCAGCAUCCAGACCCGCCUUCGGCCGGCCCAUCGGAUGUUGCGCCAUCUUCAACGCGUCAGGGCCCAAGCGAUCUCCGCCCUGUGGCCAGACAUGCCGGCUCCGCGCACUCCCAGUCGGACUGCCGACUGGCUGGAGGUGGCGGCCGGCCGUCUUGAGGCUUGGAAGGGUUCCUCGGCCCGGGCUGGAGCAUGCCGGGCCUUGGAGUUCAUCAAGGCGUGGUACCUUGGGCUAAACCUAGCCCAGUUGGCCACGUUCCGGCAGGAGGCCCAGGAGGAGCUGGUGGUGGUGGAGCAGGAUCUUGUCAAGCGUGCCGCGAUGAUCGCCGAGUACACCAACACCAGCAUCUUCGUUCCCGAUCUGGCCGAGAACGGUGCCGAAGCGCCACCGGAGUGGUUCCGGCUGGACCCGGAGGACGACGAGGACUCGGCCGAAGUGAUUGACUCCAGCGACGAGGGAGAAGGCGAGGAGGACGAGGAAGGUGAAGAGGAAGCGCCAGAGGUUGAAGCGGACGGCCAGCCUCAGCUCGACCGCACCUCUAACAAUGAGCCACACACGAGCGAGCCGACUGCUGCUGAAGGCGACCAAGUGGAGACUGACCAGCCGGCCGCUCCACCAACCGGCGCCACCGACUCCACCGUCCCGCCGAACCCGUCUGCUGCUUCCUAGGCUACCAAUUUAUCUUUUGUUUUACCUGCUUAUCAGUCUUGACAAACUUUGUUAACUUCGCGCAAUUCCACCCGUGGGGUGUAUUUCAACUUCUGUUGAGUGCUGGCCAAGGGCCUUUUGAUAUGUAAAUAUUUUAUUCGAGUUCUAUCUUUCCUUGCUUUCUGCUCCUUGGCUUUUUUCCUUUGCCGCCCUCCCUGGGCUGCCGUCUUGCCAGUCAAACAGCCGCUCUGCGGACUGCGGCUGGGUCAAGUACUUGGCUGCUUUGGGAGGGUAAGUAUUUAGCCGAUUAGAGCAUUUAGCAAAUUAAGUAGAAGCCGGCCGGCCGGCUGCUCAGCAGCCGGUCGAUGAGGCGGGAAGCCGGCUUGAACUAUGUACAUGAUUUUGGGUCCUUAGCCAUUUUUCAUGUGGCGUCCCUUUCUGCCUUUGACUCCUACCUACCGGACAGCCGCUCUGCGAGCUGUGGAUUUGGUAGGAGAGGGCUUAGGUGCCAACACAUUACUUGUCCGGCUGCAGGAAGCACCACAUAGUACAAGGCGGCGAGCCUCCGGGCCGACUGGUCGAACCCGGUGCCAGGCGGAAUAAUGAACCCAGUGCCAUCGCUGGAUCAGCAGGAGCACAAGGUCUCCCUCUUGGAAGGAUCUUGGCUUGACCUUUCGGUUGUAGUACUGGCAUAGACUCUGCUGGUAGAUGGUGGACCGGCUGAGUGCCAACAACCGGCCUUCUUCCAGCAGAUCGACGCCGUCUUCUCGUGCUUCUUUUGCCUCCUCUUUGGUGUACAUGGUGACUCGAGGGGAGUCGAAUACUAUGUCAAUCGGGAUGACGGCUUCGGCACCCUAGACGAGGAAGAAAGGCGUGAAGCUGGUUGACUUGUUCGGAGUUGUGCGCAAGCUCCAGAGGACGGCCGGCAGCUCAUCGAGCCAACAGUCGGCCGAAUGCUCCAGAGGCUCGACCAGUCGGGGCUUGAUGCCGGACAAAAUGAGGCCGUUUGCUCGCUCCACUUGGUCAUUUGACUGUGGAUGGGCAACGGACGCUAAGUCCAGUCAGAUGCCCUGCGUCUCGCAGAAACGAGCCAAGGCGCCUUUGGCAAAGUUUGUGCCGUUGUCGGUGAUGAUGCUGUGUGGUAUGCCAUACCGGAUGGUGAUGUCGGAGAUGAAAGUCACAGCAGUCGGACCAUUCAACUUCUUAAUUGGUUUUGCCUCUAUCCACUUGGUGAACUUGUCCACCGCGACAAGCAGAUGAGUCAUGCCGCCGCGUGCUCUCUUGAAUGGUCCCACCAUGUCCAGCUCCCAGACGGCAAAAGGCCAGGCGAUGGGGAUAGUCUUGAGUGCAGAAGCCGGCAAAUGUGGCUUGGAGCGGAACUUCUGGCACCAUUUACACUUCUGGACCAAGUCUUUGGCAUCUUCUAGAGCAGUCGGCCAGAAAAAACCAUGGCGGAAAGCUUUGGCAACGAGUGAUCUUGAAGCCGCGUGGUGACCACACUCGCCUUGGUGGAUAUCUUUGAGGAUUGCUUGGCCUUGCUCCGGCUCCAUGCAGCACUGGUACACACCAGUGACACUGCGCCUCACAAGUUCUCUGUUGACAAUGGUGUAUGAUGCCGCCCGAUGUUGCACUUGUCGGGCCAAGAUCUCAUCAGUCAGCAGCUCUUUGUUCACCAGAAAGUUAAGGAUGUGCUACGCCCAUGAAGGUGCUGCUAUUUCUUCGACUGCCAGAACUGCAACUUGCACGAGGGCGGUUGGGCUGGGAGGCGGCGGGUUGGAGUUGACUGCCGCUUGUUGUGCCGAUGAAGUCCCUGGGCCGACUGCUGCAGUCCCCGGGCCGAGUUCUGAAGUCCCUGGGUUGGGUGCGACUGCUAUGGCCCCCGAGCCGCCUGCCGAAGUCCCCGUGCCGGCUGCUGGUGUUCUUAAGCCGGAUCCGACUGCUUCGGGAGGAGCCGGCACGAAGAUGGAGUCUGAUUCUGGUGACGGCUUGACAGACGGCUUAAGGAGGCAUUGCAGGGUGACACCGGCUGGUAUUGAUUGCCGGGUGGAGCCGAUCCGUGCCAAGGCAUCCGCUUGCUCAUUGUCAUUUCUUGGCACAUGGAGGAACUCGCACCCUUCGAAGUAUCCACUGAGUUGCUGGACGAGGAAGCGGUAGCUUGCCAUGUUUGCAUCUUUGGCGUCCCAGUCGCCUGACGACUGCUGGACCACCAAGUCGGAGUCUCCAUAGCACAAGAUCCGGCGAAUGCCGAGUUCCUUGGCAAGCCGGAGCCCGUGUAUGAGUGCCUCAUAUUCAGCUACAUUGUUGGAGGCGGCAAAAUGGACUUGCAACACAUAUCUGAGCUUGCCGCCUUUGGGAGAGGUUAGGAUGAUGCCGGCUCCCAGACCGGUGCGCAUCUUGGAACCAUCAAAGUGCAUCCGCCAAUGGGUGGAGUCUGGUGCUGGUGGCAGGUACUGGGUCUCGGCCCAGUCGAUGAGGAAGUUGGCCAGUGCUUGGGACUUGAUGGCGGUGCGAGUCUGGUAGUAGAUGGUGUAGGGGGGCCAAAUCUAUGGCCCAUUUGGCCACUUGGCCCGAAGCAUCUCGGCUUCCAAUGAUCUCGGCGAGUGAAGCAGUGCAGACAACAAUGAUUGGGUGCUCUUGAAAGUAUGACUUUAGCUUCUUGGCAGCGAAAUGCACGCCGUAGCACAUCUUCUGGUAGUGGGGGUAGUUUUGCUUGGAGGCGGACAACACUUCACUCGGGUAAUACACCGGCCUCUGGACUAGUAGUGCCUUGCCGUCUUCCUUGCGCUCCACAACUAUGACUGUGCUGACAACCCGGCUGGUGGCGGCGAUGUAAAGAAGCAUGGGCUCUUUAGCAGCUGGAGCCGCCAGGACAGGCGGAGUGGUCAACAUCUUUUUGAGCUGGAGAAAAGCUUCGUCCGCCUUGUCGUUCCACUCGAAAAAAGUGGUCUUCUUCAUAAGCUAGUAUAGGGGAAGAGCCUUCUCGCCCAGUCGACUGAUGAAACGGCUGAUGGAUGCCAAGCAGCCGGUGAAUUUUUGCACGUCCAGCAGUCGGGUGGGUACCUCCAUCCUCUCGAUGGCCUUGAUCUUUACAGGGUUGCACUCUAUGCCGCGCUCUGAGACCAGGAAGCCAAGAAGCUGGCCGACUGGUACUCCAAAGACACAUUUCUCCGGGUUGAGCUUGAUCUGAAAGCGGCGCAGAUUUUCAAAGGUCUCUUCGAGGUCUUCUAGCAGCGUGCCACGCUUCUCCGUCUUCACCACAACAUCGUCCACAUAGACGUGGGCGUUUCUGCCGAGUUGCUUGAGGAGACACUUCUGCAUGCAACGCUGAAACGUGGCGCCGGCGUUUCUCAAGCCGAACGUCAUGGUCAGGUAGCAGAAGGCUCCGAGUGGCGUGAUGAAGGCGGUCUUCAGCCUGCCGACCGGGUUAAGCUUGAUCUGAUGAUACCCUGAGUAUGCAUCCAAAAAUCUCAACAGCUCGCAUCCGGCUGUAGAGUCUAUCACUUGGUCGAUUCUUGGCAAAGCAAAUGGGUCUUUGGGGCAAGCUUUGUUGAGGCUGGUAUAAUCAAUACACAUGCGCCACUGUUUAUUCUUCUUCAGUACAAGGACUGGGUUGGCUAACCAUUCUAAGAUGAAUACUUCCAUGAUGAAGCCGGCUGCUAGAAGCCGGGCUAUCUCUUCUCCAACGACUCUUCUCUUCUCUUCUGACAGGCGGCACAAGGGCUGCCUGACCGGCUUGACGUCAGGUCGGACAUGUAGCUUGUGCUCGGCGAAAUCCGUCGGAACACCCGGCAUGUCCUUGGGAGACCAUGCGAAGAUGUCCUGAUUCUCACGGAGAAAAUCGACGAACUCGCUUUCCUAUUUGCUGUCAAGGUUUGCACCUAUGACAACGUGCCUCUCCGGGUGCUCCGGGUCCAAGGGUAUCUAUUUUGUUUCUUUGGCCGGCUUGAACGAGCCCUCAGCUUCCGACUCCUUGGGGUUGGGUGACAUUUCCGGCUGCUUGCCUGCCAUUGCCACAACCCGGUCAAGGAGCCGCUUCUCAGCCGCGAUCACGAGGGACUCGGCUAGCUGGCUGUUGUCUGCUGCACAGGCGGACGACUUCUUGUAGUCCCCUGUUAUGGUCAGGAUUCCCUUGGAGCUCGGCAUCUUCAUCUUGAGGUAAGCGUAGUGGGGGACCGCCAUGAACUUGACCAGAGCAGGCCGGCCAAGGAGUGCAUGAUAAGGGCUCUCAAGGUCCACCACCUCAAACCAGACUAGCUCUCGGCGGAAGUGAUCUUUGUCUCCGAAGAGGACAUCAAUCUGGGUCUUGCCGAUUGGUGAGCAGGAAAGGCCAGGAACUAUGCCAUGGAAUACAGUCCGACUGGGCUGAAGCUGCCUCUGUCUGAUUCCCAACUUCUCCAUUGUAUCUCGGUACAGGAUGUUGAUGCUGCUGCCGCCAUCUAUCGGAACUCGAGAGAAGCGAGCAGCCCACCUCUCUGUUGUGAAGGUGGCAUCCAGGACCAGGGCAUAAGAACCAAGAGAGGGCAUCACCUCCGGGUGGUCGGCCUGCUCCAACUGAUAGGCUUCUCAGACCAGUGCAUGAACUCGGGGGUCUCUGAUGCUACUGCAUUUACUUCUUAUUGCCGUUGCCGUCUAUUGUGCUUAUCGUCGGCCACGCUGGUGAACACGACAUAAGCUCCAUACUCUUCAGGAUAUUCAUCUUGUAUUGCGCCGACUGGCCGAACCGCCGGCUGCUGGGGAGGAGGAGGUGAUGGACCGGCAGGCGGAGGAGGCUGGAGUCCGUCUCCCUUGGCGAUCCUGGUGAGCCAGUGACAUUUCCGGGUGGUGUGGUUGGACGGCUUCGCGCCGCUGUGGAACUUGCAGGGUGCAUCGAGAGUCUGCUCGUAUGAGAAGGCGGGCAGCCAGUUGGGCUUGCCGCCCUUCUAACGCUUGGGAGGAGGUUGCCCUUCCGGCUGCUGAUCUUCAAUCGUCGCCACCUGCCGGCUCGUGGAAGCCGGCUGCGUGGCCUUGCGCUUAUUGUCAUUUUGUUGUUGACGCCGACUGGUGUCACCAGCCGGGGUCCGAGGAGCUUGAGGAGCCACUUUGCCAGAUGCAUCAACUUGAAUCUCCGUCUUCAUGGAGGAGUCGGCCGUGGCGUAUUUGUCUGCUAUGAUCAGCAGCUCAUCGAGGGUCGCUGGCUCGUCGCAGAGAAGCCGAUGGUUGAGGAGGGUGCCUUCUCGGCACCCGGCAGUGAAGUACUCGAUGGCCUGCACCUCGUGCACGCCCUCGCAAGAGUUGCGCAACUCGGCCCAGCGCGUGAGGUAGUCAUGAGUCGACUCGUUGGGGCCCUGGACGCACAAGGAGAGCUGGCGAGGCUUGGGCGGCCGCUUUUACGUGCUGGUGAAGUUGCGGAUGAAAACUUCAGUGAAAUCGACCCAGCUGUUGAUGCUGCGGGGCUUCAGGCUGUUCAGCCAUGUCCGGGCCAUGCCCUGGAGCAUGAGUGGAACGUACUCGCUUGUUGCCGUUUGCUAUGCUGACGGCCAUGGAGUAGUCGACCAGCUAGUCCUCCGGUUUCACGGAGCCGGUGUACUUGGGUGUAUCUCUUGGGAGAGUGAACACUUUGGGGAAGGGCUCAUCUCGGAUGCGGGGGCCAAAGCAGGGCGGACCCAAUGCGUCUUCUUCUUCUAGUGCCAGGGACCGGUUGAGGCGGUCGAUUCGGUGGCGAACAUCAUUCUCUCCGACUCCUUCUCGGCGGCCAAGGCGAUCGCCGAGUGUCGGUUGAUCAACAGGCGGAGGAGAAGCACGCCUCUCCCUGCGGGAAGGAGGGGGGGCGGACAGUCGUCUCGUCGUUGCACUGCUCUUGGGCGGCCGUCUUGGUCGCGCUCGAUGGUAAUGCGAGUCCGGCGGCGGCUGGCAGUCGGCUCCCUGACUCUUCUAUCGCGGACGCCACCAGUCGGCGUCCGAGAUGUCGCUCCUUGCUCUCGGCGAGGAGGCGGGUCGUCGUUUCACCGGUUGGGCGCCUCAGUGCGGCAGCUGGCUUCGUGCUGCUCGGCAGCCGCGUCAAGGAGCUGCUGGACGCGCUCCGUCAUGUGGCGACGCUCGUCGCCCUCGAGCUUGUCUAGCUCGUAUGCGGCCACCUGGGCCGCUCGUAUGUUCUCCGCGGGCGUGGCGUGGACGGGGCGAUCUGCCCCGAACAUGCUGGCAAUGGCCGCGCCGCGCUGCUGGAUCGUGCCAAUGCGGCUAGGCCCACCAGGAGUCGGCGUGCCGCCAACGGCGCGGUUUAUCUCGCGCUGGUAGGCCUCCGAAAGGCGUCUCAUGCUGGCCAGCCGGUUGGCGCUUUCGACGAGCUGGAUGCGGCGCGCCUCCAGCGUCUCGGCGUCGGCGUCUUCGGGUAUGGGCGCGGUCAGGUUUUGCAACGCUGCCUACAGUGGAUCCUGGCCACCUCCGCCAGAGUGCUCACCGUGGCUGAUGACGAGCACCUCCGUGACGGUGUUGCCACCGCUGUCCGCGCGAGGAAGCGGUUCGUCGUAGACCACCACGUUGGUGGGGAACGCGUCAAGCGACGCCGUGUCGGAGUCGACAAGCAUCAGGUCGGUGGAGCUAACCGACUCCAAGUCCGCAGCAGGCUCGCUGGCGACGUGGAGCUGACCGAGGAGGCUGGCGAGGCGGCUCUCGGGGCCUUCUGUGCGCACGUCUGAUACGGGCUCGUCGGAGAGGCGAAUCUCGCCAACAAGAUCGGCGAGGCAGCUCGCCGCACAGACGACAUCCGCGUCGUGCAGCGCAUCGACGCAGACGCCGUCUGGCGAGCCGGGCUGGCUGCGCUCGUCAGGAAGGAACAAGGUUCCCGUCCAGAACAGGUCUCCGGACGACGGUGGACCUCGCCCCACGUUGGGCGCCAAAUGUCGGGGGUUGGGUGUGACAUAUGCCAAAGGAUGACUUAUCAUGGUGGGAGCGAGUAGAACGUCGCCGGUGCCCGGAAGCGGGAUGAGGCGUAGACACGAACGUCGGCGUACUUUACCCAGGUUCGGAGCUCUCCUAGGAGAUAAGACCCCUAGUCCUGAUCUGCGGGGUCUCCGCAUGAUCAAUAAGGCACUAGUGGAUACAAUGGUGCUCCUCGAGCUGUAUGCUAGAGGUAGAAGAAGCCAGGCUAGCUCUCUCCUUCCUCUAGGUAUGAGUCUAGGUCUAACAGGUUGGGAACCCUUUGCAUGGGUACCCUGGGGGGUUUUAUAUAGGCCUACCCCCCAGGGGUACAAUAGUAAUCUGGCCGGGUGUAGGACUCGGCCGUCAGUGUCUCUGGUCGCCGGCUUCUCCGCUGGCUGCUGGAGCCCACCGCCUGGUGGGCCCCGUCGACUGGUCUGGUACGGAGCCGACAGGCCGCUCCCGCCGCUCACGGGUCUUGUCGGCUGUUGGUUACUGUAGCCGUAAUGCUAAUGACGCGUACUUGGUCAGGGGAGCGUGGCUACAAUCCCGCCGCCUGGUGGGAUAUCACUGUAGCCACACCGCGUCUCAUCUGGUUAAUGGCGCACGGACCCCGAGGGAGGAGGGGGCCGCCUGCUAGAGGCCGGCCUCCCUCGGGUCCGACUGGUCAGGCUUCCGCCGUCUUCCGGGCUCUCGCUGCCCGGUAGGGCCCGCCGCCUUUGGGCCGUACCGACAGGCCGUCGUGGGAACAGGGAUCCGCUUGUCAGGAUUGACGUCACGGUUGGAGUGGUAAUAGUGCCGCGUCGUGCGGAGAUCUCCGCCUGUACGGGGCACUGUGGCCGCGCCUUGCCCUGGAUAUGGGGGAGAUGGGCCACACUGUAGCCACAUCCUGUCUUGUCUUCUUAAUGGGGGCACAGACUCUGAGGGCACCGUGGGCCGCCUGCUAGGAGCCGGCCUCUCUGGAGGCCGUCUGCUAGGAAUCGGCUUGUUUUGGUGCCGCCUCCUGGAACCCGGCCGUCUUCUGGCAGCCGGCCGCUCGAGCCAGCCGGCCACCAGAAGGCGGCGCUUCGUUCUGGAUGUUCGUGGGGCGCAGCCGGCCUAUUGUCUUGAAAGGCUCAGGGACUCGGGUUAGGCUACCCGUGGCCCAUUACUCCGACACAUGUCUACAUAGUUCUCGAACCCGUAGGGUCCGCACGCUUAACGUUCUGUGAUGAUCGGUAUUAUGAGUUUAUGUGUUUUGAUGUACCGAAGGUUGUUCGGAGUCCCGGAUGUGAUCACGGACAUGACGAGGAGUCUCGAAAUGGUCGAGACAUAAAGAUCGAUAUAUUGGAUGCCUAUGUUUGGACAUCGGAAUGUUUCCGGGUGAGUUCGGGCAUUUACUGGAGUACCGGGAGGUUACCGGAAACCCCGGGGAGUGUAUGGGCCUUAUUGGGCCUUAGUGGAAGAGAGGAGGAGACGGCCUAGGAGCCCCCCCCCCCCAAGCCCAAUCCGAAUUGGGAGGGGGGCCGGCACCCCUUUCCUUCCUCCCUCUCCUACUCCUACUUGGAAGGGGGGGAUCCUACUCCCAGUGGGAGUAGGACUCCCCUAGGGCGCGCCAUAGAGAGGGCCGGCCCUCCCCCUCCUCCACUCCUUUAUAUACCGGGGAGGAGGCACCCCAUAGACACACAAGUUGAUCAUUGUCUUAGCCGUGUGCAGUGCCCUCCUCCACCAUAAUUCACCUCGGUCAUAUCGUCGUAGUGCUUAGGCGAAGCUCUGCACCGGUAGCUUCAUCAUCAUCAUCGUCAUCACGCCUUCGUGCUGACGAAGAUGUCCCUCGACACUCAGCUGGAUCGAGAGUUCGUGGGACGUCACCGAACUGAACGUGUACAGAUCACAGAGCUGUCGUACUUUCGGUACUAGAAUCGGUCGGAUCGUAAAGACGUACACCUACAUCAAGUUUUUGAAAAUAGGUCGUACGCAUUAAGAUCUUUUUUUAAACAUAAGUUUUUUUUGAGACAUUUAAACAUAAGUACACAUUAAGGGUAAAAAUACUGGAAAUAAAGGAGCAAGUUGACUAGAGUAAUCGAACUCGUCACCUCGUCCUCCACACUACACAGUCUGCCACUCCACCAUGCUGCCCACUGUUGUUUAAAAUAGCACAAACUAUAUAAGAACACACUAGGCCGGUGCUCAAAACCAAUCCAUCGGCCCAUCAAUCUCUCACAAAAAAGUUCGUUUUAUUCGCACUCGAUCUAGCGAUCUCUCGAAUAACAAAGCUUGUAAAAUAAUAUGGGCGACCAGCUAGACACUAGAAGUUUUUUAUGGUUAUAUGAAGGGAAAUAGUCUUUAUGACUUCAACUUUCUAUAAGUAUAUAAAUAAUCAAUUGUAUGACUUCAAUUUUCUAAAAUGCCAAAACGCCUCAUUCACUAGGCAUGUGAGGAAACACCUUUGAUUUUUUUGGUGUUUCAUCAAAAUGCCUAAAAAAUUAUAUUAAGGCUACUAAAAAGAACACCUCAAAAUACUUUUUAUGCAUGCAACCUGCCGUAGACGAAAACUUGAUGUAGUCGGACGUUUUUCUCUAACAAGAUAGGGCCAUCUUAGAUUUUGACACAGGGACCUCAAUUUCGAUGGACUGGCCCUGGACCCUGGCUCCAAGGAGGAAAAACGUUCAUUGAUUAAAUUCACAAGUUUAACAAAAAAGUUCGCAGAACUGAAAAAGGUUCAUCGAUUUGAAAACAAGUUCAUGAAUUUGAAAAAAAACAUAAAUUGAAUACAUUAUUCAUAGGAGGCCGCCCGACUGGCCGAUUCACUGUCGUGCGCGAAAAUGAAAAAAAAAUGACAGUUUUAAGUACCUGACAAAAUUAUGAUUUUUUUUUAAACUGACAUGGGUGUCUACCAUGGGGAUGCCACCUGGCAUAAGUUGAGGUCAUUUAAUGGAUUUCCAAAAAGACACCAUGUUCAACGGAGGGUGUUCUACCAGAAAGCUCCUCCAUCUAAGAGCAUGUUGUUUCCCGACAUCCUUGAAAAUCCUCAUUUUUUCCAUGGCCUUGUAUGACCAAUUCAAGGCACCAUGUCAAUUUGUUUUGGUUUUUGAUAAAUUUUGUAUUUUCUGGAGAUUUCUCGGAAAAAAAAGACCGAUAAAUGGCCGGACAUGUCGCAACUUGCAUAUGGUGUCAAAAUUUAUUCAAAUCCAACAUGGAUGCCUGUCAUGGGCAUGUCCACCUAUUUACAAAAUUUGGUGUCAUUUGAAGAUGUCCAAAAAUAGAUCGUGUUCAACAAAGGGUGUUCAGGCAGGCCUAAAGCCCAGAAGGCUCCGCUGAGAGAACGUUUGUUUUGACAUCCUUGAAAUGGCACAAUUUUUUUCAUAGCCUUGUGCAACCAAUUCAAACCUGACAUGGAUGUCUACCAUGUACAUGAACACAUGCUUACAAAAGUUGGGGUGAUUUGAAGGAUGUCCAACCAUAGACAAUGAUCAAUGGAGGCUGUUCAGGUGAGAGUACGUUGUUUCCCGACAUUCUUCAAAUGACCCUAAUUUUUUUCAUGAUCUUGUAUGACCAAUUCAAGGCAACAUGUUAAGUUGUUUUGAUAUUUGACAAAUUUUCCUUUUUUAGAGUUUUCUCGGUCAAAAAAGGCCGACAAAUGGGCGGACGUGUCACAACUUUCAUACGGUGUCAGAAAUCGUUCGAACUUGGUAUAGAUAACUACCAUGGUCAUGCCCACCUGCUUGAAAAAGUUGGGGUCAUUUCAAGCCUAUUGGGAAGCAUCAUGCUCAGUCUUCUGGCCUAUCCGAAAACACCCUCGUUGAACAUGGUCUAUGUUUGGACAUCCUUCAAAUGACCCCAAAUUGUGCAAGCAGGUAGGCAUGCCCAUGGUAGAAAUCCAUGUCAGGUUUGAACGAUUUUCGACACCAUAUGCAAGUUGCGACACAUACGGCCAUUUAACGAUAUUUUUUUAACCGAGAAAACUUCAGAAAAUGCAAAAAUUGUCGGAAACUAAAACAAAUUGGCAUGGUACCAAAAAUCUCAUGGAAAACAUUUGAUGUCAUUUGACAAUGCCAAAAAACGUGCUCACAAACGGAGACUUCUGUCCUACCCGAAAAGACUCCAUUGAACAUGGUGUUUUUUUUGGAACUUUUUCGUCCUUAGAGCUGGUGGUAGGCAUAAAAAUAGACAAACCAAACACCAAACUAGAAAAGAAAAUCAAAUUUCCAGUCUUGUAUGUUGGUGUUGGAAAAUUUCUUCCAGAUGAAGCAAAGAAAGAGCGAACGAUGCAGAAUAAUAUACGAGUGGACCCAAAUUUCUAGAUCUAGAUAGAUGAAAAACUCUAACCAUAAUGGAAGCAAAAUGUACAAUUAGAGGCCCAAUUUUUACUGUGAUUGGAAACGAGAAUAUUCUGCUACAUUGGACUCGUGUAUAUCUAGCUCAUGUAAGCAAAUUCUCUAACUGAGCUACGAUGGACAAAAAUAAUAAUUUUAUGGAUACAUUUUUUGUUAAGUCAAUGCAUGUUUUAGUUCCUCGCAAAAAAACCAGAAGCAUAUUUUAGUUGCACCAGAAGCAAAUUCUUGAAUUCGUUGAAACAUCAUUUCAUUGUGUUGAAAACGCGUGUUGCAUAAACAAAAUUGGUAUUCAUCGGAAGAAGCAAAUUCCAUGUUUGAGAUUUGAUGAGAUAAAUAAGUUUACCCAACACAAAACAAAUUUUGGUAAAGUCAGAACAUAUUUUAAGUUCGAAGCAAAUUGAUUAACUAAAGGAAGCACAUUUUCAUUACGGUGGAAGCAAAUUUAAUAUGCAUCUGAUUUUAGUAGCAUGUAUGGCGUACAGAAUUUCAUUGAACUUAAUUUCCUAGAGAGAGAGAGAAAUAAACAGACCCUUCAUUUCUACUCGUGUGAUUUUAGGAGUGCACGUAAUUUCCGCUGGACAGCUUUAGAAAACAAAUCGGAAUCAAUUCUGUUCGUUACGUGCAAACUACCCAUGAAAGCCACGUUCUCAAGUUAAAUCCAACCAGCCAAAGCUUUCUCAUCCAAUGAUGGUGGGCUGGCCUAGCGCUUCCCGAAAGAAAAUUAGGCUGAGAAAAUUCACAACAAUAAUAAGAGUAAAAGAAAUAACCAACACAACAAGUGUCCCAGUUGGUUACCGUGGGUGGAAGUAAAAUAAAGAGGUUUUGAGUUCAAACCUUGACUCGUGUAUAUAUUUUUUGAAGUGUUAAAAAAAUAAAAUAAAAAUGGGCCAAGCCCAUGAGGGAGGGAUUUGGAUUAUUUUUUUUGACGUGAAACAUGGGAGUUUUAUUGCAUGAAAGAAAUUCGAUUACACUCAGCCCUAAGGCUGCUUACAAUGAAGGAUGGACAGUUAUCCAUCCAACACUCGGAUACCGCUAAGGAAGUAGCAUGUUUGGCACAAAGGUCGGCCGUGCCGUUGGCAUCCCUACUAACAUGUUGCACCGAAAAAGAAGCAAAAUUUGCAGCUCUCUCCUUGAUUUUCUCGAAGAUAGGCGUCACAAUAGAUCUUGUAUUAUGACGCAAAAGCCAGAGGUUAACUACCUCUAAACAGUCGACCUCCAUCACCACAUGCGAGAAGCCCCUCAAUUGGGCAAACAUAACUGAGGGAUUUGGAUUGGCUGUGUACAUCUACGCUCGUACGUGUCAUGUAUAGAGGUUGGUAUACCUUAUAGUCAAAUGACCNNNNNNNNNNNNNNNNNNNNNNNNNNNNNNNNNNNNNNNNNNNNNNNNNNNNNNNNNNNNNNNNNNNNNNNNNNNNNNNNNNNNNNNNNNNNNNNNNNNNNNNNNNNNNNNNNNNNNNNNNNNNNNNNNNNNNNNNNNNNNNNNNNNNNNNNNNNNNNNNNNNNNNNNNNNNNNNNNNNNNNNNNNNNNNNNNNNNNNNNNNNNNNNNNNNNNNNNNNNNNNNNNNNNNNNNNNNNNNNNNNNNNNNNNNNNNNNNNNNNNNNNNNNNNACCGAAGCAAGUUGUUUCCACGCCGGGAAGCAGUAUAACACAAUGCUUUGAUGUAGAGAAUUAGGCAAGACUAACCACCGUACUGAAUCAAAGUAGCAGUGGUGUUUGGUGUUCAGUACAAGUGUAUAGAGGGAGAUGAUACAUGGACGCUGUUGUUUGAUUUCCGUUAGUAGCAGAUGAACAAAUGGCCAAGAUAAUACCCAAGCCUCUAUAUCUGGGAGCUUUUUCGCUCCAAGAUUCAUCCACUUGGAUGAAAAUGACCUAUGGUUAAAUUCCUAUGGGGCACGUGUAUUUCUUUGGUAUCUGGUUGUGUACAAAUGCGUUGUAGAUUCAGGGUUUCGUUUCAAAAAAUUUGAACCGGUGUGACAGUUGUUUUGGUUGGUUUAGCAUUUUUUGUUGGCUGUGCAUCAGGCUGGCGUGGUCGUUCUGCUUACAUGCUUCAUUUGAUUUCUAUUCGCUGUUGAGUUCUGCUUCUGUUGCUGUCGACCGAUCUGGUCGGGCCGCUAUUGGUUCAGUUGUUGCGUCGCUUUCUUUGUUUUCUAUUCGGUGCUGAGUUUCGCUUACGUUGCUGUCGGCCGAUCUGGUUGUGCCAGUGUUGGUCUAGCUGUGGCGUCGCUUUCUAUUGUCCAUUGAGUCUUGUGCGCCCUACGCGGUGGCGUCGUCCUCUCUGACAGAGUCUUGCCGCCUUACAUCUAUCUGUCGCUUCGUCUAGAUGGCGCUGGCGCCGCUUUCCAUGUUGCUUCGCGAGCUUGCCAUCCCUUCUGAUCGGUGCCGCCUUUCUCGCGUCUCCAGGAGAUAUUUUCUUUUACUUUUGUGCUUCCUUCCGUUUGCUGCCAGCCUAUAAAUAGGUUAAUUUCCUUCUCCAUCUCACAGCGCCGUGGCUCGGAACGCGGCGACGAUGGCGGGGUUGUGCUCGGCGUCGUUGAAGGUGAGGUAGCACGCGAGCGGCUCCUCAAGGCCCCUCGCCGAUGCCCGGACGUCGUCGUCCGCCGCGAUCAUCUCCGCCAUGCUCGCCGGGAAAUCCGGGUCCCCCGACUCCUUUACUACGACGAGGCUCUCCUGUAGCCGGCGCGUCGCCUCUACGGCACGGUGGUCGCCGCCGGAGUCUGCGGCUGGCGUCCUCCUCUUCAGCCUGCCGCACGACUUCACGUGUAGGCUGUAGACGCCGCCGCUCCCUGGCCAUCGGCGAUGGGCUGCCGCUUCCCGAGGCCUCCUCCUCCCGGCUGAACUUCUCUGUGGUGCAGCGUCGGCCGUGGGCCUGGUGAGCAUCGGUUGCAGCUUCAGCUCCGGUACCAUUGGGCUGCGGGCUGCACCGGACGAUCUCUGCUCGGGAUGUAGUAGGACGCCAUGUUCGGGGAGCACAGAUGCGGCAAUAGCACCCCCUAUAAUGACGACGAUGACGACGUCACCAUCGGCGAAACACGAUCACUUCUGUGGUGCUCGCACAGGAGCCCGGCGGUGGCAUUGCUUUUGUUAAGGAUUAGAUAGCCAUGCAUAUUUUCAGACAGUGCCUGUUGUGCCUUCUUGCUUUUUGUUUCGGCCUGCAUAUAGUCUAGAUGGCCCGUCUAUUCAUAUAAUCAUAUAUGAUCCAACACUACUGGAAUUUCAUUGUACGCCAUGCUCUUCGCCGAGAGCACAUACACGUCUAUCAUCGAUGGUGAUGAUGCGUUAUCCAGUUUCUGCCGAUAUUGAUCAUUUGUCUUCUUAUUUUGCUCUAUGAAGAGAGCAGAACGCAUGUGUUACUUACAGAUAAAAGAGAGAGAAAAGAGCUUCAGAGGAGAAGGAAAUAAGCUUUGCCGGUCAAGUUAAAGGCAAAAACUUGUAUCAUAUAUGCUUGCCAUAAACGUUUGACAUUAUUCCUUUAUCUAUCAGUCGAAGCAACUCUGUGUGUUGACAAAGCAAGAGCUCAUGGACGAGAUAACCGCUGGAAUAUAGUAGACACAGGUAAGCGUCAGUUGUGUGUGUGUGUGUGUGUGUGUUUUGCGGGCGUCGGCUAUGCUUUCUAUCUUUGUUGCUUCUGCUGUUGUCUGUGAUGUGAAUCCUGAUGGUGAACAACUAAACCUAUAAAUCUAUAUAUGUGAUUUCCAACUACUAUUACUAUUUGUAUACACCUAGAUACUUUUUACAACAUUAAGCUAGCUGGGAUUACACACACUGAACGAGUCCUUCAGGAUGUAAACUAAAUCAUUACACUUUUACUGGUAAUAUUACUUGAAACCUAUGUAGUGGGAUAAUGGACAUGAUUAAUUAGUUUGAGCACCUGAAAAUGGAACACAAUUGUCCUUACUAAUGUUUAUCUAUUUUUUUGUGGAAUACAUGUAUAUCUUUUUCACAAAACAUGGUGUGCAAUAUUUUCUUGCAACUUGGAAGAAUCCAUGAUACAAAUGAAGCACGAGUUGUGUAGGAGUAAGAUGGGCAUAUACAUGCUUGAGCUGUAUAGUUUGUUUUUUGGAUUAACUUAGUGCUGAAAAACAUGUUUAAAAUGUUGCAAGGAAUUAUCUUUUUCCAUUUUAGCCAUAUUUUUGUUGUCCAGUUAAUAGGUUGCAUUCAAGAUUAUGUUUUGGUUGGCUCUAUAUAAUUUUUAUAUCUGAGUGGAUACAGUGAUUACAUCAGCGGCAUUGAAACCGAUUGUCUUCUUCUUAGGCUUUGAUUUCUUUCAUUAUAAUUCAACUAAGAUCCUAUUUUGAGGUUUUUGCAACUUUGAAGCAGUCAGGUUAUCUAUCCAUUCAAGAUCACAGAGAGUUUUGUUAGUAUUAUAUACAAGAGGUGAGGGUUGGGUAUUUGUCUAUGGGGGCAACGAAUUAAAGGUGCCGUUUAAUAGUUCUUGGAGUACAGUAAGGUAAAGAAAGACAUGUUUAUUUUAUUUUUAAUGGCGUCCACAUAGUUGAUCCUAUGAUUUUUCCUGCUCUGAAGAGGCCCUUGGGCAGAAAGACACAGAUUGGUAUGUGCUUACUUUUUCCGUGCACAUAUGUCGAUUUCUAAUGGAACAAUCAGUCUGGUUUCCACUGCAGGGGACUAUCAAAUCUCGAUCAUAAAUGGUUUAAUUUUGUUUAUCCAGGAAAAAGCCAGGUUACACUGUCACAUUUGUGCAAUGUGCAAUUUGCUUGAGAGACUUGAGUUUUGUUGUUAUUUAUCAAUUCAUUUGGCUGGAACAUAGGAAACAGAAGUAUUUAAGUUCAUUUGGUUGGAUGAUAGGAAACAGAGUCUGAAAAUUUGGUAGUGAAUAUGCAAGGCAGGAAUGAGUUGCAUAGAUUAUGUACUAAUGAGAUUGCAUGCUCACUUCAUGUCAUUACAUCCUGGCGAGUUGUGCUUAUGAAGCGCCAAAGAAAACAUUUUACAAGGAUAAGCACAAUAACUUGCCAUUUAAUUUUCGGUCGUCAUCAGAAGUGUAUUGAAUAGAUCAAUUGUGACAUGGCCAUGACUGGCUCUCCAUAUGCACUGGAGAGCAGAUUGGCAGCUCAAGCCUACUGAUGCACAUGGAUCUUAUAGACAGAGAUUGGGUACAGAGAAGAACAACCAUGGAGGCCGACGUGGGAGGCGCAAGAAGGUAAUGCGCCCCGGUGGUACUGCUGUCCAGAUCAAGGGCGCGUACGGCCUCGGAGCGGAGGAGAAGAAGCCGGGGCUAUGCAGAUGGAUGAGGGUAUCAACUCCCGCGGUGAAGGGCGCGUCGGCUCCCGCGGCGGCUCUCUCCCGCGGCGAAGGGAGGAACGGCAGGGGGGCGGCGGCUCUCUCCCGCGGCGAGGAGGAACAGCGGGGGGAGCGGCUCUCUCCCGCGGCGAAGGGAGGAACAGCGGGGGGCGGCGGCUCCCUCCAGCGGCGACAGGAGGAACGACGCGGCGGGGAGGAGGGGCGCGGCGGCUCUCUCCCGCGGCGAGAGGUCGUGUGGCCGUGCUGUGGCGCCAGUUGGGACGAGAGGUCGUGCGGCCGUGUUGUGGCGUCCGUUGGGGCGAAAGGUCGUGUUGGUAGCGUUUUCUUAACGGCGGUGAGGGUUAGCGAUCAAUGGAUUAGUGGGCUUAAUGCGUGGCUUGUAGCGUUAAAUAUCGAAGGAUUAAAAGUCAAAUGCUCGUGUGUGUGUACGGACAAAUGAUGGUAAAUAAAUUAAGCAUCAACCACAGGAUUGCCCACGGGGAUAGGCUAACGAAGGUCCUAGUGAUGGCAAACGUGACCUGCCGCCGCCGGAGCCGACGGGCAACACGUAGUUGCACUGCCCGAACACCUCGGCCUGCAGCCAAGGCUUCACUGUACUAAUCUAUUCUCACGUACCAUCUCCAUAAAAACACUAUUGUCAGGUUGAGAGAGCAUACCAAAACUGAGUUAUGAAGCAGAAAUAUGCAACAAAAAAAAAAUCAAACCUCUAUUGAGAAAUUGCAUGUGUAGGCCUGAAACCACAUCGUUGUUCAACAUGGAGAGCAAUAUGCACUCUGCCUGCUAAAUGAGGCACACAAAAUGAAUAUCCUAACAAUGAUGAGAACUUUAGAAAAUCGUUAAUGAAAUGGAGUUAAGAUUGUAAACUAUGGGAGGUGCGGUAAAAAAUCACAAACGGAGUGAGGUAUACAUACGAUAGAGUAUAAUAUGUGAAUGGUAAAAAGAUGCCUCCAUUCAGCACAUGGAUUAGUAGUUAUAACAGGGACAUAAUGUGAUAGCUUAUAAUCUAAAUUAAAAAAAUCUUUGCCGCCACCUAACUGUAAGCGUGAGCAUCCUAACAAAAUAAGAAAAAUUGUCCAACAACAAUAACCAAAUAAGGUUUACUGUGCUGCCAACAAUAACUUUGCGCUAAUGUGAAACAUAUCAAGGUUUUUUCUAGAGGAAAUAUUCUGCAGUUGUCAAGGAUAGGUAGAAGUUACAAUAAAAGUUUAGUUUACCAUACAACAAGAACACAUAUCUGGCAAAAUUCACUCCACUAAAAGGCACAUUUUCACCAGGCACAUUUUCUUUAUGUCCAUCUACGUGAGUAUGAAUGUAGUGUAAAAAGUAGAAAAAUAUCACCACCUGUCCAAACAAAUAUUGGUACCGAUCAACUACAAUUAAGAUUAAAGUUGAGAAUUGGGAGGGGCGUUUUGGUGCCCGUGCUCACCUGCACCUGAUAUCCUAGGCGUACAAUGUUGUAUGGGGAUUCGAGAAUAUGUCAAUGACAAGACAGGGUUCAUGCAGUGGAAAAGCGAAUACGGGGAGUAUACAAUAGGGAACAGUGGCGCGGUGGGGGCCUUUCCCGUAGUGCGGUAGCACUUUGAGAACGAUAGGUGAAUGGUACGACUCUGAUCCGUGGCUCAGGAACGUUUGUUCUAAUCUAAGCGUACGUCAGGUAACGGCGCGGCAAAAAAAUUGCAAGUAUUUGUGCUCUAUGAGGGAUGGCAUAAAUGGUUGUAGCCUCCGCGCGUGCAGCUUGUCCACCUGAUUAACUGGAGAUGCUUGGACCGGCGGCUGAUAGGCAUUAGGCACCGGCAGAGGAGCCUGCUGAGCAAGUUGGCCAGCUGCUGCAUACACAUCUUGAGACUUGAAACUCCAGGAAAGGACACUCCUAGGACUAGGAGACCGAGACAAAGCCAUGCACAAAGAACAGAUAAGCUGAGCGGGGUAAGAUAAAACGUGCUACUAGAAAGAUUAGAGACAUAGUUGAUGCACAUGUAGAACCUGUAACCGGGCUUCUGUCCAUUGCAGGCAAUGGAGAUCACCGGAUCAUGGCUGCAGAAUGGCCUUGGGAUUAUGGGAAGAAGCUCCUGAUUCCGGGCAGUGGGGGAAGAGACCUAGAAGUCCACAUGGUCGGGGAUCGAAGCUGGCGGCGCAAAGGGGAGAAGAAAGGGAUCGGUGAAUGGCCUUGAGCGGUUUGUGUUUUUUUCUUUUAGAUAAUUGAGCGGUUUGUGUGGAUAUGGACGAGGUGCUGGCUGGCCGUUGGACUUUGCCGGCUCGGUUUGGACCACGAUAUUGAACGGGCCAUCAGUUAAUUGGCCUGAGCCGUCGCGAAAGAAACGGCACCUACCCGUCAUAAAACGCCAUGCAUUAAUUCCUAUUACAUCUCGCAUACGAUGGAGAUACAGCGAGAUAUACAAGAGAGGUCACCAAUCCCAAGAUGUGCGGACGUCGGAGAUAUCGAGAGCAUCUGAGACUGGGCUCAAAAACACAUUUUCGUUGAGAAUUGUCUUAGUCAUCUUAUACCUGGAGCUACAAAACCAUCAAUGCCUUAACAAUAUGUGUGCGCCUUUGUGGCGAAGAAAACCUGCAAUUCCUCAUGGAUACAUUGGUCAUACAUUCAUGUUAUUGUGGUAGAAGAAAACACUGUGAAGUGCAGCAUAUCCACAACAAUUCAGACAAGGGUCGCCUCCAGGCCACUACAUCGUUUGUGGCCUCGCUGUUGACAGUGCACGUGCAUGCACAUUCAAAUAUGACGACUGAUAUAUGAUCCAUUAAUUUCAGAUAUCCACUAAUCAUAUUAGCUCAUUCGGAAGGAUCCUCCAUAAAUAUGAAAAAUCAGGUUUCAUUGCUUAUCAGUGUAUCCUCUUGAAAGAAGUGUUCAUAUCAUUCGUCAGAACAACCUUCAAUCAAACGGUGAACAUUGUAAUAAGGUAGAAAUAACCAACUGAUUAAUUAUUGAUAAGUUUGCAAAAUGUGUUUUGAGUUUUCCAACCAAAUUUUAGUGAGAACCUUUUCUCUAUUAUGCCUAAAAUGUAUACCCAGCAGGAGAAUGUAAUUCAUAAUAUUCUGCUCUAGGAAAUCACAACACUAUCCAAGAGAUGCACAAAUAAAUACUAUCAAAAUAAAUGAAUAACUAUUUAGUUGCAUGUUGUACCUAUUUCUUAACAACCAAGAGAUGUACCAAGCUAAGAAAUACAUAGCAGAGGAAUAAGUGUUCCUAGGGAUUUAAAUACCCUUAUAAUUUGACAUCAAAGGAUGUGAAGAACGUGAUCUGUCUACAAGUACAUAUGGACCUUAAUAGCUUAGUUCAACGCUCCAGCAAGUUAGUAUAAUUUCAGGUGCUCCCAAGUGGCAUUUAGAUAGCAAGAUUUUCUCAAAUAAUCACGUCAAAGAAUGAUGGUUAACACCCGUUUAAGAAAACAAGAGAAGUGCAGGUUUCCAAUGAUUGAAAUGUUGUGAUCAGUCAAUAGUAUUUUAGAAAACAUCAGACCAUUACUUUCAGAGUUCAGACUGACAAGCAUCUGUAGAUGCCCAACUUCUAGGCCUCUCCAACACAAGGAAUUAACCAGCGGCAGCGCCAUGUCAGCACGAGCACAACUUGUGUGGCAAGUCAGUCCUUUCACAGGGAAGACUGAUUGCAAAGAUUGCAAAGUAGGAGCCGCAGAUCAAAUGGUGCUCAAUGGUGGACUGGUGGUUCACCUCAUUAUUCAGUACUGUAUCAACGGUACCCAUUGCCUGCAGAAAGAGAAUGGAAGGGAUUUUUCUAAGCCCGCAGCAACUCAAGCUGCUGGAGCCGCUGGACCUCCUUGUCGAGGAUGUUGUAUCGAACCAUGUUGCCCGUGGUGCGCCACACCAGCUGGAGGUCGCCCCACGGCUCGCUGGGCGCCAUCCGCUUGUGCAGGUGGCACUCGAAUGCCCGCCCCAGCUGACCAGCAGCGCCUCGCGUCCAAGAUUCUGAACGUCAGCACGAACUCAUCGUCCCACCGUCGCAGGUACCCGCGCCUGAUUCCGGCCUCCGUCACCGCGCUCUUCAACCGUCGUUCCUUGGCCAUCGCCCAUCGCCUACACGCAAAGCUGCCCGGACUUGGCUGUGAAGUAGAUGCCCUCGCCGGAGCACCGGGUCACGUACCCCGCCGCGUCGCCGACCAGGGCCACGUGGCACGGGCGCAGGUGCUCCAGGAUCUGGUGCGCCUCCACCUUGAUCACACGGCACCCUGCAAUCUUGGGGCCCGUCCGCGCCUGGAUGCUGGACUGGAGCUUCUUGAUCUCCGGCUUGGCGACGAUAGUGCCGGUCCCAACACACAAUUGCACGUUGGUCUCCAUAGGGGAGGGAGGUCUCGGCUGGCGGAAGUAUGGCGUCAGCGGCGUGCGCGCGAGCUGGAUACCCUCGCUCGGGAGUUAGAAAAGGGGUGGGGCGUUUGUUUUCUCUAGGGGAGGCUCUAUCGUUGAUUUGGUAGAGAACAAAUAGGAAAGGAAGGUGAUAAAAAGUUUCUUGUCUUCCUGCGUGAAUAGAGAUACGUGGGACGGAGCGAGGCGAAGGAGUUUGAUUAAGAGAGCGGCGACACAUUAAUUUUCUUAAAAUUGAUCAUUUAUUUCCUAAUAGGUAAUUGCCCCGCACCGGGGUCGCCUAAUCUACCAUUCUUAAGACUAGCCACAAUGGGUAGUAACAUAGAGUAGUGACAUGCCCAUGUUACUACCUCUAUAGUGGGGAGUAACAUAUGUGUGGUAACAUGCAACACUUCAUUUAUUAUGCUAUAGACUCAUCUUGCCUUGAUAUGUGUGAUGUUACUCAUACUAGUAACUAGUUAUGUUACUAAAUGCUUCUCUUUCUUCAUUUAUUGCUUGCCACAUCAUCUAUUUUAUCUAGAUAUGUAUGAUGUUACUAUCUAUGUUACUCCCACUGUGGGUAGUCUAAGAAGUUGCUCUCCACUACUCCCUAUUCUCUCACCAUGCACACUGUCCACAUCAGCGAUGUGCCACAUCAUCUACUAUAUAUAUCCACAUCACCCAAAUUAAUACUAUCCAUCGAUCAAUGCAAGCACUACUGGCAGCCAUCCGAUCCAAUGGAACCUCCUUUGUUCGCCUCGAUACAAUCCACCAGCGCAUGUUAGUUUUUUUUAGAAACACCAGCGCAUGUUCUACUUUGGACCUUAUGAGUCACGCAGUACAGUCUGGAAGCUCAAACGAGCGGGUUGGCCUUCUCCGCUUCCCCUCCCCUUGGCCGCCACUAUUCUUCCCCUUCCCCUCCCCUCCGCUUUUCCCAAUCUUCCCGUCCCUCCAACGCCUCCACUCGCACAUAGGCAGUGCCUCCCGUGAUACGAUUCCUGAAAAUUCGAAGCCGAUGACUUCUGAUUGCAGGCUUGGCGCUCGCGUUGGAUCCGUAUCAUCAUAUCCGUGGAAGGGCAUCCAUGCGACCAUCCGCGCGCAGCCGAAUCAACCUAUGCGCCACCGUUGGUCUGCACCCGGACAUCCUCAUGCCGCCAUGCCGGUAACCUCGGACGCACCACUCUGCUCCGGGCCUUCCUUGCGCUGGCGUCCUCAGAUUCACCAGACGCAUCCAUCGCCGUGCGAUCGAGCUCGAUUCCAGUAGGAUGCUAUGCUCGAUGGCUCUUCACGUCGGCAGCCUCGACCGCGCCUGACGCGGCCAACCCGGCGAAGCCCAGUGAGCCUGUGCGCACACGUUGCUCUGCCCCAUGCCCUCCUCGUGCCGACGGCCUCAGGCGUACCUCGACCCUCUCCGCCGAGGCCUCGAUUCCAGCGGACGAUUUUGGGAAGGAGAAGCUCGAUGGCCUCCCCUUGCCUUCUAACGUCGCUACGAACGCCCGCAAGCCCAACAGGAGGAAGGCAAGAGCAUCUCUUCUCCUCAUGAUUGACCCGUCACUUCAUGCAUUGUUUUAGUUUUGGAUUUAUACUGGUGCUUUGGAUGAUUAAUAUUCUGUCUUUUUGGAUGGAUUUUUGUGGUAUGUACAGCUCCGAUCAAGAUAGGUACCAAUGGUGAGCUUGAGCCUCCGAUUUAUUCUGGUUAUUGCUUGCUUUGUGAUUGGCUUGAUUUCAUAAUGUGAUGUGGUGUUCGUAAUGUUUCGUGGCGCUUCCUGGUAGCUCUGUGGUGCUUGCUAGCUUCAAGUGUGCGAGGACGGCGACAACGCUUCUGCAGUUUAAGGUCAUGUUCUUUGGUUGUUUUUUCAUAUGCAGAUGUACAUGUUGUAGUAACCCAUGUGCAGCCAAAUUCUAUGUUGUUUUUCGGAUAAGGGUCUGACAAUGAAUUUGUGCUUCUUGAUGUUCAACAUAAUCCUAAUUCUGAAAUUCAUAUAUAACCAUCUUGCAGGUUUGGUACAUACGCGCCCCAACUUUUAUCAAAAAAUUGAUUUUUAUUUGCAUUACAUGCACUUUCCAUUUGAUUCUGCAUAUCUUAGAUAGCAAAUCAUUUGAUUUCUUACUUGUGUUAAAUAGCCAAUUGAAUAAUCUUGGUGUAGCUAUACGAACAUUCAGAUAAUUAUUUUCCUUUUGAGGGAAAAAAUAUACAUAGUUUGAUUGACUUCACAAAGUAACAUGUUGAUUAACUCUUAACAUAAAUUUAAUUGUCACCAUUUUCAUUGUGGAUCAUAUGCAAAGGUCCUCUAAUACACAGGUGAUUUGUUUUGCUGAUUAUAAAAGAAACGUGUGAUAUGUUAAUGGUUAUACCGAUACAAAACCGUCAAGCCUAUAUCUCAGCUUUGUGACGCUUCAUCUCAAAGUUCAUCAUAUUUACCGAUAUAAGGUACAUGCAACAGUUGAUUCAUAGUAUGCUUCCACCCAUUAGUUUGUACAUACUUUCUCUCAUCGGCCGAGAUGGCUUACGAGAAUGGCACUUCUUUUUAUAGUGGAACAAUUGAGGAGGAUUACUAAAUUGCUUCAUGUAUCCAUAUAACAAGUUUUGUAACUCCUUUUUCUUUUAAAAGAUAGUUUAUAAGGCUUUUUUCGUUUAUUUUAUCAUGGUUCCCGCAGCAACGCGUGGGGUAUCUUCUAGUUCUGGUGGUUUAACAUUGAUCAUAUCUACAUACACAUCAAACAGUAGUGUCACCUUUUUCAUUACAUCAGUCUUCUUCCUGCACUCACUAUUCCGUCUCCCCAAUCCAAACAUCAAUAUCUAAAUUAACAAAACCGCACUUGAUGUUGACGUAAAAUAAGACACAUCAAAACGUUGUUUGGACAAGCGAUGUUGUACAUUUUGAUUGACCAUUUCAUACCUAUGCGUUUUUAUGUACAAAAAAAUAAGAUCCUAGGAAGAAUAGCAUACAUCAAGAGUGUCGACACGUCUUCAUCAUCCAUUUAUUUUGUUCUCCUUUGUACUCCUCUCGGAAAUAUGUGCUAUUGUUUUCUGCAACACAAAAUUACCAAUUUUAAUCACAACAUGUGUAAGCAGCAGAAACUAAUAAUGGGUGCCUGCUACAUUGUCUCACACCAUCAUCAUUCCCAUCCUCUUGGUCUUCAGUCUCCGUGGCCAGAUCUGGGACGGCGGUCCCUGGCUCUGGGCUGGAUCCGUGGGAGGCCGCAGCUGCUUCAGCUGGCGGUGGUUCCUUCUCAUCGGCGCCGCGCCCCGCUCCGGCCAGGGGCCCGGUCCCUCCGCCACGGCCCCCUCCUCGCUCGUUUGCGGCGGGCUCUGCCUCUCGCUCGGGGCCGCGCUUCGGGCCUGGCUCUUCCUCCUCGUAGGCCGGGGAUCGGCGCCUCCCUCCCCCUGCUUCGGGUUCCCCUUCUGCGGUCCGUGGCGAUGGCAUCCUGCCGCCGCCGCCUCCCCCUCCGCGCCAGCACCCUGCUUCCUCGGGCCCUUCACCGACCCUGACUUGCUUUGCUUGCCAUCGCCCGAACCACUUUCAAUCUAGAUGCACUAACCCACCCUUCUGCCUCAUCUGUCGCUCUGAUGGCCAUCUUACUGUCGACUGCCGUAACCGUACCAAGAUCCCCUCUUUCAUUCAGUUUGGCUUGGGUAUUCCCGAAUGUUCUUUCUUCGCUCUGGAUGCUGAUGUUCCUGUGGUGAUGGCUGCGCCGUCCCUCUCUAACGCGGCCAUCAUCACGGUGUGCGGUCAGUUGAUCUCUCCGCAGGCCCUCCUAGAUGGUUUGAAAAUAUGGGACGAUGGUGGCUGGGAUUGGCAGGUGCGCUAGCUUUCAGAGUAUGAAUUCGCAGUGGUUUUUCCCUCCAAGGAUUGUCUACGGAUGAUCUCCUCGUGCACCAGUUUUACCCUCCCCCUCAACCAGCUUGUGGUAUCUGUCAAAGCGGCUACUUGUGGUGCCAAGGCGGUGGGCCCGCUUAGCAAGAUCUGGGUGCUAGUUGACGACUUGCCAGUGGGGCUUCGAUCUGUGGAGUUCAUGAUGGCGUUUGGUAAGCUCAUUGGCAAGCCCGUGGAAGUGGAUUCGGAAUCCCUGGGCAAGGUUGGCCCGGUUCGUCUCAAUGUCUGGUGCAUCGACCCCGUUUGCGUUCAUGGCUCUGUGGAUGUCUUCCCUUCUCCUGAGGGUGUGCAACUUCGGGUUCGGGUGGAGGGUGCUGAACCCCGUGCUCCUCCUCCACCUCCGCCUCCUCCUUCCAAGCCUUCGGACCAAGAUGACACGCAGGGGGAUGGUUCGGCUGGGGGGCAGAACCCAAGUGGAGGUACUGAUCCGCGUUUUACACAAUCUGAAUGGGAUAAGUUGGAUCCGGAUGAACGCGAGCUGCUCAAGGAUAAUGCCCCUGCCCCUAAUCCUCAGAAGGAGGACUUGGCUUCUCGUGUCGCUUCUCGUGUCGCUGGUGCUGGUAAGGGGACCCCCUUCUCUGGAGUUUGCUCCAAUGUGCCUACUCGCCCACAGUCUCCUUCCUUCUUUGGGAUCGAGGAUCUUCCCGCUUCCCCCUUGCGCUCCACCGAGCCCUCAACUAAGAAGAAGAAGAAGUCUUCGGUCCGGAAAUUCUCAGCUAAGAGUCGGGCCUCCUCCACUUCCAAGCUCUCGGCGGCGGGUCUGGCUCGUCGUCUGGACAAGGACCUGGGCUCCGCCUUGGGGUCUGGCCCUGGGCCAGCGUCGCCGAUCCAGUGCUCCCCUGUGCUGCAUUCUCCGGCGUCCACGGCGCGGAAGGGCCGGCGUGUGCGCGACUCGGGCGUUUCGGUGGCGGUGCGGGCGGAACGGCGUGCCGCGGCCAAGGAUCUCCCUCCUUCAGGUUCGUCUGCCCAACCAUCUCUUCCUGCCUCUCCUGUUCGCCUUGUUUUACCAGCUCUGUCAGAUGACCAUUUGCUGCAUAUCAUGUCUGAUAUUGGGGUGGUUGCGAUACCGGGGAUGGGCUCCCCCUCUCACCUUCUUUCUGUCAUUAGGGCCAAUGACAGCCCAGGCUGCCAUUGCUAAGGCCGUUGAGGCCGCGAAAGGUGAUGGUCCUGCUGGUGCUCAGGGCCAAGCCGGGGGGUUGGAGGCGACGAAUGGUUGUGGCCAGUCGUCUGCCCCCCGGCCCUUGCUAAGGUUGGGCGUCCCAAGCGAUCUAAGCCUUGUGGGGCUCUGUGCAGAUCGAGUCUCCGUAUUAAAAACCUUUCCUUCAAAUGAGAGCUUUAUUCUGGAAUAUUCGUGGUUUCGGUGCUAGGGGGCGCCGUGACCAGAUUCAUGACUUGGUUUGUGGUGAACAUAUUGACAUUUUAGGGCUGGUCGAAACAUUUAAGGAAUCAUUUUCCCCUUCUGAACUCUCUGCGGUAGCUGGGAUGGAUAGGUUUGAUUGGCACUUUCUCCCCGCCUCGGGUCAUUCCGGGGGAAUCUUGAUUGGGUCCAAGCGGGACGUUUUUGAUUUCAUUGCUUUUGAUCAUGGCAUCUUUUGGGCUAGCAGUGUGGUUCAUCAUCGUCAGCUCAACACUUUGUGGGAAUUUAUGGUGGUAUAUGGCCCUGCGGAUCACACGCUUGCUCCUCUCUUUUUGGACGAACUAUCAAUUAAGAUUGAAACAUGUAAUAUUCCUCUUUUAAUUGGGGGUGAUUUCAAUUUGUUACGUUCUCCGGCCGACAAGAAUAAUCCUAUUUUCUCCUGGCCACUUGCCAAUGCUUUUAAUGAUUUCAUUAGUAACUGCGCGCUGCGUGAGCUCCCUAGGGUGGGGGCGCGUUUCACCUGGUCUAACCAUCAAUCCUCGUCUGUCCGGUCGGUGCUGGACAGGGUUUUUGUUUCUGUUCAGUGGGACUCACUGUUUCCCCGCGCGCUGCUUAAGGCUAGGCCUGCGGUGGGCUCUGAUCAUGUUCCCCUGAUCCUGGAUGCGGGUAUCCUCUCUAUUGUUUCUCCCUCCCGUUUCCAGUUUGAUGCUUCUUGGCUUGUUGUGGAGGGCUUUUGUGACAUGAUGGUUUCUAAGAUCACUAAUCCUCUCUCCUCUCCUCACCGCUCCUUUGGUCCCUUGGAUGAUUGGCACAAGGUGUCUUAUGAGUUGCGUAAAUUCUUAAGGGGGUGGUCUCGGAAUAGGGCGGCCGAGUUGCGUAGAGACAAGGAAUCCCUCGAAUCUCAAAUUCGGGAUUUGGACCAAUCUGCUGACACAUCUGGGCUCUCCGCCUCUCAGUGGGCUACUCGCUACUCCUUGGAAGAUGCUCUGUUGUUGCUUCACCAACAGUCAGAGAUUUACUGGCGCCAACGAGGUGCCCUUAACUAGACCUUAAAAGGGGAUGCUAUGACGGCCUAUUUUUUUGUGAUCGCGAAGCAGACGCCGCAGGUGUUUCAUUGACACUCUGUUGAUUGACGGCGUUAGAGUUUCUGACCAGUCCCUCAUUAUGAAUCACAUUGUUAGCUUCUAUUCUAAUUUACUCGGCUCUAAGCCGGACCCUGGGCUUGGCCUUUGUCCUGACUUCUGGGAUGAGGGGUCUAAGAUCUCUCCGGACGAAAAUUCGGGCCUGAUGGUUCCCUUAUCUGAUGAAGAGAUUUGGCAGGUGAUUAGCUCGGCUAACCCGCAUGCUGCUUCCGGCCCUGAUGGUUUUUCAAUCCCCUUCUUCAAAAAAUUCUGGCCGCAGUUGCGGCCUCUCAUUUGUAUGAUCAUCCAAGGGUUCUGGUUGGGUACGGUGGACAUUUCUCGCCUUAAUUACGCUAUCAUUACCCUUAUUCCUAAAGUCAAGGGCGCGGAUUUGAUCUCGCAAUUUAGGCCGAUUGCCCUUAUUAAUAACUUCGCCAAGUUUCCGGCUAAAGGGUUAGCCACUCGUCUCUCCCCCAUUGCCCACCAUACCAUUAGCCCUUUCCAGUCGGCUUUCAUUAAGGGUCGUUUCAUUCUGGACGGGGUUCUCUGUUUGCAUGAAAUCGUUCAUGAUCUUAAGAUUCGCAAGUCGAAAGCGGUGAUUCUAAAAUUAGACUUUGAGAAGGCCUAUGACUCGGUGAGUUGGCACUUUCUGCGUAGAGUUUUAUUGGCCAAAGGGUUCGAGGGCCCCCCCGUCCAUUGGAUUCUGCAGUUGGUCUCGGGAGGCCACACUGCCAUCAAUGUUAAUGGCCAGGUUAGCAAAUUCUUUGCCAACGGUAGGGGCCUGAGGCAAGGCGAUCCUGCCUCUCCCAUCUUAUUCAAUUUUGUUGCAGAUGCUUUAUCUCGCCUACUUUCUAGGGCAGCUACUAGUGGGCACAUUACUCCGGUGUGUUCUAAUCUCAUUCCCCAUGGUCUCACCCAUCUCCAAUAUGCGGACGACACUAUUAUUCUGGUCGAGAUGAAUGAGGCCUGCCUUGCCCACCUCAAAUUUAUUUUACUUUGUUUCGAGGCUAUGUCGGGGCUUAAGAUUAACUUUGCCAAGAGCGAAGUGGUUGUGACUGGUGUGGACGAUUCGGAAGUCGCGCGAGUGGCCUACCUUCUUAACUGUAAGUAGGGCUCCUAUCCGUUCAAGUACUUGGGUUUGCCUAUUUCCCCGGAUGUGCUCCAUGCCAAAGAUUUUGCCCCGAUAGUCACUAAGGUGGGAAACAGGGUCCUUCCCUGGAGGGGUAGAUAUAAUACGAAUGUUGGUAAAGUGGCUCUAAUUAAUGCUUGCCUCUCCUCCCUCCCCAUGUUCCUUAUGGGCUUCUUUCUCUUGUCGGCUGGGAUUCAUGCUGGUUUUGACAAACACCGUGGGGCGUUUUACUGGAAUGCUGUGGACAAUCAUCGCAAAUAUCGCUUCGUCAAAUGGAAAUUGAUGUGCAGGCCCAAAAACCUUGGGGGGUUAGGGAUUCUUAAUACUUCCAUCAUGAAUCAAUGCUUGAUGAUUAAAUGGUGGUGGAAGAUUAUGAGCGCUGAGGAUCAACCCCUUUGGCUGUCGAUCCUUAAGGCUAAAUAUUUCCCAUCCUCGAGCCCGAUGCUUGCUCUGCCGCGUGGUGGCUCUCAGUUUUGGAAGUCUCUGGUCAAAGUUAGACCUGUUUUUCAAUCUUUCGUUAAGUUUGUUGUUGUGGACGGUUCCUCUAUUCAGUUUUGGCUUGAUUGGUGGUGUGGAGAUUCACCUCUCUCGGUGACCUUCCCUACCCUUUUCUCUUACUGCUCUGACCCUCAUAAUUCUAUUGCGAAGCUUGCAUCCCAGGGGUGGAACCUGGCCUUUCGCCGUUCUCUGUCGCCUGUAGAGUUUGAAGAUUGGCAACGUCUUACUGCCCUCUUCCCUACGCUCUCGACGGUCAGGGACUCGGUGCUUUGGCCGCUUUCUGCCUCUAGGCGGUUUUCUGUUAAGUCUCUUUAUUCUAAGCUCGUUGGUGGCACGCCUACCAAUCAUUUUUCCCAAGUUUGGAAGGCACGUAUUCCCCCUAAGAUUAAAAUUUUCUUAUGGCAAGCCUUUCGAGGCCGGUUGCCCUCGGCUGAUCAGAUUCGUAAGAGAAACGGGCCGGGCUCCCAGUUUUGUGCUCUUUGCGGUGAUGUGGAAGACUCGGAUCAUAUCUUUUUUCACUGUCACCUGGCUAAGCUUAUUUGGAGUUGUGUGCGGGACUGGCUUCAUGUGUCUUGGGCCCCUGCCUCCUUUGUCGAGGUGCGCAGCCUGGCGUCCAACCUCUCCGGUGUAUCUAGACGCAUCUUUUGGGUGGGCUUGGGGGCUUUAUGCCGGUCUCUGUGGACUACUAGGAACAAAUUUACUAUCGAGCACGUGUUUCCGGCUAAACCGGCUGACUGCUUAUUUAAAUCGUGUGCUCUCCUGCAGCAGUGAAAAUCAUUGACUAAGGCCGACGACCAAGAGGCGCUCUCUAUGCUGAUCGACAAAAUCCGGACCACGGCGGCUCAGUUAUGCAGACAAGAGCAUGAUGCUUGAGUGCUUCUUUUGGGCCAGAUUCUUUAGCUUUAGUUGGUUCUUUCUCUUCCGGCCUGCGUGCCGUGUACUGACGUGGGAGCCAUAUACCUGACUUUAUCCUUCGUCGUCUUACCCAGCGUUGGGGCUUGGGUGUGUUUGAUACUUUUCAGUGAUGCUGUUGCUACCUGCCUUAUGGCUUUAUUUAUAAAGUCGGGCGUAUGCCUUUCCUCUAAAAAAGAGGAUGCACUCGGCGAGCUUACCUUGUGGUUGUCAGUCUCAUCAUCAUCAUCGGCCAAAAACUUGGAAGUGCUCCAUUUCUUCACAAGCUUUGACUCCUCCCUUUCGUAUUUUUGGUAAUUCUGCGACAAAGGAAAGCAUAGCAAUAAAUCAUCAAAGACAAAGUUAUAACACUGUUUGUAACACACCGGGAUUGCUCAACAGAUGUGGUGCAUCAAAUCGUGUGCCCUUGCGGGGUACCUUGGCGUAUACAACGGGGCGUAAAAAAGUACCACGAGCUCAAUUGUGUCAAAUACAAUUUGUGUACUUCACUACGGAGUAAAUGUCAAUUUCCAUGAAUCACGAUUGGUCGGGCGAGAAACUGGAUUGCAUGACAAUUCAGUUCAGUUAAACCUUCUCACUUAAAAUGAGUGUGUUGCUAGAAAAAUGUGAGGAAGCCCUCAAACUGAAAAGGCAUAGAAUGCAUUCAAGCUUACCUUUUGAUUAGAGCAUCCGAUUAAUUUCUGCAGUAAGUGUUCCUUAUUAGUACUUAAUAGUCAUAGGCCUGAAAAAACUAUUCCCUCCGUCCCAUAAUAUAAGAGCGUUUCACUAGUGUCAAAAACGCUCUUAUAUUAUGGGACUGAGGGAGUAAUGAGUAGGGAUCUGAGUGCUCACGUACCUGAUCAGAAAGAGGAGAGUACAUAGUACUGCUGCAUCCGAUUUGAAGCAACAGUACAACUCGGCAGGCACGAUGCCGUGUGCGUCAGGCAUGGAUGCUGCUCGCCGUUCAGCCUGAUGAAAUCGUUCCUCUUGCUGUUCGACCUGAUGGGAUCGUUCCUCUCACCUAGAUGUCGCAAUGAAACUGCCUGUCUCAGCGGACGAGGAGAAACAAACGACAUCGAGCGAAAACGCCAAGAUCACAAUGGGCUACCUCGUACCUUGUCAGGAUAUAUGUCGAUGAGACGAUGACGGAACCUCGUCGGCGUCGACCACAUCGAGGGCGGACGGGACGCGCUGGCGUGGUGCUGGGAGGAGUUGAAAUGGCGGAGGCAGACCAGCGGCGGGAGGAGGCAAACACGGCGGUGAGGUGCUGCCGGAGGAAGGCGAGCGGCGGCCGAGGAGCCAAGGGGCAGGCUUUGGCUGGCGCCCUAGCGCGAGGUCGGGAUGGGAUAACUGGACGAAUUGCAUGUGGUGCGUGAGGUGAGAGAGAUGUGGGCUGGCUCACGGGGCAUUGCUCGGCUUGGCCCAUGUGCUGGGCAAUGGACAAAGUGUUUUUUUAGCGAUGGAGAAACUGGAUGGGAAGUGUACUACGUACGUCGGGUGGAGCGAGGGGAGUGGACGAAACGUAAGAGGGGAAACGAAAUGUUGCGUUUCUUUUAGGUAGUAUAUAGAGAUAUAGAGAUAGAGAUUAAUGUGAUUGAGCAAUUUAAGAUAAGUUUAAUUAAUUUAGAUUUGAUCUUUAAAGAUUGAUUGUGAUUGAUUUUUUCAUGAAGGUAUUACUAAACCGGUGACGCGAAAUAUGGAAAGUUCUAAUCCGUUUAGAUUUUUUUUGUUGUGUGAGAGGGCGAUGCGAAACUAACUCGGUGGGGUGGGGAGGACGAAAAAAAUCAGACGAAAAUGAUGGGACUAUUCAAUCAACUCGUUCAUUAUAAAUAGAGAUUAGAUCUUGAUGAUUGAUGAUGGAUAUAUAUGAUUGUUUAUAUAUAUAUAUAGGGGUAGUAGAUAGUCAUUCCCUCCCCGCCCCAGCCCGGCCGUUUCGCCUUUCGCGCCGUAGACACCGCUUCCUUCCCCGUCUCGCCGUCGCCUCGCCUUCACCCGCUCCCUCCCCGAAACCCUACACCCCCCGCGGCGCCGCCGCUACCAUGGCCUCCUCCCACUCCAGCAUCGACGCCGUAUGAUCGAUUGUUCUUCCUUGUUUCGAAUGUUCGAGUUGUGCUUGUGCAUUGCGGACGAAUUUGGGGUUGGGUGGUUUCCCUGCGAACUUCAGAUCCGCACUGUCCCUGCGAGUUUUCCGAUGAAAUUUCGAUUCGCUCAUUUGGGCGAAACCCCCAAAUGUUGUUCUGAAGGAAGAGACCCCAAAUCCGAGACUUCGUGGCCUCACUUCACGAAAUCAGUGGGGCGAGUGGCCCGAUUUGGUGUCUCGUCUGUGCAAGUUUCAUCUUGAAUCCUGCCCCUUCUGCUCGUUGAAAUGAUUCUGAUGUCUGACUUCAGUUUGUUCCUGCGAUUUCUCCUUGCUGGAGCUAGCAAAGAAGAAGGGCCUGCGGGGAGCCAAGGACGCGAAUGGGGAAACCAUGCUUCAUUUCGCUUCGAUCCAGGGCUGCCUGGUGAGCUGCCUGUUCCUGUUCCUGGUGGAGGAGGCGGGGCUUGAUGUCAACUCGGAGUCAAAGGCAGGUGCAUAUUCGCAUGCAGCUAGUUGAAAUCUUAUGCAUCCAUGCAGGAAGUUCUUCUCCUUCUGUUACUACUUACUACUGAGAUGCUGUGUUCCACUUGCAGGUGUGACACCCAUGGUCCUCGCCGCACUCCAGGGAAAUGUCGAGGUUACGAGGUACCUUCUUGAUCAUGGCGGUGACCCUGCGAUGCCCGAUGAGAGGGGCUCCACGCCGCUGCACAAUGCAGCAGCGGCAGGUGCGCUUUCUCAUUCCUGGGUUCACUCUCAGCCCCUGAAUGACAUUGCUUGCACAGCUUCGGCAAAAAGGGAAAAACAAACAUUAGUUGCCUACAAUUACUGUCUACUGUAUAUAUAUACCCUGUCGAGGCUUACUGGCUUAGGUUCUGAUCAUUGAUCUAUCUGGAUAUGUACUGCAUUUUGUUGUGUCUCCAGGGCACUGCGAGGCUGUAAGGCUAUUGCUGUCGAAAGGAGUUAAUCUGGAUCCUAUCCAUUACCAAGGGACACGAUUACACUUGGCUGCUGUGGAGGACCAAGAUCAGGUUGUAAUGGUUCUGCUGGAGCAUGGGGCUGAUGUAAGUUGUUUAUUUCAUGGUUACCUAACUGGACACAUAUCCCUAUAUAUUGGGAAUGCAAAUGCUAUAAUUUUUUUCAUUUGGCUUGAAGAUCAAAUGGUUUAUUCUUGGAGGUGCAUCAUUGCACUUGGUGGCAUGUUAACAAUAUCCAUCUGACUAUAUGUUAUCAAAAUCGUGAUUCAUUUCCUUUUUCAGCCCAAUAAAGAUGUUCAUCACGUAUUUUCAUACCUCAUGAUGACUGUCUGUGGGAAGUCCUUGAAAUGCAUGAGGCAACUUAUUGAGGUCCAAUAGCUUACUGACUUGAUGCAUUUUCUUAUGUUCUUUUUUCUAUUUGAAUGUGUUCUGAUUCCUUAAGCUAUUAAGCAUAACUUGUUGGGUAGAAAAUCCAGAUUAGUAAACCAGCCUUGUUUUCCUAUUGAACUUACUAUCAUGGUUACUGCAUAAAUCCUACCUCUAAAGAUUACCCUACUUUAUUUAUAGACUGGUGCCGAUGUGAACGCUUGUGAUUACUCUGGGCCAACUCCUUUUACGGAGGCUGUUGCUGAUGGCUUAACCGACUUUGUCAAGGUCUUGCUAGAUGCUGGAGCCAACCCUAACAUCCCUAACCAGGUGGCUCUGUUCGUCUUGAGAGUUGUGAUCUUGACGCCUCUCUCCCCGCAUGUCUGAUGCUGAGUUGAAUCUAGCUAAAGCCUCUGCGGAGAUGAGUGCAUUGUACUGAUUGUUCAUGUGUCAAGUAAAUAAUUUUACAGUAGGUUUAUAUUCUAGUUGCAUCUGUUUUGGUUUGCUUCAGAGUUUGUACUGCAUUAACCUAGUCAGACAUCCCAAGAUUGCAGCUCCAGUGCUAAGUGUCACAACAUGUUUUACAUAUCUCAUCGCAGAAUCAGGAUACUGGUAGGUCACAAAAUUUUAUACAACAGCUUUUACAUCUCAUCUGAGAAACAUGAUACUAGUAGGUCCCUAGACUUCCACUUUUGUUGUUUCUCUAAGACCAUGAUCAUACUUAACCACACUGACUAGAAUUGGAGAGGGAGUACUGUAUCUAGCUUUACUUCAACUUCUUUUCUGUUCAUAUAACAGUAUCUAAGACUGUUACUGUCUGUGGGAUGAAUUAAGUAAUAUAUCAUUUUAUCAUAAGUUUCUUGAUGAAUGAAAAUAUAGUGACAUUACUCGCUUUGUUAUUUUUGCACUGGAUUGUAUAGCAUCUUAUUGUUUGUUUCAUGUUAUAGCAUGGAGCAAUACCUAUCGAGCUAGCAGCAGAUAGUGAUCGACACAAGCUUGUUCAAAUUCUAUUCCCUAGGACAAAACCAAUUAAAUCUCUGCCAGAUUGGAGUGUUGAUGGGAUAAUUAAAACUGUGAAUUCUCCAAAAAUCAAUGCUCCUCCGGUAUGUACUCCUGAAGUUUAAUGCAUGAUUGCUUCGUAUUUUCUAUUUAGACAAUAGUAAUUUUUUGCCCAUCUUAUAGAUAGCUUAUACCCCGUCCUCCUUCGACGGAGUAAAAAGUCCUCAACAAAGCACACAUAUUCAUGAGCUCUGUUUACAUGCAUAGAUAGCUUAUACUACAUCCUACUUCAAUUGUUUGCCACUUGGACUAUGUCGCUGUGCUGCUAGCAAGCUUUUAGGCUAGCUGCUGUUGGGCGUUCUCUGAUAGGACAGAAGUUCUGAUGUUGUAUGUUGUGUACUAGUGUUAGGGGGCAGCCCUCACCCCUGGGGGCAAGAUAGAAGAACUAUUCUUCUAUUCUUGCUUUAUUCCUCAUAGGGGGGUCCUUUAUAUGAGUAAAAUGCACAGAGCCACCGCUUUAGCGUCAUAGCUCUUGGAAAACCACCACUUUACAAAAUGUGACACUUUCCACCGCUCCGAAAAUUUGACAGUGGCAAAAAACACUGAACCAAAAUUUGAUCGCGUUUUGACGUGUCCGAUCGCGUGCGGGCUGACAACGGUGACGGUGUGUCGCUAACGGCCGUUAACUGCUCUGGCUGAAGCGACUGGACCAACCCUCCCUCACUCUCUCUCCCUCUCCCUCCCUCCCUGACUUAUUGUAAACUUAAUUUGAUUGUAGCACAAUCUUCCCCCUAACUGCUCUGUUCACCGCCUUGUCCCCACCACUCCUUCGCCGAUGGACCCGGAGCCGCCACCGCCGCGAUGCCCGCGAGAAAAAGGAGAGGGAGAGAGAGAGAGGGGGAGGGGAGUGAGGGCCGGCCCAGCCGCUUCAAACAGAGCAGUUAACAGCCGUUAGCGGCGCGCCGUCACCGUUGUCGGCCUGCGCGCGAUCGGACACGUCAAAACGAGAUCAAAUUUUGGUUCAGUGUUUUUUGCCAUUGUCAAAUUUUCGGUGCGGUGCAAAGUGUCACGUUUUGUAAAGUGGUAGUUUUCCGAGCGGUAUGACGCUGAAGUGGUGGUUUUAUGCAUUUUACUCUUUUUAUAUAGAGGCCUAACAAUCCAACAAUUCAUAGAUCUCAUCCCUAAUUGGCUCAAGGCCCAAGCUAAAGGGUAUCUUGCUAAUUUAAAUGAUAGACCACCUAACAUACAGAUUGGGGACUGCGGUGGUGGGGUCAUGUAUUUCCGUGCGCAAUGCUGUAAAGUAUGUUGAGAUUGACAUGUCUUGAGCAUGUAAAACUAUGUAUGGGAUAUGCUUCUUCUUUUGCAAAGUUGAGCUAUUCUAGUUCUAUAUUCCAAUGACAUCACUUUAGUCAUUUUGUAUACUAGAUCAUAAUUGAGCAAUUGACAGCUAGCUACAUUUUUAGAUUGGUAAUGCAGGGUUAGAUGUUCCACGAGCUGCAGGCCAAACCAUGAAAGCAAUUAUGGAACUACUGAGAGGUACAGUACUUCUUUUUCUCUUUGUGCUUUUCAAGUACUCCCUCUGUUCCAAAAUUAUUGUCAUGAUUUUAGGUCAGACUUGAACUAAAACCACGACAAUAAUUUUGGAACGGAGGAGUACAAUAUAUUUAACUUGAGGAGGUUUGCUGUUAUAUCUGGCUACCUUUUGUAUGAAUCCAUCCUACAUUACAGGGUUGGCGUUUAGUUUCAUGUUUUGUAGUUAAUCUUGACUGCAUUUACUUAAUUGUACCAGGCUUCUUCAUGCUGUAAUCAUUGUGCCAGAUAGUGAGUCAUAGAUUGCAUAAGACAAUGAUGAAUUGAUGAUGCAUCUUUCUCUGUCGGCCUUUAUUUGUGUACUGUUUAUUACUACUAUGAUUACCUACCGCAUCUUUUUAGCAUGAUAAGUUUUUUCCUCUUUUUUGACAGUUUGUACUAUGUACCCGUUGCUGGUCUUUUUGCUUGCCAUCCUUCUAUUAUCUACUGGGGUGCAUUCCAUCAGACAUGAUACAAGUUUCAGUGAGGGCACUUGUCGAUAUGACAUGAUCAGUCUUGCAGUCCUCUCAUGCAUUCAACCGGACAAGCCAUGGAAGUCACCCUCAGUCUCAUGCUGCAAAGCACUGAUACAUGCAAUUGACGAGUUGCCGGCUAGCGGUGAGAAUGGAAAGUGUUGUUUAUGCCGUUUCAUGAGGGCAAAGCUUCAUUAUCCUGAAUUGGCAGCAACAUAUAUCUCUUGCCAUGGAAAGGACAGAGCUGUUGUUGCAAAAUGGUCGUUUCCUGUCGUGGUAUGCGGCAAAGGUGUGGUGUUUUUGUCAUGCAAUUUGCUCAAGACAAAUCAGUAGAAAGAUUGAAUAGGAAGCUCUAUUAUACAUUUGCAAAGAAUUAUAACUUUUGUUUUCUUUUUCCACUCAGCUUGUUCACGAAAAGAGAUUGCCCUCCUCGUAAGGGGACUGUCAUGGAGAGGCCUCCCUCAAAUUCACAUGGCAGCAAGAUCCUUUUUAUCUUGUUUGCAGCUCUCUUCAUCAUUCUGUUGAUCUUCAUCUUGUACCUCUGGUGGGUCAGGCGGGCUGCCCCAGGGCGACGCGAAUCUCUACCGUUAAUGCAGAUUCAAAAGCAGGCCAGAUCAUCUCCCGGGAGUGGCCGCCGACAAUCCUCUGGGCGGUUGAAGGAGCG
rnacentral:lncRNA from 1 species